rnacentral:lncRNA from 1 species
UAAUACUUGUCGUGAAUUAUGCAUGACAUGCUUUUGUUUUGUAAUAUUUUCGCAGGUUACCAUGUCCCAUCUCAAGGCCGAUAGAUGGAUGUUUCGUAUCUGGUAAUCAAAGGAGAAAUGUUGAUUUAGUUCCUAGGCCUCUAUGUUGACUGGAUUAUGCUUUUAUGAUAUGUGAUAGGUUAAGUUUAUGCUGAGUAAUUCCUAGGGAAUGUGGCCGGUUGUGGGGUGGAAGAUCCAUCAAUGUAUGAGUAUUAAUAAAUAUUUCUCCUCAAAUUACAUGCUUCCUCUAUUUUGUUUUUGUUUGGUCCUUUUCUGGUUUUGAUUCCUUUGAAUGUGAAUGGGGAUUGAAAACAAGAAAAAGAAAUCUUUGACAAAAGCUUUUUUUUGUCUCACUAUACGAUGAUAAGUCCUUUGUGAUAUUGUACGGUGAGUAUAUGCUUGCAAAUGUUAAAAUUCAGAGGUGGAACUUGGACAUGUGAAAAAUAAACAUAGAAGUAAAUAUUGGCUAAAUUGGGUUGGUGCUUCGAUACACAUCAUAACAAAUGGACUAAUAUACACUCUAAAUAUCUCACAAAUAUAUACUAAAUGUAUAAUUAAUGAGAUAUAUGUUACAAAUGCCUCGAUCUUUAUUAAUAGUGUGCAUUAAUAUGAUACAUGUAUCCAGCCUGGAUGUGUCUGGAUGAGUAAAUGUGUUCAAUAAAUAGCUACAUUUGUUGAGAUCGGUCAGUACAAAAAAAGUGUUCAUAGGUUACUACAAGACAAACCCAAUGGACCAUUGGUAUGGUUGUGAAUUGGUGUUGGCGCUACAUGGUGCAACCAUUGGUACGAGCGCUCCAUUGCUAGUGUUGAUGAAGUGGUGCUGGCACCCCGUGGUAUGACCAUAGGUAUGAGCGGGAGCACUUGGACCAUGCGUCAUAUUACGCUUUGGUUGCUCUGUUGAAUUUUCGCCCAAAAAGGAAGUAGCUCCAAAUGACUUCAUUUGAUAGGAUGUUGAUUGGUUUUCUUCCAUAUGUUCAUUCCUGCACAUCAAUAGUAACAACAAGUUUUCUUCUUUCUCGAAGGAUUAGUGUUAGAAAGACGCGAGAAAUAUCUAAAACCCUGUGAAAAACAUAUCAACGCCCUCUUAUAAAAGUGACAAAAUAUCAAGCCAUUAGUACCCAGUGUUAUCCUUUCUGUCAUGCAUGACUGUUUAUGUCUGGGUUUUAAUUUCGGUUGGUUAUCUGACAUGUUUGCAGCAUGCUAGAAGUGGUUGAGGAGCGAAGACCUACGUUCACUUCUGGUAUACGAAGAGGUCCCGUGGCAGGCGGGGGUGGUUGAUGAAUACCUUUGGUGAAUAGAUAAUGGAUAACAGAAAGGUUCCCAACCUCUUUCCCCAAGGAGUGACCCUGAGUUAUUGAACCCACGAUAGGAAGCGCACUUGUGACAAGGGUUUCUAUCAAGCUUUUGCGGGAGAAUUAAAUUCCAGUUUUUAUACCAGAUCGUAAUCAAGUUGGAACGAAGAACACUUGUAAUAAAAAUAGUCAUGGGUAUGAUGACUUGAUUCUUAUAACCAUAUUUUUGUGAUCGAGAUCAAUAUGAUCUUAAUUUGUGCUCUGGAAGACAGUCGUUAAGAUGUGCUUGCAACGUAUCUAAGUGGGGAUUUGUCCAAAUUAUUUCUUGACCGGAAUGCGCCCUGCAACAAGAGUCAGUUUUCCAACUGUAGACCUUUCCAUGGCACGGGGUUAUAUACCUUGAUUACUAGGAUAAAGCAGACAAAAGCAUGGGCGUUUAAUGACUACACCUCAUGUAUCCCCAGAGAUAUGAUCCACGCUACCAUACUAAACCAUUCUGUCACUGGUGUUCAGAAUAGCGCUUCACGUUCGCCUGGCUCGAACUCCAUGAUCAUGGGUACCUGCAGGGACAAAGAACGCAAGAGAGACAAGGGACAACUACGAUGUAAUUUUAUUUCACACAUACAUGACGUUAGUUCAAAUUCAUUCCAUCGAUCCCUCAAACAAAUACAUCAGCUUGCAAGGCUAUGCCUCAACGCAUGACCUUAUCAAAUUACUCACACACGGUGAUCGGAUUGCGAUAAGAAAUCAUUGAAGAACACAUCAAGAUGAAUGCUUUAUUGAUAAUAUGUCUUACAAUGGUUGUCGGUUGCGAUACAAAAUUACAAGUAUGACUAACUUGGAGGUGGUUUGCUGCGAUGAUGGUGAUGGUGAUAGUGGUGGCUAUGAAGAUGAGAUGGGAAAUGGUGGAGGCUAGGGUUGAAGAAUGGAUUCUGGUGUGGAGAUUAGGUUCUAGCGGUUGCUCUGUUGCGAAUAUAAAAAAGGCCCCUUUAUAAUAGUUGUCAGGUUGGACCCUCGGAGCCGGAUGUGCAUGGUACAAGCACUUGUGCUCGUACCAGACGGCGUCUUGCGCUCUGGUGCGCCUCCCACUUGAUCUAUCUUAUCUCCAAUUUGCUCCUUUCCAUAUAUAUGCUUGAUUUGGUCCAUGUUUAGCCCAUUUUCACAUGGAAACAAAAUAAAGAGAGGAUUUUGAAAUACUUUGCAUUCAUUAGUAAUUGGUAGCAAUACCAAAGCGGGUAUCUCGGUUUUUAUGAAAUAAAAAGGUUUAAACUAUGGUGUGAUGAUCAUAAAAACAACACUAGUCAAUGGUCCUUCGAGCUAUUUAUAUCUAUGUCAGCUGGUGCCUUUUCUCUGUUGGACAGUGUCCUUCUUUGAUGUUUGGUAUUCUUUGUGCCGAAUUUGAACUUGGUUUCCUUUAAAUGAACGGAUGGAUGGGCAAUGAUGCUUCUCUUACCUUCCUUUCAAUCCCUACUACUGGCUUCAUGUACGCAUGUGCCACUUCGUGUGGUGGGUUUUAUCGUUUCACUUACCAACAUGGUGUCAUUCCCUUUACCCCGCCCCCUUCAGCAUAUCAUUUUCUUCCUUUUGUGGCCCUUUUCUUGACUCCCUCCAUCUUGCAAAUAUUUCUUUGGUCCUUUCGUGUGGUCUAUUUGAUGAAAUGCAUGUGGUCUCAUCCCUAAUGCUUGAGUAGGGUUUUUUCUGAGUCCUAGAGGAUUGAAUUGACUAUUGCUGAUGUUCGAUUCAUCAUGCCUUCUCAUAAUCCAGAUAAACCUUGUCAAGGUUUGGUCUUUUAAUUUCUAUUGCAUGAAUGAUUUCUCUGCAAAAUGAUGUUUGUUUCUGACGUGCCACUUGUGUGACGUAAAACCUAUGUUGGUCACCAGAAAUGUGCUAGUGCUGGUUUUCGACCAUCACCCAGACCGUCAGAGAAGCGCCAUCACAAAAACAAAUUCCUAACAAUGCCUCUUUUUCUGUCACCUAAGAUUGUAGUUUAGGUGAAGGUUAUGAGCUUGUCAUGAAGGUGCAUUGUGGGUGACGGCUAGUAUUGUCAUCUUUGAUCGGCCGAUUUGUCACUACCAUUUUUGGUGACGACAAUAUAUCACUAAAAGUCGAUGCGCCAGGUCUGACCGGCAGACGAUUCUAACAUAUGGGCCGAGUAGAUGAUGACUUGGCUGCUUACAUGCGAGUCCAUUAGUAUUUUUUUGGUGACGGUGGGCCUUCACUAACAAGUAUGUUCGGAUAAAUCCAUUGAUUCUGCAAGCCAAACAAACAUCUAUCGUUUCUUUCAUCUCUCAGGUUUUGCGUAACUCCUAUAAGAUCGUUUGUUGAUAAAGUUGUAACUUCUUCCAGGGUUUUUUUCCUUCAGCAAGAAUGUGCUUGCUUCUUGUCAGGUCGUGGAGCAUGUGGGUUAUGGCCCAUCUCAUCACUUGUAAACCUUGAACUCAUCAUCGGGUUGCAACUGAUCAUUAUUCCAACAUCUAGCUUCCUAGCAUUCUUAAAUCCAUCCAAUUGUAUUGUCCCCCUUCCUUCUAUUGGUACAAAACUAAGAUGUAGUUACUCAGACUCAUCAUUGAGUUGUCCAUUCCAAAGUCUGACGUAGCUAACCACUAGCUCAUGUAUUUGUUGGGAAUCGUAGCAUAAUUUUAAAAUUUUCCUACGCUCACCAAGAUGCAUCUAUGGAGUAUACUAGCAACGAGGGGAAAGGAGUGCAUCUACAUACCCUUGUAGAUCGCGAGCGGAAGCGUUCCAAUGAACGUGGAUGACGGAGUCGUACUCGCCGUGAUCCAAAUCACCGAUGACCGAGUGCCGAACGGACGGCACCUCCGCGUUCAACACACGUACGGUGCAGCGACGUCUCCUCCUUCUUGAUCCAGCAACAGGGAAGGAGAGGUUGAUGGAGAUCCAGCAGCACGACGGCGUGGUGGUGGAUGUAGCGGGAUGCCGGCAGGGCUUCGCCGAGCUUAUACGAGAGAGAGAGAGGUGUUGCAGGGGAGGAGGGAGGCGCCCGAGGCUGUCAAGUUGCUGCCCUCCCUCCCCCCUUUAUAUAGGCCCCCUGGGGGGGCGCCGGCCCUAGAGAUGGGAUCUCAAGGGGGGCGGCGGCCAAAGGGGGGAAGGGGGUGGCUUCCCCCACAAGCCAAAGGGGGGGCGCCCCCCAACCCUAGGGUUCCCAACCCUAGGCGCAGGGGGAGGCCCAAGGGGGGCGCCCCAGCCCACUAAGGGCUGGUUCCCUUCCACUUUCAGCCCAUGGGGCCCUCCGGGAUAGGCGGCCCCACCCGGUGGACCCCCGGGACCCUUCCGGUGGUCCCGGUACAAUACCGGUAACCCACGAAACUUUCCCGGUGGCCGAAACUGGACUUCCCAUAUAUAAUUCUUCACCUCCGGACCAUUCCGAAACUCUUCGUGACGUCCGGGAUCUCAUCCGGGACUCCGAACAACUUUCGAGUUUCCGCAUACAUAUAUCUCUACAACUCUAGCGUCACCGAACCGUAAGUGUGUAGACCCUACGGGUUCGGGAGACAUGCAGACAUGACCGAGACGCCUCUCCGGUCAAUAACCAACAGCGGGAUCUGGAUACCCAUGUUGGCUCCCACAUGUUCCACGAUGAUCUCAUCGGAUGAACCACGAUGUCGAGGAUUCAGUCAAUCCCGUAUACAAUUCCCUUUGUCAAUCGAUAUGUUACUUGCCCGAGAUUCGAUCGUCGGUAUCCCAAUACCUUGUUCAAUCUCGUUACCGGCAAGUCUCUUUACUCGUACUGCAAUGCAUGAUCCCGUGACUAACGCCUUAGUCACAUUGAGCUCAUUAUGAUGAUGCAUCACCGAGUGGGCCCAGAGAUACCUCUCCGUCAUACGGAGUGACAAAUCCCAGUCUCGAUCCAUGCCAACCCAACAGACACUUUCGGAGAUACCCGUAGUGCACCUUUAUAGUCACCCAAUUACGUUGUGACGUUUGGCACACCCAAAGCACUCCUACGGUAUCCGGCAGUUGCACGAUAUCAUGGUCUAAGGAAAAGAUACUUGACAUUGGAAAAGCUCUAGCAAACGAAACUACACGAUCUUUAUGCUAUGCUUAGGAUUGGGUCUUGUCCAUCACAUCAUUCUCCUAAUGAUGUGAUCCCGUUAUCAAUGACAUCCAAUGUCCAUAGUCAGGAAACCAUGACUAUCUGUUGAUCAACGAGCUAGUCAACUAGAGGCUUACUAGGGACACGUUGUGGUCUAUGUAUUCACACAUGUAUUGCGAUUUCCGGAUAAUACAAUUAUAGCAUGAAUAAUAGACAAUUACCAUGAACAAAGAAGUAUAAUAAUAACCAUUUAUUAUUGCCUCUAGGGCAUAUUUCCAACAGUCUCCCACUUGCACUAGAGUCAAUAAUCUAGUUACAUUGUGAUGAAUCGAACACCCAUUGCGUCCUGGUGUUGAUCAUGUUUUGCUCUAGGGAGAGGUUUAGUCAACGGAUCUGCUACAUUCAGGUCCGUAUGUACUUUACAAAUAUCUAUGUCUCCAUUUUGAACACUUUCACGAAUGGAGUUGAAGCGACGCUUGAUAUGCCUGGUCUUCCUGUGAAACCUGGGCUCCUUCGCAAGGGCAAUAGCUCCAGUGUUGUCAUAGAAGAGAGUCAUCGGGCCCGACGCAUUGGGAAUCACCCCUAGGUCGGUAAUGAACUCCUUCAUCCAGACUGCUUCCUGUGCUGCCUCCGAGGCUGCCAUGUACUCCGCUUCACAUGUAGAUCCCGCCACGACGCUUUGCUUGCAACUGCACCAGCUUACUGUUCCCUCCAUUAAAAAUAUACACGUAUCCGGUUUGUGACUUCGAGUCAUCCAGAUCUAUGUCGAAGCUAGCGUCGACGUAACCCUUUACGACGAGCUCUUCGUCACCUCCAUAAACGAGAAACAUAUCCUUAGUCCUUUUCAAGUACUUCAGGAUAUUCUUGACCGCUGUCCAGUGUUCCAUGCCGGGAUUACUUUGGUACCUUCCUACCAAACUCACGGCAAGGUUUACAUCAGGUCUGGUACACAGCAUGGCAUACAUAAUAGACCCUAUGGCCAAGGCAUAGGGGAUGACACUCAUCUUUUCUAUAUCUUCUACCGUGGUCGGGCAUUGAGCCGUGCUCAAUUGCACACCUUGCAAUACAGGCAAGAACCCCUUCUUGGACUGAUCCAUAUUGAACUUCUUCAAUAUCUUGUCAAGGUAUGUACUCUGUGAAAGACCAAUGAGGCGUCUUGAUCUAUCUCUAUAGAUCUUGAUGCCUAAUAUAUAAGCAGCUUCUCCAAGGUCCUUCAUUGAAAAACACUUAUUCAAAUAGGCUUUAUACUUUCCAAGAAUUCUAUAUCAUUUCCCAUCAAUAGUAUGUCAUCCACAUAAAAUAUGAGAAAUGCUACAGAGCUCCCACUCACUUUCUUGUAAACACAGGCUUCUCCAUAAGUCUGUGUAAACCCAAACGCUUUGAUCAUCUCAUCAAAGCGAAUGUUCCAACUCCGAGAUGCUUGCACCAGCCCAUAGAUUGAGCGCUGGAGCUUGCAUACUUUGUUAGCAUUCUUAUGAUCGACAAAACCUUCCGGCUGCAUCAUAUACAACUCUUCCUUAAGGAAGCCGUUAAGGAAUGUCGUUUUGACGUCCAUCUGCCAUAUCUCAUAAUCAUAGUAUGCGGCAAUUGCUAACAUGAUUCGGACGGACUUCAGCUUCGCUACGGGUGAGAAAGUCUCAUCGUAGUCAACCCCUUGAACGUGUCGAUAACCCUUAGCGACAAGUCGAGCUUUGUAGAUGGUUACAUUACCAUCCGCGUCUGUCUUCUUCUUAAAGAUUCAUUUGUUUUCUAUGGCUCGCCGAUCAUCGGGCAAGUCAGUCAAAGUCCAUACUUCAUUUUCAUACAUGGAUCCUAUCUCGGAUUUCAUGGCUUCUAGCCAUUUGUCGGAAUCCGGGCCCGCCAUCGCUUCUUCAUAGUUCGAAGGUUCACCGUUGUCUAACAACAUGAUUUCCAGGACAGGGUUGCCGUACCACUCUGGUGCGGAACGUGUCCUUGUGGACCUACGAGGUUUAGUAGUAACUUGAUCCGAAGCUUCAUGAUCAUCAUCAUUAACUUCCCCCCCCCCAGUAGGUGUAGGCACCACAGGAACAUUUUCCCGCGCUGCGCUACUUUCCGGUACGGAAGGGGUGACUAUCACCUCAUCAAGUUCCACUUUCCUCCCACUCAAUUCUUUCGAGAGAAACUCCUUCUCUAGAAAGGACCCGUUCUUGGCAACGAAGAUCUUGCCUUCGGAUCUGAGGUAGAAGGUAUACCCAAUAGUUUCCUUAGGGUAUCCUAUGAAGACGCAUUUUUCCGACUUGGGUUCGAGCUUUUCAGGUUGAAGUUUCUUGACAUAAGCAUCGCAUCCCCAAACCUUUAGAAACGACAGCUUAGGUUUCUUCCCAAACCAUAAUUCAUAUGGUGUCGUCUCAACGGAUUUUGACGGAGCCCUAUUUAAAGUGAAUGCGGCAGUCUCUAAAGCAUAGCCCCAAAAUGAGAGCGGUAAACCGGUAAGAGACAUCAUAGAUCGCACCAUAUCCAAUAGAGUGCGAUUACGACGUUCGGACACACCGUUUCUCUGAGGUGUUCCAGGCGGCGUGAGUUGUGAAACUAUUCCACAUUUCCUUAAGUGUGCACCAAACUCGUGACUUAAAUAUUCUCCACCACGAUCUGAUCGUAAGAAUUUUAUUCUCUUGUCACGUUGAUUCUCAACCUCACUAUGAAAUUCCUUAAACUUUUCAAAGGUUUCAGACUUGUGUUUCAUUAGGUAGACAUACCCAUAUCUACUUAAGUCAUCAGUGAGAGUGAGAACAUAACGAUAUCCUCCGCGAGCCUCAACACUCAUUGGACCGCACACAUCCGUAUGUAUGAUUUCCAAUAAGUUGGUUGCUCGCUCCAUUGUUCCGGAGAACGGAGUCUUGGUCAUCUUACCCAUGAGGCAUGGUUCGCAUGUGUCAAAUGAUUCGUAAUCAAGAGACUCCAAAAGUCCAUCUGUAUGGAGCUUCUUCAUGCGCUUCACACCAAUGUGACCAAGGCGGCAGUGCCACAAGUAUGUGGGACUAUCGUUAUCAACUUUACAUCUUUUGGUAUUCACACUAUGAACAUAUGUAACAUCACGUUCGAGAUUCAUCAAAAAUUAACCAUUGACCAGCGGGGCAUGACCAUAAAACAUAUCUCUCAAAUAAAUAGAACAACCAUUAUUCUCGGAUUUAAAUGAGUAGCCAUCUCGAAUUAAACGAGAUCCAGAUACAAUGUUCAUGCUCAAAGCUGGCACUAAAUAACAAUUAUUGAGGUUUAAAACUAAUCCCGUGGGUAGAUGCAGAGGUAGCGUGCCGACGGCGAUCACAUCGACCUUGGAACCAUUCCCGACGCGCUUCGUCACCUCGUCCUUCGCCAGUCUCCGUUUAUUCUGUAGUUCCUGUUUUGAGUUACAAAUAUGAGCAACCGCACCGGUAUCAAAUACCCAGGAGCUACUACGAGCACUGGUAAGGUACACAUCAAUUACAUGUAUAUCACAUAUACCUUUGGUGUUGUCGGCCUUCUUGUCCGCUAAGUAUUUGGGGCAGUUCCGCUUCCCGUGACCACUUCCCUUGCAAUAAAAGCACUCAGUUUCAGGCUUGGGUCCAUUCUUUGACUUCUUCCCUGUAACUGGUUUACCGGGCGCGGCAACUCCCUUGCCGUCCUUCUUGAAGUUCUUCUUACCCUUGCCCUUCUUGAACUUAGUGGUUUUAUUCACCAUCAACACUUGAUGUUCUUUUCUGAUUUCUACCUCCGCUGAUUUCAGCAUCGAAUAUACCUCAGGAAUGGUCUUUUCCAUCCCCUGCAUAUUGUAGUUCAUCACAAAGCUCUUGAAGCUUGGUGGAAGCUACUGAAGGAUUCUGUCAAUGACCGCGUCAUCCGGGAGAUUAACUCCCAGCUGAGUCAAGCGGUUGUGCAACCCAGACAUUCUGAGUAUGUGCUCACUAACAGAACUAUUCUCCUCCAUUUUACAGCUGAAGAACUUGUCGGAGACUUCAUAUCUCUCGACCCGGGCAUGAGCUUGGAAAACUAAUUUCAGCUCCUCGAACAUCUCAUAUGCUCCAUGUUUCCCAAAACGCUUUUGGAGACCCGGUUCUAAGCUGUAAAGCAUGCCGCACUGAACGAGGGAGUAAUCAUCAGCACGUGUUUGCCAAGCGUUCAUAACGUCUUGGUUCUCUGGGAUUGGUGCUUCACCUAGCGGUGCUUCUAAGACAUAAUAUUUCUUGGCUACUAUGAGGAUGAGCCUCAGGUUCCGGACCCAGUCUGUAUAGUUGCUGCCAUCAUCUUUCAGCUUGGUUUUCUCUAGGAACGCGUUGAAAUUGAGGACAACGUUGGCCAUUUGAUCUACAAGACAUAUUGUAAAGAUUUUAGACUAAGUUCAUGAUAAUUAAGUUCAUAUAAUCAAAUUAUUCAAUGAACUCCCACUCAGAUAGACAUCCCUCUAGUCAUCUAAGUGAAACAUGAUCCGAGUUAACUAGGCCGUGUCCGAUCAUCACGUGAGAGGGACUAGUCAAGAUCGGUGAACAUCUCCAUGUUGAUCGUAUCUUCUAUACGACUCAUGCUCGACCUUUCGGUCCUCCGUGUUCCGAGGCCAUGUCUGUACAUGCUAGGCUCGUCAAGUCAACCUAAGUGUAUUGCGUGUGUUCCGAGGCCAUGUCUGUACAUGCUAGGCUCGUCAACACCCGUUGUAUUCGAACGUUAGGAUCUAUCACACCCGAUCAUCACGUGGUGCUUCGAAACAACGAACCUUCGCAACGGUGCACAGUUAGGGUGAACACUUUCUUGAAAUUAAUAUAAGGGAUCAUCUUACUUACUACCGUCGUGCUAAGCAAAUAAGAUGCAAAAACAUGAUAAACAUCACAUGCAAUCAAAUAGUGACAUGAUAUGGCCAAUAUCAUUAUGCUCCUUUGAUCUCCAUCUUCGGGGCACCAUGAUCAUCUUCGUCACCGGCAUGACACCAUGAUCUCCAUCAUCAUGAUCUCCAUCAUUGUGUCUUCAUGAAGUCGUCACGCCAACGAUUACUUCUACUUCUAUGGCUAACGCGUUUAGCAACAAAGUAAAGUAAUUUACAUGGCGUUAUUCAAUGACACGCAGGUCAUACAAAAUAAUAAAGACAACUCCUAUGGCUCCUGCCGGUUGUCAUACUCAUCGACAUGCAAGUCGUGAUUCCUAUUACAAGAAUAUGAUCAAUCUCAUACAUCACAUAUAUCAUUCAUCACAUCUUCUGGCCAUAUCACAUCACAUAGCACUUGCUGCAAAAACAAGUUAGACGUCCUCUAAUUGUUGUUGCAAGUUUUUUUUACGUGGUUUGUAGGUUUCUAUCAAGAACGUUUCUUACCUACGUAUGACCACAACGUGAUUUGCCAAUUUCUAUUUACCCUUCAUAAGGACCCUUUUCGUCGAAUCCGUUCCGACUAAAGUAGGAGAGACAGACACCCGGUAGCCACCUUAUGCAACUAGUGCAUGUCAGUCGGUGGAACCUGUCUCACGUAAGCGUACGUGUAAGGUCGGUCCGGGCCGCUUCAUCCUACAAUGCCGCCGAAACAAGAAACGACUAGUAGCGGCAAGAAGAAUUGGCAAACUCAACGCCCACAACUGCUUUGUGUUCUACUCAUGCAUAGUAACUACGCAUAGGCCUGGCUCAUGAUGCCACUGUUGGGAAUCGUAGCAUAAUUUUAAAAUUUUCCUACGCUCACCAAGAUGCAUCUAUGGAGUAUACUAGCAACGAGGGGAAAGGAGUGCAUCUACAUACCCUUGUAGAUCGUGAGCGGAAGCGUUCCAAUGAACGUGGAUGACGGAGUCGUACUCGCCGUGAUCCAAAUCACCGAUGACCGAGUGCCGAACGGACGGCACCUCUGCGUUCAACACACGUACGGUGCAGCGACGUCUCCUCCUUCUUGAUCCAGCAAGGGGGAAGGAGAGGUUGAUGGAGAUCCAGCAGCACGACGGCGUGGUGGUGGAUGUAGCGGGAUGCCGGCAGGGCUUCGCCGAGCUUAUACGAGAGAGAGAGGUGUUGCAGGGGAGGAGGGAGGCGCCCGAGGCUGUCAAGUUGCUGCCCUCCCUCCCCCCCUUUAUAUAGGCCCCCUGGGGGGGUGCCAGCCCUAGAGAUGGGAUCUCAAGGGGGGCGGCGGCCAAAGGGGGGAAGGGGGUGGCUUCCCCUUCAAGCCAAAGGGGGGCGGCCAAAGGGGGGAAGGGGGUGGCUUCCCCUUCAAGCCAAAGGGGGGCGGCGGCCAAAGGGGGGAAGGGGGUGGCUUCCCCACCACCACACCGUAAGUGUGUAGACCCUACGGGUUCGGGAGACAUGCAGACAUGACCGAGACGCCUCUCCGGUCAAUAACCAACAGCGGGAUCUGGAUACCCAUGUUGGCUCCCACAUGUUCCAUGAUGAUCUCAUCGGAUGAACCACGAUGUCGAGGAUUCAGUCAAUCCCGUAUACAAUUCCCUUUGUCAAUCGAUAUGUUACUUGCCCGAGAUUCGAUCGUCGGUAUCCCAAUACCUUGUUCAAUCUCGUUACCGGCAAGUCUCUUUACUUGUACCGCAAUGCAUGAUCCCGUGACUAACGCCUUAUUCACAUUGAGCUCAUUAUGAUGAUGCAUCACCGAGUGGGCCCAGAGAUACCUCUCCGUCAUACGGAGUGACAAAUCCCAGUCUCGAUCCGUGCCAACCCAACAGACACUUUCGGAGAUACCCGUAGUGCACCUUUAUAGUCACCCAAUUACGUUGUGACGUUUGGCACACCCAAAGCACUCCUACGGUGUCCGGGAGUUGCACGAUCUCAUGGUCUAAGGAAAAGAUACUUGACAUUGGAAAAGCUCUAGCAAACGAAACUACACGAUCUUUAUGCUAUGCUUAGGAUUGGGUCUUGUCCAUCACAUCAUUCUCCUAAUGAUGUGAUCCCGUUAUCAAUGACAUCCAAUGUCCAUAGUCAGGAAACCAUGACUAUCUGUUGAUCAACGAGCUAGUCAACUAGAGGCUUACUAGGGACACGUUGUGGUCUAUGUAUUCACACAUGUAUUGCGAUUUCCGGAUAAUACAAUUAUAGCAUGAAUAAUAGACAAUUACCAUGAACAAAGAAAUAUAAUAAUAACCAUUUAUUAUUGCCUCUAGGGCAUAUUUCCAACAGUUUUUGGUAACGGUGUUGGGUUCUACCACCCAUAAAAUCUUAUUCCACGUAUCAUGAUUUCACUCAUUGCCUAUAUUGUAACAACUCAUAAAAUCCAAAUCAUUACCAAUGAUGAUGCUAACUUUAUUGAUUCUCAAACUAUUACAAUCUCCUGCAUUUCCAUUACAUGCCUCAACUUAACACCUCAAUAUAAGAGUGUUCCCACUACCAAGUGCAUCUUUUUUACAAACUCAACUAUUUAGCACAAGUCUCCUUCUCAUUGGGACAAUCUCUAGCAAGGUGACCUGCUUCUUUAUAGUGGAAACAUAUUUCUUCUGACAAGUCUCGAGGUUUCCUUGUGAUUACAUAGCCUACUUGGGUCCUCGGCUUCCUUUUUGGGCAACCGCUGAAGUAGUGCCCCAGAUCUUUGCACCUGAAACAUGUGAUACGACUCAGGUCCUUAUUUGUAAAAAUUGGGUUGUUAUGGGGAUACAUUCUGUUUCUCUUCCUAGACUUUUCCGUACCAAUUAGGGCCUCUAUCUCCUGUGGGUCAUAAUCUACUUCCUCUGUCGGGAAUUCUACUAGAUCCUCCUUCGGACAAUUCUGGGAGAUGUGUCCUUCUUCUCCACAUGAAUAGCAUGACUUGGUGCAGGGUUUAAUUGGGUCUUCUUCGGGUGUGUCCUCAAAAUCUUCCUUCAUCGUGGGUUUUUCUAAAGUUUCCCUGAGGGCUUCUUUCUUCCGCUGAAUGACUUGAUGUACCUUGGGGUAGAUGUGACACUGAGCAGGGUAGUGGGUAGUCCCUUCACACAAGAAACAAGCAAUCUGCCUAGUUGGGCAUUCUUCAGUUGGGUGACUUUCUUCGCAGUGAGGGCAUCCAUCCUUUUGUUCUUUAUGGUUGUGUCAUAUUUCUCCACAAAGCUUGCAUGCAAGGUUUCUUCAUUUCAUUUCCACAAGGCUUCAGUUUUUGGGGCACAAGACGAGACCUUAGGAGAGUCAACUUAAAUUCUUCCCAAGUGAUUUCUGCUUGCCAUCCAUUGAUAACUUGAUACAUACUCAACCAAGUAGCGGCACUUUUUUCAAAGUACUGAAGAACAUGUUGGGCCAUAUCCUUUCCGGCUAUAGUGUUAUUCCUCAUGUGAUCUUCCAUGUUCUGAAUCCAUUUGUCCGUCUCCAAUUGAGUCAUUGAUCCAGAAAAUGUGAGUUCAUCUCCAUUCGUCAUCUAUUGGGUCCAAGGGUUUUGGGUAAGGUCGAGAUAAGAUUGGAGAGAGAGGGGAAAAGGUACCCAUACCAACAAAAGACACAACAGCUAAAAUAUGGAGUAACUCCACACAUUCAUUCAGUUCAAUUAAUCCUAUAGUACUACCGCCCACAUAUGUUGGUAUGGUCAGAUACUCUAAUCACAAAACGUUUAUCUUUAUUCGCUCAUGGUGGGCUAUAGCUAGACUAGCUUCUUCAUGUCCUGGUUCAUGUCUCCGCUGGCUUCUUCCGAUCACGCUUGAUCUUCUCAAGUUCUUCUGGCAGAUCAUCUCUAUUGAUGCGAAGUCUCUUGUGACAUCCUUAUUGCGUUCGAAGCUUAUGGAUUUCAACAUCCUUGGCAUGAACCAUGGUCCUACUGUCCUUCAGUUCCUGACGAAUCUUCGGUAUCUUGAGGUUUUGCUCCUCCAUCUUGGCUACUUUCAGCUUUUGGGUUCUGAGCUCUUUACGAAAUACUUCCUUUUUGAAUAAGGCUUCCAGAAGGUCCAUCCGAAAAUUCUUGAUGUAAUACUCUAGAUCCUGGUGAUACACCGGCUGACGUGAAAACUUCAUCUUUUGCUCGUUCGUCAAGGCGAUAGGUGCUCCAUUAGCUUUCUGCCAUCCAAUCCUUCCGAAGAAAUGCAUGCUUAACUCAGCACGGUGACGAUAGCACAAGCGAGCGAUAGUAUCAUGUAUAGCCAUGUUUAUGCCCAUGUCUGUGCCAUGAGCUAUCACUCCAUAGCUAAUAUCUCCUAUCUUGGGGUUUUCUUGACGACCAAAAAUUUGAGUUUUGACGGUCCAUGUUCUGGUCUUCCUCUGACACACCUUGAUCUCAGCUAUCGGCCGCUUCAAUAGUCUCACAAGUUCCAUAAGGGCUGGACCACAGGGAAAGUCUUCGUAGUGUUGUCUUUGGUUCAGGGUAAAGCUCUUCAUCUAAAAUAUGGAAGCCAGGGGUUUCUUUAGUAAUGAAUUUCAGAAGAGUACGAGAAUAACUUAAGUGGAUCCUAUCAUAGCCUUCCAAGUCACUUCACUCUGGGAAUUCUUCAGAGCCUUCAAAUUCUUCGAGUCUUUGGAGUCUUCAACCGUUGUAGUUUCAAUUAUACCGAUGCACAGUAAAAUCCUCUUUAUUCUGAAAUGGUCUCAGAUGUCCGAUAUCUUGUCCUUCUUGGAGUGGUCUCAUCAGUCGAAUCUUCGUGUGGUCAAAAGGGGAAAGGGGUAUAGUCUAACUAUUUGAGAUGAGAGGAAAUAUUUGGAAAGGCUUAGAAAAGAUGAGAGUUAAGGGUUCUCUUUUGAAGAUAAAGUUUUUAGAGAAGUCAUUUCCUAAGGGCUUGCCACUAGGGGCCACGUCCUACAGUCAACAUGUGCUAUGAUACCAUCUUGUAGCGACCCGACCCAAAUGGAUCAAGUCUCUGUGCUUAAGUGUCAUCCCUGGAUCGGUAUGGUGACACACACAAUACUCGAGGAUUUAUAACAGAGUCAAUCACAUGUAAAAACUAACGUAAAUACUAUUACCUAAAUCCAUAUACCGGAAGUAACAUCAAAAUUGUGGGGUCCCAACAACACCAAUGGCAAAGUUGAGUGUAGACAUCGUAACCCUAACGUAUCACUUACUCGUCGUAAGAUUCCUGCAACAUGAAACGUUGCAGCCGUGUAGGUCAGUACGUUGAAUGUACUGGCAAUUCACACCAUAGAAUAAUGAUGAAAAUGUCAAUCUCUAUAUGCAUAUUUGGCUGGUGGAGGCUCUAGGUUUAAUUUUGCAUAAAGCUAAUUUUUCCCUACAACAAAGGAAUACAUUUUUAUUUUACUACCAAGUUUAUGCCAUUAUUGAGAAGGUUCCUCCAACUCAAUCCCAAAAUUCCCAAAUUAUUAAUAACCCAAUACAUUAAUUAAGUAACGUGAUGAGAUCAACCAAUAAUCACUUCUAUACUCAAAGUUGUCCAUAACCCGGGACACGGCUAAUCAUGAUUAGUUUGUACACUCUGCCCCACAAGACUCGACCACCUCCAUGAUCGGAAGAUCGAGACAUAGCCUUUCUGAAGUAUUUACUCUUUACUCUGCGUAGACCGGUACACCGACUUUUCCCUACAUUAGCUAGUCUACCACUAAAAGAGGUCACACAACUUACUCAACUAUGCGAGAGCCCAUAAUGGCUUGUGGUUGCACACGGAAGUUUCUAGGCAUGAAAUAUCGUAUAAUCCCUUUGAGCAUGGGUGGCGGACUUCGGGUAAUCACAUGGGUACUCUGGGAUUCCCUUGGGCAAGCACUGGUUUCUCCAGGUGCCCCGAACAAUCCACCCAGAUGUGAUGUUAAUAUUGCCACCUUAAGUUAUCCUUAAUUAUUAUCUCUCACAACUUGCAUGAAUCUCACAUACCAAUCCCCGUCUACGAGCAUGGCUAAGCAAUUUAUGAGCAUAACGUAUAUUACGGGGGUGAUCAAAGGUAAUAGGUUCCUACCACAUGAACUACAAAGCAAUAACCACAUGUUCCCAAUCCUACUCAUGUAAUCUUUGAGGGUGAAACUAAUACAUAAUAAAACUUGGUAUGAAAGAGUAUGAUCAAAGUGUAACUUGCCUUGUACUGUUGAUGAAGAUUCUUCGCACUCAUAAUUUUGGUAGUUCUACUCAUCACACUCCGAUCAAUCUAUCGUAAGCAAGCAAUUAUUUGCACACAUAAGCAAUCACUCAAAGAUCCAAAAGAACGAAGAAAAUACUUCAGAAAACUUCAAAACCAUCAAAUAAAGCUUCUAGACAGAAACAUAUUUUUACCAGUAGCAAAAUUAUGUGAUUUUGAUCUGAACAUAAAGUACAUGUCAAGAGCUUCAAUUUGCAAAAAGAAUCGAUUAUAUUGAAGUUAUGAAACUCAAGUUAUAGCGAAAACAAGUUUAAAUUUGAAUCUGAUCUAAUUCAAAUUUAAAAUUUCAAAAAUUUCAUUUUAUAUGUUCUAUGGAUAGUUGAGAUCACGAUGAAGAAUUUGGCGUUGGUUUCACUGAAUUUGGAUAGUUGAGAUCACGAUGAAGAAUUUGGCGUUGUUUUCACUGAAUUUGGAUAGUUGAGAUCACGAUGAAGAAUUUGGCGUUGGUUUCACUGAAUUUGGAUAGUUGUGAAGGUUUUAAAAGUCAGGGGCUAAUCUGAAAGGAACUAAACUACAACUAGGUCCCUGACCACGUGUCAAACUGCUGCUGGCUGAAAAUCGUUCGCUGCGAGGCUAAACUAGCGAACAACCACUAAAUAGCGCAUAACGGUUCUAAAGAAAAAAUUGAGAUCUAAUCUCAGCGGUGUAUUCUAGAUCGGACGGACGAGAGGGAGCGACGGCUUACCGCGGUGGUGGGCAUCGGGCGUGGUCGUGGAGCCUGCUCCGGUGGUCCUUCGGCGUGGGCGCGAGGUUGGGGAGAAGCGGUGCGAGGUGGCGAAGCCGAUGGCGGGGUCGGUGUCGGUCGAGGGCGGAGGUGGAGCGCGGAACGAGGCAACAAAUCUCCGGCGGAGCUCAAACUCUGGCGAGGUUUGUGCGGGGUGUGGGGAGGUGAGGGCGGCUGCAGUUGUUGGGGAACGUAGUAUUUCAAAAAAGUUCCUACGAUCACGCAAGAUCUAUCUAGGAGAAGCAUAGAAACGAGCGGGAAGAGUGUGUCCACGUACCCUCAUAGACCGAAAGCAGAAGCGUUUAGUAACGCGGUUGAUGUAGUCGAACCUCUUUGCGAUCCAAUCGAUCCAAGUACGGAACGUAUGGCACCUCCGUGAUCUGCACACGUUUAGCUCGGUGACGUCCCUCGAACUCUUGAUCCAAUUGAGGCCGAGGGAGAGUUCUGUCAGCACGACAGCGUGGUGAUGGUGAUGAUGAAGUUACGGGCCCAGGGCUUCGCCUAAGCACUACGACGAUAUGACCGAGGUGUGUAACUGUGGAGGAGGGCACCGCACACGGCUAAGAGAAACUUUGGUGUGUCUUUGGGGUGCCCCCCUCCCACAUAUAUAAAAGGGGGAGGAGAGGAGGCCGGCCCUAGGAGGGGGCGCGCCAUGGGGGAGUCCUACUUGGACUCCUAGUCCAAGUAGGAUUCGCCCCCCCUUUCCUAGUCCAAGUAGGAGAAGAAGGGAAAGAGGAGAGAAGAGAAGGAAGGAGGGGCGCGCCUCCCCUCCCCUUGUCCAAUUCGGACUGGGCAAGGGGGGGCGCCACCUUUGGCCGGCCCUCUCUCUUCUCCACUAAGGCCCAUUGUGGCCCAUUAAUCCCCCGGGGGGUUCCGGUAACCCCCCCCGGUACUCCGGAAAAUACCCGAACCUAUCCGAAACCAUUCCGGUGUCCAAACAUAACCUUCCAAUAUAUCAAUCUUUAUGUCUCGACCAUUUAGAGACUCCUCGUCAUGUCCGUGAUCUCAUCCGGGACUCCAAACAAACUUCGGUUCAUCAAAACACGAAACUCAUAAUACAAAUCAUCAUCGAAUGUUGAGCGGGCGGACCCUACGGGUUCGAGAACUAUGUAGACAUGACCGAGACACAUCUCUGGUAAAUAACCAAUAGCGGAACCUGGAUGCUCCUAUUUUCUCCUACAUAUUCUACGAAGAUCUUUAUCGGUCAAACCGCAUAACAACAUACGUUGUUCCCUUUGUCAUCGGUAUGUUACUUGCCCGAGAUUCGAUCGUCGGUAUCAUCAUACCUAGUUCAAUCUCAUUACCGGCAAGUCUCUUUACUCGUUCCGUAAUGCAUCAUCCCGCUACUAACUCAUUAGUCACAUUGCUUGCAAGGCUUAUAUUGAUGAGCAUUACCGAGAGGGCCCAGAGAUACCUCUUCGACACUCGGAGUGACAAAUCCUAAUCUCGAUCUAUGCUAACUCAACAAACACCAUUGGAGACACCUGUAGAGCAUCUUUAUAAUCACCCAGUUACAUUGUGACGUUUGAUAGCACACUAAGUGUUCCUCCGGUAUUCGGGAGUUGCAUAAUCUCAUAGUCAUAGGAACAUGUAUAAGUCAUGAAGAAAGCAAUAGCAAUAAACUAAAUGAUCAUAGUGCUAAGCCAACGGAUGGGUCUUGUCCAUCACAUCAUUCUCUAAUGAUGUGAUCCCGUUCAUCAAAUGACAACACAUGUCUAUGGCUAGGAAACUUAACCAUCUUUGAUUAACGAGCUAGUCUAGUAGAGGCAUACUAGGGACACACUGUUUGUCUAUGUAUUCACACAUGUACUAAGUUUCCGGUUAAUACAAUUCUAGCAUGAAUAAUAAACAUUUAUCAUGAUAUAAGGAAAUAUAAAUAACAACUUUAUUAUUGCCUCUAGGGCAUAUUUCCUUCAGUCUCCCACUUGCACUAGAGUCAAUAAUCCAGAUUACAUACUAAUGAUUCUAACACUCAUGUAGUCUUAGUGCUGAUCAUGUUUUGCUCGUGAGAGAGGCUUAGUCAAUGGGUCAGCAACAUUCAGAUCCGUAUGUAUUUUGCAAAUAUCUAUGUCUCCCUCCUUGACUUGAUCGCGGGUGGAAUUGAAGUGUGUCUUGAUGUGCUUGGUUCUCUUGUGACAUCUGGAUUUCUUUGCCAAGGAAAUUGCACCAGUAUUGUCACAAAAGAGUUUCAUUGGACCUGAUGCACUAGGUAUGACACCUAGAUCGGAUAUGAACUCCUUCAUCCAGACUCCUUCAAUAUGUACUCUUCUUCACACGUAGAUCCCGCCACGACGCUUUGCUUAGAACUGCACCAACUGAGAGCUCCACCAUUCAAUAUAAAUACGUAUCCGGUUUGUGACUUAGAGUCAUCGGGAUUAGUGUCAAAGCUUGCAUCGAUGUAACCAUUUACGAUGAGCUCUUUGUCACCUCCAUAAACGAGAAACAUAUUGUCGGUGUCAAAACCGGCGGAUUUCGGGUAGGGGGUCCCAGACUGUGUGUCUAAGGAUCGAAGGUAACAGGAGGGAGGGGACACAAUGUUUACCCAGGUUCAGGCCCUCUUAAUGGAGGUAAUACGCUACUUCCUGCUUGAUUGACUUUGAUGAGUAUAGGGGUUACAAGAGAUAAUCUACCUCGAGAUCGUAAUGGCUAAACCCUAGAUGUCUAGCCUAUAUGAUUAUGAUUGCCUCUAUGGACUAAACCCUCUGGUUUAUAUAGACAUCGGUAGGGCCUAGGGUUGUACAUAGUCGGUUUACAGAGAAAGGAAUCUUCAAAUACGAAUGCCAAGCUUGCCUUCCACAUCAAGGAGAGUCCCAUCCGGACUCGGGGGGAAGCCUUCUAUUCUGUAUCUUCACGGCCCACCAGUCCGGCCCAUGUCACAUAGCUCGGACGCCCGAGGACCCCAUAAUCCGGGACUCCCUCAGUAGCCCCUGAACCAGGCUUCAAUGACGAUGUGUCCGGCUCGCUGAUUGUCUUCGGCAUUGCAAGGCGGGUUCCUCCUCCGAACACUUCAAAGUAGUUGACCAAAAGAACUAUAUCCGGCUCUGUACAAUAGUUACAACCCUGAACCACAAGGGAAAAAUACUUAAACAAAAAUAGGUUAUGUCUUCUGACAGCUUUUUCGGCGAGGCAUUACAUCUGGCCACUUCAUUAUUUCGAAUCAUUUUUCAACCUCCCGUUUUGCGUUUCGAGACACAACCCCCAGUAGCACAUCUUGUCAAAGCAAAGAUCGUGUCCCCUUAUUGCGGGAUUCUCAUAAAUGAGGGAUUGGGUAAUCUAACCUGGCCAUCCGCAUGCUCCCUUUGGAAUAGGCAAAUUUUAAGGCUUGUGCGAGGUCGCCUGAUAUUCGUUGCCUUUAUAAAGGGAUAAGGACCCAUCUUUGUACCCCACGCCUUCUCCUUCCUUAGCCCUCCCAUCUUUGAGCUCUAGCGCCCAAGUCUCAAUCUUUCUCCAUUGCCACCACGUUCUCCAGCCAUGUCCGGAUCCGACUCUCAAGGCAAGUGGGUGGCCUCUUCCGUGACGAAGAAGGAUAUCCAGGGACUCCGGGAGGCGAGGUACUUAACCGCGGAAAUCGCACACAGGCUCUCGGCCAAGGGGCAAGUCAUCCCUACUCCAGAGCCCGGCGAGAGGGUCGUGUUCAUCUAUCACUUCCUCCGCGGGUUCGGGCUUCCCCUUCACCCCUUUGUUCGCGGCCUCAUGUUCUACUAUGGGCUAGAUUUUCACAAUCUAGCCCCGAACUCCUUCCUCCACAUCUCGGCGUUCAUCGUCAUGUGCGAGGCAUUUCUCCGCAUCCCCCCACACUUCGGCCUAUGGCUCGAGGUUUUCAACGUGAAGCCGAAGGUGGUCGACGGGGAGCAUGCAGAUUGCGGCGGCGCCAUGGUGAGCAAGCUUCCCCAUGCCAUCUGGCCUCAAGGGGCGUUUGUGUAUACCGUCAAGACAUGGCAGCAGGAGUGGUUCUACAUCACCGAAGCUCGCAGUACCAAGUGGGCGGCUACUGCCACAUUCAGAUCCGGGCCCCCGCUGCGGCUCGCGUCAUGGACCAACAAGGGUCUCGACUGGGGAUUGUACGAUGAGGUGUUGAUGCCGCAAAAGCGCAUCAAAAGUAUCAUAGAUAAGAACAUCCACCUCACUAACGUGAUCCAGGUGAUGCUCGUCCGUCGAACCCUUCCCUGCCAGCGACGGCCUCUCCGUUUGUGGGAGUUUAAUCCGGAAGGGCCGCGAACUCUACAACAAUUCUUCGGCACGACGCACAAAGAGAUCUGGAAACUGCUCUUUAAAUCUCAGAAGUCGUGGCCAGAGACGUCCGAAGACGCCGGCCUUGACUGCAACCAUCCGGCCACACCAGUAAGGGUUAAGCUUCCGCCUAUAGCUUGGUUCAUUAAUCCAGAGGAUACACUGACAAUUCCACCCUUUAAACAGGUCUGGACAAAGAAGGCGGAGCGGAUCAGGUGUCCGGCCCCCUCCCCGAAGACUCAGCUGAUCCGCUCUUAAUGAGGAUGCUGGUCCCGACGCCAUACCAGGUGCCGGUGAAGAAGGACAAGAAGAAGAACAACAAGGAGGCCGAAAGUGGCCUCGACCAUGAAGGUACCUUGGACGCUAUGUCCGGAGGGACCGAGGCUCCCUCCUCUCACGAGGGAGAUGAAAACGAGGACGACGAGGGGGAGGAAGAUGAUAACCCUCCUCUCAAAGGGAAAAAGAGGGCAGCUUCCGCAGACCCGAAGGCGGGGGCGUCCAAGAGGGGAAAGUUAUCCCUUUCGGAUGACUCGGAUUCGGACGCCGAGGAUAUCCCCAAGCCCUGCCCCUGGACCAAGCCCCUUGUCGAAUCGUAAGUACCUGAGAAUGCUUUACAUACAUCCACUCCUUUACGAAUUGUGAGAAUAAUAUUAAAUCAUGUGUUUCGGUCCGGCCGCGAUCUGCCUCAUCAAUCCUCCUUGUCGGGGGAUUUGCCACCGGAGAUGAUGGAGAGUGAGAGACCUCCACAAAUUUCCUUGCCCCCUAGGGCGGAUGACAUCGAGGUGUCAACCCAGAGGAUUUCUCUAGAUCGCCGAGAGGUGCAGGGAACCAUCAAUACGGCGCCAGAAGGUACGGGGGGGGGGGGGCGCGACCCCCGGGAAGACCGGGGAUGGGGGCCCUGGAUUGUACGGCCCCUGGCUGAAUACCACUCCGGAGACGGAUCCGGAGUCGAGUGAGCGGCCCCCUUCAAGGGAGGGGUGAGCGCCUAUUCCUACGACGACCUCCAUGAAUCCGGAAGCAUCGAACAUUCUGAUGGAUGGACCGCGGAGUGCGUCCAUCUUGGAGGAGCACCGUACCUUGAUGGGUACGGUGGUUGAGAAGAUUUAGUUUGCUAAAAGCGGGCUGAAUGAAGCGUUUACGAGCCUACUAACAGGCUUUGAGGUAUGCGAUGUAAUGUCUUUAGCCACCUUCCAUAUGAAAAAUAUUCCUAUAUAUAGAUAGUAGCCCCUGAGACUCUGGUCGGCCCAUGAAGAAAGGCGAACAGAGGAUCUAUAGAUAUCUGCAGGAAGUAACAUACUUAUUUGAUUGAAAAAACAGGCUUCACUGUAGUGGCAACCGCCCAGGCCGCGGAGGUUUCCGAACUGAAACGGCAACUGAAGCUAGCCGAUGAGGGCAUUGUCCUUAUUAACAAGUGGCUCGACGAGGUGCAAGGUAUGUUGCGAACAUCCCGUUUGUGCCUAUAUGAAUGUGCGAACACUAAGUUGAAACUUAGACUUUGUUAUGUGUAUAAUUGCAGAUGGCGCUGCUGAGGUCGAGACCCACAGGGGUAAACUUGCCCGGGCCAAGGAGCAGGUGAGAGUGAGCAAUGCGGCCGCUGAUAAAGCGGCUGCAGAUUUGAGGGCCGAACAGGCCACCCGGAGCCAGGUCAAGGAGCGGAUAUCUGCAGUAGAGCAAUACCUCAAGGACGCCGCCCACAAGUGCGAGUCCCUCGAGGAGGAGAAUAAAGCCAAGCCAACCAAACUUGCCAAGGCCCUUCAGGAGGCCAAAGAGGCGUCGUCCAAAUCUAGAGUGGCUCGCGAGGAGAUCCGACAGGCUGGAUAGAUAGCAGCUGGUAAGCCCUUUCUUUUACAGACUAAGUUUGGCGGUUGGAGAUAUGCCUUGCUUAAUCGACUAUGGAGUUCUCCAGACGCUUUUGCGGUUCUUUCAAAGAGUGUCGCCCGACACCGCGCAAUUCUUCCGGGCUCAGGAGGGACAUGCGACGGAGAAGCUGUUCUGGUCACAGUUCGCGGCGCAGGAGCGCCCGGUGCUGCUAAACGACCAAAUGGCGCAGUGGGCCAAGCUGCAUAAGAUGUCCGGAGUGGCCAUGAAGGACGCCAUAAUUCGGCUAUAGCCAGCCGAACCCAUUCCGAGCAGCUAUUUGGGUCUGGUGCGGCGUCUCGUCGAUGCACCGCCCCUAAUUGACGCAGUCAAGCGGUCCGUUUGAAUAGAAGGUGCGCGGAUGGCCUUCGCCCGCAUCAACAUGCACUGGGCGAAGAUCAAGGCCGCCAUUGUGGCAGUCGAGGGCCCUCCCAGAGGCAAGAACCACCGCACACCGGAGCGCUAUUUAGAGGACGUCCUAGAGGGUGCUCACUUGAUAGAGGAUCAAUGCUCAAAGGACAUUAUGUUCGAAUGAAUGUACCCGAACUGCCCGGGCGUGUUUAUUAUAUAUGAAGGCUUUGUAAUAUAUUUGUGCCGUUAGUUCUUUCCUCCUGUGCGGCCGUUUUCAUAUUCCAGAGAGUUUUCCAGUCGUCGGCUUCAGCCCCCACAUAGAUACUAUGGGGGUGUUCGGAAUAGCACAUCAUCACACUUGACCCAACGUCUUGGUCCGUAAAGGAGGUGUCAGUGCGGCGAACCAGGCAAUCGGACUAUCUGGCUUUACCACUCUCACUUAGCCAUAGGAGUUUGAUGAUGGCGCUAUAAGAUAGCCCCUGGUAUGUACGCGGCUAUCCGAAUGCGGAUGCGUUACGUACGUGACCGGAAAAACCAGUCCUUCGUGUAAUAGGGAAAAAAUAGCUAGAGAUUUAGUAAGUCGCCGGAUGACUGACCAGCUCUCGCCCCAUCAUGACAGUCAAUUUUUGGCUUUCUCUACUGAGGUGCUUGACCGGACGAACCAGAAACACAAUCGCAGUAGUUCUCCCUUUACUACCCUAGCCGAACAAACGGAACGUAAGAUAGCAAACACAGGAGCCGGGCAACCCAACUAUUGACCAAAGACAUGAUUCGGAGCCGAUGCAUAUAAUGCCAAGUUCGGGACGCUGAAGUGUGCUAUAAAGCUAUUCGGGCUUUUGUUUGGCAACACAUGUGUGGCCACAUAGAGCCCCUGGCAAUUUGUGCUGAGACGUGUGAGUGAAACAACUGAGGAGACGGAAUACAGUUUAUGAAUAAAGUUGAUACCGAAUAAAAAUUAUCUUCACUAGAAUCUGAUUGAUACGUCAAAAUGUGAUCUUACAGAGGGCGCCAUAACCAUCAAGGCCAUUUUACAUGCCGGGGGUCGAAGAAUAAGGGGAAAAGCUCUAUACAGGUCCUUGAAUAAAGUUUGGUCUACAAAAUCCUUUGGACAUCCUGCCGCACGUCUGCGCUGCUUUCGCCUUGGAGAGAGAUAUUCCUUGAGAGGAAUGGUCUUCGACUAUCUGUACGAAAUCGGGCUGAAAGAGAGUCCUUGUAAGUCCAUAGGAUAGAUAGAUUUUAAUGCGCUUGUGGUAAAAAAAAGAAAAAAUAAUCGAAAAAAGGGGAGGGUCAUAUAGGGUCGAGCAUACUAUAGACCUCUCCGUAUUGUGCCUCCGCUAAUGCCCAACGUAUUUCGAGUGCAUAAUUAUGCACACGCGGUACGAAUAUCGCAGAUGUGUGUGGCGAUCGACGAAGGAGAAGCUGCUAGUCUAGCUCUGGAAUUACCGAGUUGUCAGCAUGCGGAACUGACCGGACUUGUUUAGCAAUGUCUAGCGGCUUGAAGGCCGAUGAGGUGUGCGGAUUAGUUGGGCCGCCCUGUACUUCUGCCACGAGGGCCGCGGUGUGCUCCUCAGUACGGAGGGAGCGUUUCGUGUUUCCAUUGACUGUUAUGACGCCACGUGGUCCAGGCAUCUUGAGCUUUAUAUAAGCGUAGUGCGGGACCGCAUUAAAACAGGUGAAAGCGGUCCGUCGGAGCAGUGCGUGAUAGCCACUACAGAAGGGGACGAUAUCGAAGAUCAAGUCUUCGCUUCGGAAGUUGUCUGGCGAAUCGAAGACGACUUUCAAUGUUAUUGAGCCCGUGCAGCGGGCCUCUACACCAGGUAUUACUCGUUUAAAGGUAGUUUUAGUGGGCUUGAUUCUUGACGGAUCAAUGUCCAUUUUGCGGACAGUGUCCUGAUAGAGCAGGUUGAGACUGCUGCCGCCGUCCAUAAGGUCCCGCGUAAGGUGGAAUCCGUCGAUGAUUGGAUCGAGGACCACAGCUGCCAAAUCUCCAUGACGGAUACUGGUUGGGUGGUCCUUUCGAUCGAAGGUGAUCGGAGAGGCCGACCAUGGGCUGAAUUUUGGGGCGACCGGCUCUAUGGCGUAGACGUCCCUUAAUGUGCGCUUGCGCUCCCGCUUAGGGAUAUGUGUGACAUAUAUCAUAUUCACCAUUUUUACCUCGGGGGGAAAUUUCUUCUGUCCCUCUGUGUUCGGUGGGAGAGGCUCUUCGUCGUCCUCCUCACUGGGCGGCCCUUUCCCUUUGUGUUCGGUGUUGAGCUUGCCGGCCUGUUUGAAGACCCAAUAGUUUCUGUUGGUAUGAUUGGCAGGCUUAUCGGGGGUGCCGUGAAUCUGGCAAGGCCGAUCGAGUAUUCUGUCCAAACUAGAUGGACCAUCUCUGUUUCCUUUGAAUGGCUUCUUCCAUUGACCGGAUUUAGAGCCGCUGAAUCCGGCAUUGACCGCUAUGUCUUCGGUACUUUCAUUAUUGAUUCGACGCUUGUGCUUGUUGCGUCGUGGCUUGCCAUUGCCGUCCCUGGCUUCAGAGGUGUCGGGGUCGCUGGUGCUAUUGCUUUUGCAGGCUAGCCAGCUAUCUUCUGCCAUGCAAAAGCGGGUCAUUAGUGCGGUAAGGGCUGCCAUGGACAUCGGCUUUUCUUGGCCGAGGUGUAUGGUGAGCCAUUCGUCGCGGACGCUAUGUUUAAAGGCCGCGAGGGCUUCAGCAUCAAACAGUCGACAAUUUGGUUCUUUUUAAUUAAGAACCUUGUCCAGAGUUUCCGGGCUGACUCUCCGGGUUGCUGGACUAUGUGACUGAGGUCACCGGCGUCCGGGUGGCGUACAUAGGUACCUUGGAAGUUGUCUCUAAAGGCAUCUUCUAAAUCUUCCCAGCUGCCAAUAGAAUUUUGAGGGAGGUUGUUUAACCAGUGUUGUGUUGGUCCCUUAAGUUUCAAGGGGAGAUAUUUGAUGGCAUGUAGAUCGUCACCGCGAGCCAUGUGAAUGUGGAGAAGAAAAUCUUCAAUCCAGAAUGCGGGGUCCAUCGUACCAUCGUAUGAGUCGAUGUUCACUGGUUUAAACCCUUCUGGGAACUGGUGCUCCAUUACCUCAUCGGUGAAGCAUAGGGGGUGUGCGGCGCCUCUGAAUCGGGCAAUGUCACUACAUAGUUCGGAUGAAGUCCAUAUGCGGUUUUCGGCCCGGGUGAGGUUGUGCUUGUCGCGCCAGGCCUGACGGCUAUCUUCUCACGCUGGGGCACGCCCCCUUGAUCCAUAGAUUGAUCUGGUUUGACCGGCUCUAUUGUCCAGGUCCUGUCGUAGGUCAUAUGUGUAGUUUGGAGCCGAUGUUCCCGUGCCUUUACGGCGAGGUGAUGCGGUCUGGUGUUCGGCUUGAGUUGUCGCUCUGUCCCGGCCACGUGGUGGUCAGUCAGGUCUGUUAGCAGCGUCAUGCGUUGGCGGUAUGAGCUCCAGGGCCUCAUCGUCGAAUUGGGGUAGCAGCUUGCGCUUCGGGUAGCUCUUUGUUGGGCAUUCGAGGCUAUAUUCCUUGGCUGCCAGGACGUUAGUCCAUCUGUCAUUGAGUAAAUCCUGAUCAGCUUGAAGCUGCUGCUGCUGCUUCUUUUUCAGGCUUCUUGCGAUGGCGAUUAGCCGGCGCUUAAAGCGCUCUUGUUCGAGGGGUUCCUCCGGCACGAUGAAAUCUUCGUCGCCGAGGCUCACAUCUUCUUCGGAGAUCGGUAGGUAGUUAUUGUCCUCCGAGCCCUCGUUCCGGACAGGAUCGUCGGGGUUUACUUGCCCAUCCUCCCAAUCAUCCUGUUUGGAUGUUGGCUCUACAGUGGCUUCGGGGUCUUUGGCAUUCUCCAGAGUAUUAUUGUCUCCGGUGCUAGUAUUGUUGUCUUUGUCGCGAUGCGAUUUUGAGCGGCACCGCUGACGUCGAUGCUUUGGAGGUGCUUCAGCAGGCUUUUCCUCAACCGGAUCCUUCUCAUCGUCGCCGUUCAUCUCCAGCAUCGUCGUUCAUACCGUCGAUGUCUUCGGAGGCAUAGUCGAGCAUGUCGGUUAAAUCCUCGACAGUGGCUAUGAAGUGGGUGGUGGGUGGGAUGUAAAAUUCCCCGCUCUCAGCCCCUAGUAUGGGCUGGGCGUAGUUCGGCAAUGAUUCCUCUGCAAUGGCGAGGGAUCGCAUUAGGUCCAGAGCCUUGCUUAAAGGUGAGGGUUGGACGGGGAGGCUAGAGUCUUUGGCGGUAAGUCAGGCAAAGACCUCCUGGUCGCGCCUGCCUGCCGCAGCCCUCGAGAGUCUGAGAUUAGAACCCGGGAACGAUUCCGGCCCUUCACUGAUGGGUGGAGUCCGACCAGGCUCCGGGCUUGCCGAUGACAUGGUCCUAUCCUGAUAUGCGGCAGUGAGCUCCACAGUUGCAGAGUGUCCGGUGGAUUCUAAGCUCCCAUCCCCGGACCUAAAAGUUUGCUCCGGAUAUAAGGCCAGAGCUGCGGCCGGCGUCGCGAACUCCUCGAAGAUCAAGUCUCCUCGGAUAUCAAUGACGUAGUUCACAUUUCCAAAACGGAUUUGAUGACUAGGGGCGUAGUUGUCGAUCUGCUCCAGGGCACGCAGUGCGAAGCCGCCGAAUAUGAAAAUUUGGCCGGGGAGAAAAUCCUCCUUCAAGGCGGCAUUGUUGUAGAUGAUCGAUGGGGCCAUCGAGCCUUCUGACGACGGCACAGUGGAACUCUCAAUGAAAGCACCAAUGUUGGUGUGAAAACCGGUGGAUCUCGGGUAGGGGGUCCCGGACUGUGCGGCUAAGGAUCAAUGGUAACAGGAGGCAGGGGACACGAUGUUACCCAGGUUCGGGCCCUCUUAAUGGAGGUAAUACCCUACUUCCUGCCUGAUUGACUUUGAUGAGUAUAGGGGUUACAAGAGUUGAUCUACCUCGAGAUCGUAAUGGCUAAACCCUAGAUGUCUAGCCUAUAUGAUUAUGAUUGCCUCGGACUAAACCCUCCGGUUUAUAUAGACACGGUAGGGCCUAGGGUUGUACAGAGUCGGUUUAUAGAGAAAGGAAUCUUCAUAUACGAAUGCUAAGCUUGCCUUCCACGUCAAGGAGAGUCCCAUCCCGACUCGGGGGGAAGCCUUCUAUUAUGUAUCUUCACAGCCCACCAGUCCGGCCCAUGUCACAUAGCCCGGACGCCCGAGGACCCCAUAAUCCAGGACUCCCUCACAUAUCCUUAGUCCUUUUCAGGUAUUUCGGGAUGAUCUUGACCGCUGUCCAGUGAUCCACUCCUGGAUUACUUUGGUACCUCCCUGCUAAACUAAUAGCAAGGCACACAUCAGGUCUGGUACACAGCAUUGCAUACAUGAUAGAACCUAUGGCUGAGGCAUUGGGAAUGAUUUUCAUUUUCUCUCUAUCUUCUGCAGUGGUCGGGCAUUGAGUCUGACUCAACUUCACACCUUGUAACACAUGCAAGAACCCUUUCUUUGCUUGAUCCAUUUUGAACUUCUUCAAAACUUUAUCAAGGUAUGUGCUUUGUGAAAGUCCAAUUAAGCGUCUUGAUCUAUCUCUAUAGAUUUUGAUGCCCAAUAUAUAAGCAGCUUCACCGACGUCUUUCAUUGAAAAAUUCUUAUUCAAGUAUCCUUUUAUGCUAUCCAGAAAUUUAGUAUCAUUUCUGAUCAACAAUAUGUCAUCUACAUAUAAUAUCAGAAAUGCUACAGAGCUCCCACUCACUUUCUUGUAAAUACAGGCUUCUCGAAAAGUCUGUAUAAAACCAUAUGCUUUGAUCACACUAUCAAAGCGUAUAUUCCAACUUCGAGAGGCUUGCACCAGUCCAUAAAUGGAUCGCUGGAGCUUGCACACUUUGUUAGCACCUUUUGGAUCGACAAAACCUCCUGGUUGCAUCAUAUACAACUCUUCUUUAAGAUAUCCAUUAAGGAAUGCAGUUUUGACAUCCAUUUGCCAAAUUUCAUAAUCAUAAAAUGCGGCAAUUGCUAACAUGUUUCGGACAGACUUACGCAUCGCUACGGGUGAGGUCUCAUCAUAGUCAACUCCUUGAACUUGUCGAAAACCUUUCGCAACAAGUCGAGCUUGGUAGACAGUAACAUUACCGUCAGCGUCAGUCUUCUUCUUGAAGAUCCAUUUAUUCUCUAUGGAUUGCCGAUCAUCGGGCAAGUCAACCAAAGUCCACACUUUGUUAUCAUACAUGGAUCCCAUCUCAGAUUUCAUGGCCUCAAGCCAUUUUGCGGAAUGUGGGCUCAUCAUCACUUCCUCAUAGUACAUAGGUUCGUCAUGCUCAAGUAACAUGACCUCUAGAACAGGAUUACCGUACCACUCUGGUGCGGAUCUUACUCUGGUUGACCUACGAGGUUUGGUAGUAACUUGAUCAGAAGUUUCAUGAUCAUCAUCAUUAGCUUCCUCUCUAAUUGGUGUAGGAAUCACUAGAACUGAUUUCUGUGCUGAACUACUUUCCAAUAAGGGAGCAGGUACAAUUACCUCAUCAAGUACUACUAUCCUCCCACUCACUUCUUUCGAGAGAAACUCCUUCUCUAGAAAGGAUCCAUUCUUAGCAACGAAUAUCUUGCCUUCGGAUCUGUGAUAGAAGGUGUACUCAACAGUCUCCUUUGGGUAUCCUAUGAAGACACAUUUCUCCGAUUUGGGUUCGAGCUUAUCAGGUUGAAGCUUUUUCCCAUAAGCAUCGUAGCCCCAAACUUUAAGAAACGACAACUUGGGUUUCUUGCCAAACCACAAUUCAUAUGGUGUUCCAGGUGGCGUGAUCUGCGAAACUAUUCUGCACUGUUUCAAAUGAAGACCAAACUCGUAACUAAAAUAUUCACCUCCACGAUCAGAUCGUAGAAACUUUAUUUUCUUGUUACGAUGAUUUUCCACUUCACUCUGAAAUUCUUUGAACUGUUCAAAUGUUUUAGACUUAUGUUUCAUCAAGUAUAUAUACCCAUAUCUGCUCAAAUCAUCUGUGAAGGUCGGAAAAUAACGAUACCCGCCGGGAGCCUCAACACUCAUCGGACCGCAUACAUCAGUAUGUAUUAUUUCCAACAAGUCUGUUGCUCGCUCCAUUGUUCCAAAGAACGGAGUUGUAGUCAUCUUGCCCAUGUGGCAUGGUUCGCAAGCAUCAAGUGAUUCCAAAAGCCCAUUAGCAUGGAGUUUCUUCAUGCACUUUACACCAAUAUGACCUAAACAGCAGUGCCACAAAUAAGUCGCACUAUCAUUAUUAAACUUAUAUCUUUUGGCUUCAAUACUAUGAAUAUGUGUAUCACUACUAUCGAGAUUCAACAAAAAUAGAACACUCAUCAAGGUUGCAUGACCAUAAAAGAUAUUACUCAUAUAAAUAGAACAACCAUUAUUCUCUGAUUUAAAUGAAUAACCGUCUCGCAUCAAACAUGAUCCAGAUGUAAUGUUCAUGCUUAACACUGACACCAAAUAACAAGUAUUCAGGUCUAAAACUAAUUCCGAAGGUAGAUGUAGAGGUAGCGUGCCGACGGCGAUCACAUCGACUUUGGAACCAUUUCCCGUGUUUCAAGUUGCAAAUAUGAGCAACAAAACCAGUAUCAAAUACCCAGGUGAUACUAUGAGCAUUAGUAAGGUACACAUCAAUAAUAUGUAUAUCAAAUAUACCUUUCACUUUGCCAUCCUUCUUAUUCGCCAAAUACUUGGGGCAGUUCCGCUUCCAGUGACCAGUCCCUUUGCAGUAGAAGCACUCAGUCUCAGGCUUAGGUCCAGACUUGGGCUUCUUCACUUGAGUAGCAACUUGCUUGUCGUUCUUCUUGAAGUUCCCCUUCGUCCCUUUGGCCUUUUUUAAACUAGUGGUCUUGUUAACCAUCAACACUUGAUGCUCCUUCUUGAUUUAUACCUCCGCAACUUUUAGCAUCGCAAAGAGCUCAGGAAUUGUCUUAUCCAUCCCUUGCAUAUUAUAGUUCAUCACGAAGCUUUUGUAGCCUGGUGGCAGUGAUUGAAGAACUCUGUCAAUGACACUAUCAACCGGAAGAUUAACUCCUAGCUGAGUCAAGUGAUUGUGGUACCCAGACAUUCUGAGUAUAUGUUCACUAACAGAACUAUUCUCCUCCAUUUUGUAGCUUGGUGGCAUCGCUCCUGCAGCGGGUCUUGCACCUAGCGGUGCUUCCAGGUCGUAAUUCUUCUGUGCAGCUAUGAGGAUAAUUCUCAAGUUACGGACCCAGUCCGUGUAGUUGCUACCAUCAUCUUUCAACUUAGCUUUCUCUAGGAACGCAUUAAAAUUCAAAGGAACAGUAGCACGGGACCAUUGAUCUACAACAACAUAGACAUGCAAAAUACUAUCAGGUACUAAGUUCAUGAUAAAUUAAAGUUCAAUUAAUCAUAUUACUUAAGAACUCCCACUUAGAUAGACAUCCCUCUAAUCAUCUAAGUGAUCACGUGAUCCAUAUCAACUAAACCAUGUCCGAUCAUCACGUGAGAUGGAGUAGUUUUCAAUGGUGAACAUCACUAUGUUGAUCAUUUCUAUUAUAUGAUUCAUGCUCGACCUUUCGGUCUUAGUGUUCCGAGGCCAUAUCUGCAUAUGCUAGGCUCGUCAAGUUUAACCCGAGUAUUCUGCGUGUGCUAAACUGGCUUGCACCCGUUGUAUGUGAACGUAGAACUUAUCACACCCGAUCAUCAAGUGGUGUCUCGGCACGGCGAACUGUAGCAACUGUGCAUACUCAGGGAGAGCACUUGUACCUUGAAAUUUAGUGAGGGAUCAUCUUAUAAUGCUACCUCCGUACUAAGCAAAAUAAGAUGCAUAAAAGAUAAACAUCACAUGCAAUCAAAAUAAGUGAUAUGAUAUGGCCAUCAUCAUCUUGUGCCUUUGAUCUCCAUCUCCAAAGCACCGUCAUGAUCACCAUCGUCACCAGGUUGACACCUCACUGGUACAGCGACGUCCUAAACAAACGGUUUAAAACCCCUUUCCGCGACGGCAUUUGGAACCGUUGCCAAGUGAGUGUGGGCGAUAGGGGGGUCCUUCCCACACGACCCGAAAAACGUCGGGGAUAGGCCCUCGUGGGACCUAGGCUGGGGCCGUGUGCGAUUGGGUGAGGCAUGGAAACCCAAUCAUUUCUGUAGGUAUGUACAUCCCACACGGUGAAUCCCAGAAAUCAUUUCCGUAGGUAUGUACAUCCCACACGGUGAAUCCCAGAAAUCAUUUCCGUAGGUAUGUACAUCCCACACGGUGAAUCCCAGAAAUCAUUUCCGUAGGUAUGUUCAUCCCACACAGUGAAUCCCAGAAAUCAUCUCUGUAGGUAUGUACAUCCCACACGGUGAAUCCCAGAAAAUCAUUUCCGUUGGUAUGUACAUCCCACACAGUUCUUUGUGUGGAAAUGUGUGUGCAAGGUGGCCUAACGCAAACAGUUCGCUGCCGGAAGCCGUGUGUGAUUGUUAGUUGAUCGAACACGCCUACUUUCUAGAAACCGUGCGGGAUGUUUGAGUUCAUCGCCCACGGUGCUGUCUGAGUAACCGUUUGCAAUAGAAAACCCCAAUAAGCAGGAUAAUUAGCCUAUUAUUGAUAAUCUGUGUACUAAUCAAACUGAUAUUUCUUAUAAAACACGCCAGAUAUUUCAUAUCCAUAUAAAAGCAACCAGGAUUUCAUAAUCGAAUUACAUCAGAUAGCUUCGGCACUCAGUUACGCCAUUACACAACAGCACCAAGUUUCACAUGCAGCAUCAAAAACCUUUGGAAAGUAGCAUCAUACACGGCAAAUAGACAGAUGAAUCUCAUCUGAGAAACUGCAGAAGCGGAAGGCAAAUAUUGAGCCUUCAGUGAUGUUGAAUGUCCUUGCAACUUUAGGCCAAUGGCUAUGGAUAAUUGCCUGCCCAACCUUCGUCCUCUUCAGCAAGACUUCAAUAUUGUACCGUGGGUGUUGAAUGAAUACCUUCCUCGCCUCUUGACCAUGCAGGUGGUUUGAGAGGUAAUCAUCGGUGAACUACUUUGAAAAGUACUAAAAACAAAGCUAUGCAUAAAUCGCUGUUGUAAAUUUUGAAAUGCCGCAAGGGGUAAAAACAAGGGAAAAGAGUUGGUACCAUCCUAUAGUUGACUGAUGUCUUCUUCAUUGUGCAAACAAAGAUCUUGUUGUUAUUCGUCGCAAGUUUCUUCAUCCUAACAAUCUUCCUGAGUUUCUUGACUUGACUGAUAUUCAUGGACAUCUCAUUCCCCAUAUGCAAAAUGGGUCGAACAGUGGGUCUAAGCCUCUAAUAGCAGGACCUACAUGUGCAAGACCAAAUUGUAAGAAACCUAAAUAUUAGAAUGAUUCCUGCAACUGCACAAUAAUGUGCUAUUAGCCAAAGGACCCUGCUUGAACAAACCUCGAUGGUAAACCGCAGUGUCUCCCAUUGUUUCCCUGCAACACACAUAAGGAAGAUCUUGAUCAAGUUAACUGAGAGUUGCCAUACUAUCUGUAGAAUAUGUAUUGAGUACAGCCAAAUUCGAUUCGUGUCACAUGCAUAACAAUACAAAAUUGUACCCACAACAAAUGAAAAUCAAAUUGCAGAACUGAACCAAACAGUUAAAUUGACAACAGACCAAAUGAACCAAAAUAGUUAAUUGAGGACGACAUUGCAGAAUAGAAACAUGUACUAGAAGAUAAGACAGUUAACAAAACAAAGAAUGCUUGAAAACAGUACUACGAAAUGUAGCAAUUGUUGGACCAAAGUGUUAACUGAACAUUACAUGUAACGCCCUGGAUCCGAUGCACCAGGUGUCUUCUGCUUAUUCAUCGUCAUUGCCAUGUCAUUUUCUUGCGUGUUGCAUUUUGCCAUGUCAUCAUCUGCAUUGCAUCCUCAUAUUUUUCAAAACUUGCAUUCGGUCAUUUUCCCCGUUGUCCGUUUCGCGUUCCGACACUCUCACACGCACCCGUUGCAUCUCUUAGACCUCGUUCCAUGAGUGGCAUAAAAAUGUUCUCGGAAUGGGAUGAAACUUGGCAUGUGGUGUUGUUUUAGAGUAGGUAGACCGCCUUUCAAUUUUCGUUCCAUUUGGAGUCCGUUUGACGCCCUAACGGUCAACCGCGUAGCCCGAAACUCCUCUCUCUUUGCAGCCCAGCACCCCUUCACCACAGCCCACCUAGCCCAUCCAACUCCCCUCCAUGCUCUCCGCCGUUCAAUCACAAUCGUGUGGGCGGAAACCGCACCUCAUUUGGACUCUCCUAGCUCCUCCUACCUAUAAAUAGGUGCCUCCCCCUCCAAAUUCGCGGAUGAAAACCCUAGACUUCUUCCCCUCGCGCCGCCGGACUUUUUGCCCCCACCGCUGGACAUGUCCGCGCCGCCGCCCCGUCCAAUCCCGUCUCGCCACGUCGCCUCCNNNNNNNNNNNNNNNNNNNNNNNNNNNNNNNNNNNNNNNNNNNNNNNNNNNNNNNNNNNNNNNNNNNNNNNNNNNNNNNNNNNNNNNNNNNNNNNNNNNNNNNNNNNNNNNNNNNNNNNNNNNNNNNNNNNNNNNNNNNNNNNNNNNNNNNNNNNNNNNNNNNNNNNNNNNNNNNNNNNNNNNNNNNNNNNNNNNNNNNNNNNNNNNNNNNNNNNNNNNNNNNNNNNNNNNNNNNNNNNNNNNNNNNNNNNNNNNNNNNNNNNNNNNNNNNNNNNNNNNNNNNNNNNNNNNNNNNNNNNNNNNNNNNNNNNNNNNNNNNNNNNNNNNNNNNNNNNNNNNNNNNNNNNNNNNNNNNNNNNNNNNNNNNNNNNNNNNNNNNNNNNNNNNNNNNNNNNNNNNNNNNNNNNNNNNNNNNNNNNNNNNNNNNNNNNNNNNNNNNNNNNNNNNNNNNNNNNNNNNNNNNNNNNNNNNNNNNNNNNNNNNNNNNNNNNNNNNNNNNNNNNCGGCGCCGUCCUCGUCGCGGCCGCGCGCUCCGGCCGCGAGCUUGCCGGCCCCGCGCGCCGUCCCGCGGCCGGAUCCGGCGUCCCUCGUCGGGAAUCCGCCCGUCCCCUCCGUCUCCGGCCGUGCUCCGGUGAGUGCCCCAGCCCCGCCUCGUUUUCCGCGCUCCCCGGUCCGGAUCUGGAAUUCUCAGGUUGACCCCCGAAAUUUUCUAAGUCCUCAAAAUUGCAUUCUGCUGCCAAUUUCAUCAUCUCAUAUCUCCAUGCAUAUAGAUCUGUUUUACAUGCAUAAUAUGUCAAAAUGUUAAUUGUGAGAUGCUCUUCAUUCCAUUCGACUGUGUCAUGCUUGUUUGAGUCCAUCUUGAUGCCAUAAUCAUCGUUGCAAGAGUGCUAUAUGAUGUUAACUGCUGUCUGUUUAUAGAACUUGCUGAUUUGUUAUUUUCGUUGCAUUUUGUGUGUGCAUCCUAUGAGCAUGAUCUCUACAUUAGUUUUGAACUACAUCAUGCUAUCUUUACAUUGGUGCUUGUCUUGUAUUUUUGUGAUAUAUGUGGUGACUAGCACAAGCAUGCCAAGUAGCCUUUAUGAUGUUGCUGAUUUCUGUGACUUGGUCAUUUCUGCUUAGUAUGUAGCUGUAACAUUGUGAUGCUAUGUAAACCUACUUCUACAAGUGAAUCCAUGCACAAUAUGGAGAUCUUCACUAAGCAUGUUUUGUUAUAAAUGUUAUGCUAUAUCCAUCCAUGCCCUUGGUUGCAUUUAUAGCCUGCUGUAGCUUGUUGCUAACUUGCUCGCAAAUUGCUAAAUAAUGUCGCUGUCAGCCUGUUAACAUGAAGUUCAGUUUUGACAUGUGUUUUGCUAGUAAUCCAUGCACCCUAUGAACUUGGUCUUGCCAUGCUUAGCUUCAUAAUUAUGCCAUCUUACUGUUGGAUGCCUUCAGAUGCCAUGAAAUGCUUUUUGAUGAGUGAUUUAAGCUCGCAAAGAUGCGUUCAUAAUUCUGUUUAUGCCAUGCUCAGUUUUUUUGCUAAGUCUGAAUCUGUUUAUGAAACUUGCUAUGUUUACAUGGGUACCAUCAUAUCUUCUGUGCCUUUUUGGCUCGUGAUCAGUAAGGGACUUUUGUACUAUGCAAUUAGUAGAUUCAUGCCAUGCCUUUGUUUGCUACGAUCUGUUCUUGUAGCAUGUUGUUUGAUAGCUCUAAACUUAGCAACCUGAUGUUAUUUCUGCCAUGUCCUUGUAAGUCUGUGAAACUGUUCUUAUUUGCAAUCUUGCCAUGUCCUUUUGAGCAUGCUCUAGUGAUUUCUAGAGAUAGCUCCGUGUUCAUGUUUUGUCAUGCUUUACCUUUACAUAACAUCCAUGCCUUUUGUGUUCAUCCUGGGGUGCUGUAGCAUAUUGUUUUGAUGCGUGCAAAAUGCCUAGUUGCUGUUUUGGACAGAUUGUUAUAUCUUGUUUGGGGUGUAUGUGUUGCACCGUUGCUCCGUUUUGAGCAUGCUCUAUAUUAAACUUGCUUAGAAUUGCAUGUAGUUUCAUCUUAUCAUGUUGCAUCCUUAUCUUGAGUGUGUUUGCUUGAUGUUUGAAUGCAUUUUGCAUCAAUGCCAUGUUUGACUUGUUUUGCUCAUAUCUUCUAGGCCGUAGCUCCGAACUAAAUGAACUUUAUAUGUAACUUGACUAGAAUUUCGUGUAGAUCAUCUUGGUGCAUCUUAACUUGCUGUUUAAUAACUUGAACAUAAGGUUUAUUCAGAUCUGGACCAAUUUCGAAACUUGCAUAUGAGGACUUACCGGAUUUGUUAUAUGUUAGUUCCGGCCUCAUUUAAACUUGCUUUGAUGUAUUGCUCUUGUAUGCAUCAUCUCUUGCCAUGAGUAGCAUCAUAUAGCCUUGUCAUGCAUCAUACUUGAUUGAGCAUCAUGCCUUGUUCAUGUGUGGUGUGUUUACCAUGUUGUGCUCCUUCUCGAUAGUUCCUGUUUCAUUGCGAUCGUGAGGAUUCGUUCGUCUACGCUUGGUUCGUCUUCUUGGCUUCGUCUUCUUCAUGGACUCGUUCUUCUUCCUAGCGGGAUUUCAGGAAAGAUGACCGUAACCUUGGAUCUCAUUACUAUCAUUGCUAUGCUAGUUGCUUCGUUCUAUCGCUAUGCUGCGCCACCUAUCGCUUGCUCUUCAAGCCUCCCAAAUUGCCAUGAAACCACCUCAAACCUUUGUCACCCUUCCUAGCAAACCAUUGUUUGGCUAUGUUACCGCUUUUUGCUCAGCCCCUCUUAUAGCGUUGUUAGUUGCAGGUGAAGAUGAAGUUUGCUCCAUGUUGGAUUAUGUUUAUGUUGGGAUAUCACAAUAUCUCUUAUUUAAUAAAUGCAUCUAUAUACUUGGUAAAUGGUGGAAGGCUCGGCCUUAUGCCUGGUGUUUUGUUCCACUCUUGCCGCCCUAGUUCCCAUCAUACCGGUGUUAUGUUCCUUGAUUUUGCGUUCCUAACGCGGUUGGGUGUUAUGGGGACCCCUUGACAGUUCGCUUUGAAUAAAACUCCUCCAGCAAGGCCCAACCUUGGUUUUACCAUUUGCCUAUCACCUAUUUCUUUUCCCUUGGGAGUCGCGCUCCCGUGGGUCAUCUUUAUUUUACCCCCCCGGGCCAGUGCUCCUCUGAGUGUUGGUCCAAACUAGAGCAUCAUGCGGGACCGUCCCUUGGCAACUUGGGUUACGUUGGUACCUGUACGCUUCGCUCAUCCGGUGCCCUGAGAACGAGAUAUGUGCAGCUCCUAUCGGGAUUUGUCGGCACAGUCGGGUGGUCUUGCUGGUCUUGUUUUACCAUUGUUGAAAUGUCGUAAACCGGGAUUCCGAGACUGAUCAGGUCUUCCGGGGAGAAGGAUUAUCCUUCUUUGACCGUGAGAGCUUAUAAUGGGCUAAGUUGGGACACCCCUGCAGGGUAUAAACUUUCGAGAGCCAUGCCCGCGGUUAUCUGGCAGAUGGGAAUUUGUUAAUGUCCGGUUGUAGAGAACUUGACACUUGACUUAAAUAAAACACGUCAACCACGUGUGUAACUGCGAUGGUCUCUUUUCGGCGGAGCCCGGGAAGUGAACAUGGUUUUUGGGUUAUGUUUUGACGUAAGUAGGAGUUCAGGAUCACUUCUUGAUCAUUGCUAGUUUCACGACCGUUCCGUUGCUUCUCUUCUCGCUCCUUUUUGCGUAUGUUAGCCACCAUACCUGCUUAGUCGCUGCUGCAACCUCACCACCUAUCUUUUCCUUACCCAUUAAGCUUUGCUAGUCUUGAUACCCAUGGUAAUGGGAUUGCUGAGUCCUCGUGGCUCACAGAUUUCUACAACAAUAGUUGCAGGUACUGGUUUUGCAAUGAUCAUGACGCGAGAGUGAUGUUUGCUUGUUUAGGAGUUCUUCUUCUGCUUCUUCUCCGAUCAGGGGAUAGGUUCCAGGUCAGCAGCCUGGGCUAGCAGGAUGGAUGUUGUUUGAGCUUCUGUUUGUGUUUCAUCCGUAGUCGGAUGUUGCUCUUAUGUAUGAUGUUGUUGUAUUCAUGUGGCAUUGUAUGCCUCUUGUAUGUAUCCCCAACUAUUAUGUAAUGGUAUGAUGUAAUGACAUCCACCUUGCAAAAGCGUUUCAAUAUGCGGGUCUAUCCUUGGUGGGACCUUCGAGUUCCUCUCGGAUAGGGUCGCAUAUUGGGUGUGACAUUACAUUUCAGAGGACCAAACUGAUAACUGAACAUCAGAUUGCAUAUUAAUAUUACAGAGGACAAAACACUAGAAGGCACUGGCGGUGGCCUCGAGAAAACAUCACGAACUGUAUUUUAAAGUAGACAACCGCGAGGCGGUGUCGAUGGUGGCCUCGAAGACGAGGUGCUCCUCCAAGAUCUGGCGGUCGACACGCAUGUCAGCCAUAGCGACCUCGUUCGCGCGUGCGGCCGCUUGCUACUCAGCUCCACGCUAUACUGCGUGUAAAAUGGUUGUGGGCGGCGCUUAAUUGGAGGAGGGGGGCAGUGAUUUCGGUGGAAGGUGUCGCUCCGUCAGUCGGGGCAUGUGGGACGGGAAAGGAGGAGGAUGGUGUGGGUGGGGUGUGGAUUACCUGACCAUAUCGACAAGGCCGCGCAGCAAGAAGAAGGGUCGGUGGCGAGGAGGCCGUGCAGCAAGAAGAAGGGUCGCUGGUGAGGAGGCGGCGCUGCAAGAAGAAGGGUCGCCGGUGAGGAGGCGGCGCUGCAAGAAGAAGGGUAGCCGGCGAGGAGGUGGCGCUGCAAGAAGAAGGGUUACUGGCGAGGAGGCUGAGCUGCCAGUAAGCAGCAGUGAAGGUUUGAACUUGGAAAGCAAGGAGGAACAGUGGAAAUGUGGCUUUUGGUAGAAGGGAGGGGGCGGGGAGAUAGAUAUUUCCGCGGCAGCAAAAAAAAAUUCGCUCGGUGCCGCGAGAAACUGGCGCGCAUGUGUGGUUCAAGCGGGGCGGUGGACUGUAGACGACAAAGCUUCCUGCGUAAGUCAGACAAGACGGUGUGCAAAGAUAUUUUAUAUCGCAUCCCACACGAUUCUUUCUAGUAAACUGUUUGUGGUGUACCUGAUUUUUUCAUUAUGUUUUGACAGACAAAAUGGUGUUUGAUACGUCCAUUUUGCAUCAUGCUUUUAUAUCAAUAUUUAUUGCAUUAUGGGCUGUUAUUACAGAUUAUGUCACAAUACUUAUGCAUAUUCUCUCUUAUUUUACAAGGUUUACAUAAAGAGGGAGAAUGCCGGCAGAUGGAAUUCUGGACUGGAAAAGGAGCAAAUAUUAGAGACCUAUUCUGCACAACUCCAAAAGUCCUGAAACUCCACGGAAGUUAUUUUUGGAAAUAAUAAAAAAUAUUGAGCGGAAGAAAUACCAGAGGGGGGCCACCCACCAGGCACGAGGGUGGGGGCGCACCCCCUGGGCGCGUCCCCCCUGCCUCGUGGGCUCCCUGGUGGCCCUCUGAUGCCCAUCUUCUGCUAUAUGAAGUCUUUCGUCCGAAGAAAAAUCAUAAGCAAGCUUUCGGGACGAGACUCCGCCGCCACGAGGCGAAACCUUGGCGGAACCAAUCUAGGGCUCCGGCGGAGCUGUUCUGCCGGGGACACUUCCCUCUGGGAGGGGGAAAUCAUCGCCAUUGUCGUCAUCAACGCUCCUCUCAUCGGGAGGGGGCCAAUCUCCAACAACAUCUUCACCAGCACCAUCUCCUCUCAAACCCUAGUUCAUCUCUUGUAUCCAAUUCUUGUCUCUAACUCUGGGAUUGGUACCUGUAGGUUGCUAGUAGUGUUGAUUACUCCUUGUAGUUGAUGCUAGUUGGUUUAUUUGGUGGAAGAUCAUAUGUUCAGAUCUGCAUAUUAAUACUCCUCUGAUUAUGAACAUGAAUACACUUUGUGAGUAGUUACGUUUGUUCCUGAGGACAUGGGAGAAGUCUUGCUAUUGGUAGUCAUGUGAAUUUGGUAUUCGUUCGAUAUUUUGAUGAGAUGUAUGUUGUCUCUCCUCUAGUGGUGUUAUGUGAACGUCGACUACAUGACACUUCACCAUUUUUUGGGCCUAGAGGAAGGCAUUGGGAAGUAAUAAGUAGAUGCUUGGUUGCUAGAGUGACAGAAGCUUAAACCCUCGUUUAUGCGUUGCUUCGUAAGGGGCUGAUUUGGAUCCAUAUGUUUCAUGCUAUGGUUAGGUUUACCUUAAUACUUCUUUUGUAGUUGCGGAUGCUUGCAAUAGGAGUUAAUCAUAAGUGGGAUGCUUGUCCAAGUAAGGACAGCACCCAAGCACCGGUCCGUGCACAUAUCAAAUUAUCAAAGUACCGAACGCGAAUCAUAUGAACGUGAUGAAAACUAGCUUGAAGAUAAUUCCCAUGUGUCCUCGGGAGCGUUUUCCUUCAUAUAAGAAAUUGUCCAGGCUUGUCCUUUGCUACAAAAAGGAUUGGGCCACCUUGCUGCACUUUAUUUACAUUUGUUACUUGAUACCCGUCACAAAUUAUCUUAUCACAAAACUAUCUGUUAUCUAUAAUUUCAGUGCUUGCAGAGAAGACCUUGCUGAAAACCGCUUAUCAUUUCCUUCUGCUCCUCGUUGGGUUCGACACUCUUACUUGUCAAAAGGACUACGAUAGAUCCCCUAUACUUGUGGGUCAUCAAGACUCUUUUCUGGCGCCGUUGCCAGGGAGUGAAGCGCCUUUGGUUGGUGGAAAAAAUUUAUAUAGUGUGCUGAAAUUUACUGUCACUUGUUACUAUGGAAAGUAAUCCUCUGAGGGGCUUGUUCGGGGUAUCUUCACCUCGACCAGUAGAGCAAAGAGUUGAUCCUCAACCUACUGAACCUACUGAAAAUGAAAAUGUCUACUUUGAAAUUCCUUCAGGUAUGAUAGAGAAACUGCUAGCUAAUCCUUUUGCAGGAGAUGGAACAUUACAUCCCGAUGGGCACCUAAUCCAUGUGGAUGAAGUUUGUGGAUUAUUUAAGCUUGCAGGUAUGCCCGAUGACGUUAUCAAGAAGAAGGUCUUCCCUUUAUCUUUGAAGGGAGAUGCAUUGACAUGGUAUAGGCUAUGUGAUGAUAUGGGAUCAUGGAACUACAAACGAUUGAAAUUGGAAUUUCAUCAGAAGUUUUAUCCUAUCCAUCUUGUUCAUCGUGAGCGCAGUUAUAUAUAUAAUUUUUGGCCUCGCGAAGGAGAAAGCAUCUCUCAAGCUUGGGGGAGGCUUAAAUCAAUGUUAUAUUCAUGCCCCAAUCAUGAGCUCUCAAGAGAAAUGAUUAUUCAAAAAAUUUAUGCUCGGCUUUCUGACAACAAUCGCACCAUGCUCGAUACUUCUUGUACUGGUUCUUUUAUGAUGAAGACUAUUGAAUUCAAAUGGAAUUUAUUGGAAAGAAUUAAACGCAACUCUAAAGAUUGGGACCUCGACGAAGGUAAGGAGUCAGGUAUAACACCUAAGUUUGAUUGUGUUAAAUCUUUUAUGGAUACCGAUGUUUUCCGUAAAUUUAGCACUAAAUAUGGACUUGACUCUGAGAUAGUAGCUUAUUUGUGUGAAUCUUUUGCUGCUCAUGUUGAUCUCCCUAAGGAGAAGUGGUUUAAAUAUCAUCCUCCCAUAGAAGUAAAAGUAGUUGCACCUAUUAAAAUUGAAGAAAAAGACUAUCGCUUAUAAUGAUCCUAUUGUUCCUACCGCUUAUGUUGAGAAACCACCUUUCCCUGUUAGAAUAAAGGAUCAUACUAAAGCUUCAACUGUGGUUCGCAAAAGCAAUAUUAGAACCUAUACACCUCCUGAGCAAGUUAAAGUUGAACCUAAUAUUGCUAUUGUUAAAGAUCUCUUGGCUGAUAAUAUUGAUGGGCAUGUUAUUUAUUUCUGUGAUGAGACUGCUAGAAUUGCUAAACCUUGUGCUAAAGAUAAACAUAGACCUGUGGUAGGCAUGCCUGUUAUUUCUGUUAAAAUAGGAGAUCAUUGUUAUCAUGGCUUAUGUGAUAUGGGUGCUAGUGCAAUAACUAUUGACUUAUGCAAAGAAAUUAUGCAUGACAUUGCACCCGCUGAGUUAGAAGAAAUUGAUGUCACAAUUAAGCUUGCCAAUAGAGAUACUAUUUCACCAAUGGGAAUUGCUAGAGAUGUUGAAGUCUUGUGUGGGAAAACUAAAUAUCCCGCUGAGUUUCUUGUUAUCGGUUCCCCACAAGAUAGCUUUUGUCCCAUUAUAUUUGGUAGACCCUUUUUAAACACUGUUAAUGCUAAGAUAGACUACGAAAAGGAUAUUGUUACUAUUGGUCUAGGUGAUAUGACUCAUGAAUUUAAUUUUUCUAAAUUUCAUAGACAACAUCGUGAAGAGGAAUUGCCUAGGAAAGAUGAAAUUAUUGGUCUUGCUUCUAUUGCCGUACCUCCUAGUGAUCCUUUAGAACAAUAUUUGCUAGACCAUGAAAAUGAUAUGUUUAUGAAUGAAAGAAGGGAAAUAGAUGAAGUAUUCUUUAAACAGGGACCUAUUCUGAAACACAACUUGCCUGUUGAAAUCCUAGGGGAUCCUCCUCCACCCAAGGGUGAUCCCGUGUUUGAGCUUAAACCAUUGCCUGAUACUCUUAAAUAUGCUUAUCUUGAUGAAAAGAAGAUAUAUCCUGUUAUUAUUAGUGCUAACCUUUCAGAGAAGGAGGAAGAAAAAUUAUUGAAAACUCUGAAGAAGCACUGUGCUGCUAUUGGAUAUACUCUUGAUGAUCUUAAGGGCAUUAGUCCCACUCUAUGUCAACAUAAAAUAAAUUUGGAGAAAGAUGCCAAACUAGUUAUUGAUCACCAACGACGACUAAAUCCUAAGAUGAAAGAAGUGGUAAGAAAGGAAAUACUAAAGCUCCUUGAGGCAGGUAUAAUCUAUCCCGUUGCUGAUAGCCAGUGGGUAAGUCCUGUCCAUUGUGUCCCUAAGAAGGGAGGUAUUACUGUCGUUCCUAAUGAUAAAGAUGAAUUGAUUCCGCAAACAAUUAUUACAGGUUAUAGGAUGGUAAUUGAUUUCCGCAAAUUAAAUAAGGCUACUAAAAAAGAUCAUUACCCCUUACCUUUUAUUGAUCAAAUGUUAGAAAUAUUAUCCAAACAUACACAUUUUUGCUUUCUAGAUGGUUCUGGUUUCUCUCAAAUACCUGUGUCAGCUGAUGAUCAAUCAAAGACCACUUUUACUUGCCCUUUCGGUACUUUUGCUUAUAGUCAUAUGCCUUUUGGUUUAUGUAAUGCACCUGCUACCUUUCAAAGAUGCAUGAUGGCUAUAUUCUCUGAUUUUUAUGAAAAGAUUUGUGAGGUUUUCAUGGACGAUUUCUCCAUCUAUGGAUCCUCUUUUGAUGAUUGCUUAAGCAACCUCGAUCGAGUUUUGCAGAGAUGUGAAGAAACUAACCUUGUCUUGAAUUGGGAAAAGUGCCACUUUAUGGUUAAUGAAGGUAUUGUCUUGGGGCAUAAAAUUUCUGAAAGAGGUAUUGAAGUUGAUAAAGCUAAGGUUGAUGCUAUUGAAAAGAUGCCAUGUCCCAAGGACAUCAAAGGUAUAAGAAGUUUCCUUGGUCAUGCCGGCUUUUAUAGGAGGUUCAUUAAGGACUUCUCAAAAAUUUCUCGGCCUCUGACUAAUCUAUUACAAAAACAUAUACCAUUUGUUUUUGAUGAUGAUUGUGUAGAAGCAUUUGAAAUACUUAAGAAAGCAUUGAUUUCUGCACCUAUUGUUCAGCCACCUGAUUGGAACCUACCCUUUGAAGUUAUGUGCGAUGCUAGUGAUUAUGCUGUAGGUGCUGUUCUAGGGCAAAUAGUUGAUAAGAAAUUAAAUGUUAUUCAAUAUGCUAGUAAAACUCUAGACAAUGCCCAGAGAAAUUAUGCUACUACUGAAAAAGAAUUCUUAGCAGUUGUAUUUGCUUAUGAUAAGUUCAGACCUUAUAUUGUUGAUUCUAAAGUAACUAUUCACACUGAUCAUGCUGCUAUUAAAUACCUUAUGGAAAAGAAAGAUGCUAAACCUAGACUUAUUAGAUGGGUUCUCUUGCUACAAGAAUUUGAUUUGCAUAUUACUGAUAGAAAGGGAGCCUAGAACCCCGUUGCAGACAACUUGUCUAGGUUAGAGAAUGUUCUUGAUGACCCACUACCUAUUGAUGAUACCUUUCCUGAUGAACAAUUAAAUGUCAUAAAUGCUUCUCAUACUGCUGCAUGGUAUGCUGAUUACGCUAAUUACAUUGUUGCUAAAUUUAUACCACCUAGUUUCACAUACCAUCAAAAGAAAAAGUUUUCUAUGAUUUGAGACAUUACGUUUGGGAUGACCCACAUCUUUAUAAAGAAGGAGUAGAUGGUGUUAUUAGAUGUUGUGUGCCUGAGCAUGAAUAGGAACAGAUCCUACGCAAGUGUCACUCCGAGGCUUAUGGAGGGCACCACGCUGGAGAUAGAACUGCACAUAAGGUAUUGUAAUCCGGUUUUUAUUGGCCUACUCUCUUCAAGGAUGCCCGUAAGUUUGUAUUAUCUUGUGAUGAAUGUCAAAGAAUUGGUAAUAUUAGUAGACGUCAGGAAAUGCCUAUGAAUUAUUCACUUGUUAUUGAACCAUUUGAUGUUUGGGGCUUUGAUUAUAUGGGACCGUUUCCUGCCUCUAAUGGAUAUACACAUAUUUUAGUUGCUGUUGAUUACGUUACUAAGUGGGUAGAAGCUAUUCCAACUAGUAGUGCUGAUCAUAACACUUCUGUUAAGAUGCUUAAAGAAGUUCUUUUUCCGAGGUUUGGAGUCCCUAGAUAUUUAAUGACUGAUGGUGGUUCACAUUUUAUUCAUGGUGCUUUCCGUAAAAUGCUUGCCAAGUAUGAUGUUAAUCAUAGAAUUGCAUUUCCUUAUCACCCACAGACUAGUGGUCAAGUAGAAUUGAGUAAUAGAGAACUCAAAUUAAUUUUGCAAAAGACUGUUAAUAGAUCUAGAAAGAAUUGGUCCAAGGAACUUGAUGAUGCAUUAUGGGCCUAUAGAACUGCAUAUAAAAAUCCUAUGGGUAUGUCUCCGUAUAAAAUGGUUUAUGGAAAAGCAUGUCACUUACCUCUCAAACUAGAACAUGGCAUAUUGGGCUAUUAAAGAGCUCAACUAUGAUUUCAAACUUGCCGGUGAGAAGAGGUUAUUUGACAUUAGCUCACUUGAUGAAUGGAAAACCCAAGCCUAUGAGAAUGCCAAGUUGUUUAAAGAAAAAUUUAAAAGAUGGCAUGACAAAAGGAUACAAAAGUGUGAGUUUGAAGUAGGUGAUUAUGUAUUAUUAUACAACUCUCGUUUAAGAUUUUUGCAGGAAAUCUUCUCUCCAAAUGGGAAGGUCCUUAUGUUAUCGAGGAGGUCUAUCAUUUCGGUGCCAUAAAAAUCAACAACUUCGAAGGCACAAAUCCGAAGGUGGUAAACGGUCAAAGAAUCAAACAUUAUAUCUCAGGUAAUCCUAUAAAUGUUGAAACCAAUGUUAUUGAAAUCGUAACACCGGAGGAAUACAUAAGAGACACUUUCCAGAACGUUUCAGACUCCGAAAAGGAAUAGAUAUGUGUUACGGUAAGUAAACCGACUCCAAAACAGUUCUAAUGGCAAUUUUUCUCUGUUUUGGAAUAUUUAGAAAAAUAGAAAAAUAAGAAGCAGUCCGGGAAGGACAGGAGGCCUCCACGAGGGUGGAGGGCGCGCCCUACCCCCUGGGCGCGCCCUCCUGCCUCGUGGGCACCUCGUGCGCUCUCCGGACUCCGUUUUCUGGCACGAUACGUAUUUUGGUCGGUAAAAAUUCAUUAUAUAAUCUCCCGAAGGUUUUGACUCCUGUAUCAUGCAAAUAUCCUAUGUUUUCGUUUCGAGCUGUUUCUAUAGCAGAUUAGAGCAAGAUGUCUUCUCAAGAGUCAGUCGGGGAGAGCCGGGUGUCUCAUCCGGCAUCGAGAUAAAGGACAAACAGCUAUGCUGACCACUUUGGGCCAGCAACGGAGGAAGAGAUGGAGGCUGAUUUGAAGAGGAUAGAUGCCAUGGAGGUGGAUUAAGAAGUCACUUCUCGCGUCCGAGCUGGAUUCACGAUGGGGGAACUACAAAGCUCGGCUAUUCCAAACUCGGUUAUUCCUUCCAAUGUUAGAUUUCUAUCUUACGAGAAUAUGAAAAGAGUGUUACUUGUUCCCCCGCAGCUAUGCAACAUCCAUGGGUGCAAGGAGCUUUAACCGUCACGGGUAACCUCCGUAAGGAGAUAAUGGAUCUCAAGUAGCAACUCAAUAAGCUCGAGGAAGAGAAUCGUAUCCUGAGGAGUAUCAUCGCCAAGAAUAUCACACCAUCACCUCCGAAAAAGGAGAUAUAAUCACAUGGGUAUGGGCACUCCCCUUGGAAACUGCCAAGCUUGGGGGAGGUGCCCCGGUAUUGUAUCACCAUCACAUCUCUAUCUUUACCGUUUUUCCUAGUUCGAUCCUUUUGGUAAUAUCUUGAUCUAGUAGAAUAAAGUUUUAGUAUGAGUUAGUUUUGAGUUUUGCUUUAUGAUCCCUCUAUGUAAUCGAGUCCGUGAGCUAUAUAAUAAAGAUUAGUGUUGAGUCAAGGGCUUGAUUAUUUUGCUGUGAUCUUGAGGGAAUAAAAUAAAAAGAAAGAAUAAAAGGAAAUAAAGAGAUCAUAUUGAUCUUAUGGAAAGUAAUGACUUCGCAUAGAAAGUGUAUGAUGAUUAAAAGUUGUUGAGAGUUGACGAACAUAGCUUUGGUCAUCGUUGCAAUUAAUAGGAAGUAAUAAAGAAAGAGAGGUUUCAAAUAUAAAUAUACUAUCUUGGACAUCUUUUAUGAUUGUGAGCACUCAUUAAAAUAUGACAUGCUAAAGAGUUGAUGUUGGACAAGGAAUACAACGUAAUGGGUUAUGUUUUCUUAUAUCUGAGAUAAAGUAUAUUGUCAUGGAUCAUCCAACAUGUUGAUCUUGCCUUUCCCCCUCAUGCUAGCCAAAUUCUAUGCACCAAGUAGAGAUACUACUUGUGCUUCCAAAUAGGGAAAACUUUGUUUUUGCCACUCUAGCUUUUGUGCACUUUGCUUAUGCCACUCUAGGAUUGAACAAUUCACUUUUGCCACUCUUAGCUUUUGACAAUAUAUCAAUUUUGCCAAUCAGUGGCAAAAGCAAAAUUUUCAGAGUGGUAAUUGUGAUACAUUGCAAAACCUAAGAGUGGCAAAAGUGAAAUGACAAAUUAUCGUUUUUGCCACUGAAUGGCCUUUGUGAUGUAUUGUCAAAAGCUAAGAGUGGCAAAAGUGAGAUGCCAAAUUCUAGAGUGGCAUAAGCAAAGUGGACAAAAACUAGAGUGGCAAAAACAAAGUUUUCCCUUCCAAAUACCCUUAAACCCAGUUUUUCCAUGAGAGUCCACCAUACGUACCUAUGGAUUGAGUAAGAUCCUUCAAGUAAGUUGUCAUCGGUGUAAGCAAUAAAAAUUGCUCUCUAAAUAUGUAUGACUUAUUAGUGUGGGAGAAAAUAAGCUUUGUACGAUCUUGUGAUUGGAAGUAAUAAAAGCGACGGACUGCAUAAUAAAGGUCCAUCACAAGGGGCAAUAUAAAGUGACGUUCUUUCGCAUUAAGAUUUUGUGCAUCCAACCCAGAAAGCGCAUGACAACCUCUGCUUCCCUCUGCGAAGGGCCUAUCUUGUACUAUUAUCUUCUAUCUUAAGCAAGAGCCAUGGUGAUCUUCACCUUUCCUUUUUACAUUUUAUCCUUUGGCAAGCACAGUGUGUUGGAAAGAUCCUGAUAUGUAUAUCCAAUUGGAUGUAAGUUAGCAUGAACUAUUAUUGUUGACAUUACCCUUGAGGUAAAAGGUUGGGAGGCAAAACUAUAAGCCCCUGUCUUUCUCUGUGUCCGAUUAAAACUCCGUAACCACAAGUAUUGCGUGAGUGUUAGCAAUUGUGAAAGACUAAAUGAUAGUUGAGUAUGUGGACUUGCUGAAAAGCUCUUACAUAGCCUCUUUCUGAUGUUAUGAUAAAUUGCAAUUGCUUCAAUGACUGAGAUUAUAGUUUGUUAGUUCUCAAUGAAGUUUCUAAUUCAUAUUUUGCUUUGUGAAUAGAUUAUUACUUGAGCAUAAGAAAUAAUAUGACAAUAUCCAUAUAAGUUGCCGUUAUAAGAAUGAUCAUGAUGCCCUCAUGUCCCUAUUUUAUUUUAUCGACACCUCUACCUCUAAACAUGUGGACAUAUUUAUCGUUAUCGGCUUCCGCUUGAGGACAAGCGAGGUCUAAGCUUGGGGGAGUUGAUACUCCAUUUUGCAUCAUGCUUUUAUAUCAAUAUUUAUUGCAUUAUGGGCUGUUAUUACACAUUAUGCCACAAUACUUAUGCCUAUUCUCUCUUAUUUUACAAGGUUUACAUAAAGAGGGAGAAUGCCGGCAGCUGGAAUUCUGGACUGGAAAAGGAGCAAAUAUUAGAGACCUUUUCUGCACAACUCCAAAAGUCCUGAAACUCCACGGAAGUUAUUUUUGGAAAUAAUAAAAAAUAUUGAGCGGAAGAAAUACCAGAGGGGGGCCACCCACCAGGCACGAGGGUGGGGGCGCGCCCAGGGGGGGCGCGCCCCCUGCCUCGUGGGCUCCCUGGUGGCCCUCCGAUGCCCAUCUUUUGCUAUAUGAAGUCUUUCGUCCGAAGAAAAAUCAUAAGCAAGCUUUCGGGACGAGACUCCGCCGCCACAAGGUGGAACCUUGGCGGAACCAAUCUAGGGCUCCGGCGGAGCUGUUCUGCCGGGGACACUUCCCUCCGGGAGGGGGAAAUCAUUGCCAUCGUCAUCACCAACGCUCCUCUCAUCGGGAGGGGGCCAAUCUCCAUCAACAUCUUCACCAGCACCAUCUCCUCUCAAACCCUAGUUCAUCUCUUGUAUCCAAUUCUUGUCUCUAAGUCUGGGAUUGGUACCUGUAGGUUGCUAGUAGUGUUGAUUACUCCUUGUAGUUGAUGCUAGUUGGUUUAUUUGGUGGAAGAUCAUAUGUUCAGAUCCUUUAUGCAUAUUAAUACUCCUCUGAUUAUAAACAUGAACACAAUUCGUGAGUAGUUACGUUUCCUCCUGAGGACAUGGGAGAAGUCUUGCUAUUAGUAGUCAUGUGAAUUUGGUAUUCGUUCGAUAUUUUGAUGAGAUGUAUGUUGUCUCUCCUCUAGUGGUGUUAUGUGAACGUCGACUACAUGAUACUUCACCAUUGUUUGGGCCUAGAGGAAGGCAUUGGGAAGUAAUAAUUAGAUGAUGGGUUGCUAGAGUGACAGAAGCUUAAACCCUAGUUGAUGCAUUGCUUCGUAAGAGGCUGAUUUGGAUCCAUAUGUUUCAUGCUAUGGUUAGGUUUACCUUAAUACUUCUUUUGUAGUUGCGGAUGUGCUUGCAAUAGGAGUUAAUAAUAAGUGGGAUGCUUGUCCAAGUAAGGACAGCACCCAAGCACCGGUCCACCCACAUAUCAAAUUAUCAAAGUACCGAACGCGAAUCAUAUGAACGUGAUGAAAACUAGCUUGACGAUAAUUCCCAUGUGUCCUUGGGAGCGUUUUCCUUCAUAUAAGAAAUUGUCCAGGCUUGUCCUUUGUUACAAAAAGGAUUGGGCCACCAUGGUGCACUUUAUUUACAUUUGUUACUUGAUACCCGUUACAAAUUAUCUUAGCACAAAACUAUCUAUUAUCUAUAAUUUCAGUGCUUGCAGAGAAUACCUUGCUGAAAUUCGCUUAUCAUUUCCUUCUGCUCCUCGUUGGGUUCGACACUCUUACUUAUCGAAAGGACUACGAUAGAUCCCCUAUACUUGUGGGUCAUCAGUGUUACGGAGGGAAAGGAUGGUGUUUGAAUUGCUAGAAUAUUUACGUACAGUGAACAUGCAACUAGUACAUGACUGUCGUGUUUAAAUUUGGAAUUAUUCCGGGUUCGUUUGGCAUUUUUAUGCAUUGAUUGAGUUUGUGGGCAUUUAAUGUGCAUAAUUCAAAUUUGAACUACAAGCACAUGCUCCAAUGCACCAAAGUUUGCGGAAAAAUCACAUGUGUGUCGUUGGGUGAAUUUAUAGGUCCCAUGCAAGAAAUGGGAAUAAAAUUCAAACAUCUGGGUGUCGUGGCUCAGCCGGAAUGAUUGAGAAACUUGGUUUUUUAUUUCCUGUAAAUCCAAAACACGGCUGAAAAUCAUGAAACUUGGCAUGGUGUCAUGACAUGGCACCAACAUGCUGCAGUAAAUUUUUUGGCCGAAUUGGGACAAGCUUUGGUGUAAGCUUCUUGCAAACCGGAGCUUCCCUAAAGAAGGCUCCUGGUUCCGAGAGGGAACGUGUUAUCUCCGUGUGCGAAACAACAUACGUACACUGCCUUGUCCCACCGUAUUUUUUUACACAGCCAGAUUAGACCAAAUAGAAGUACCGUGCUAAAUUUUGGAAUUAUUCCGGGCUCGUUUUGCCUUUUUAUACAUUAAUUGAGUUUCUGGGCAUUUAAUGUAUAUAAUUCAAAUUUGAACUACAAGCACAUGCUCUCGUGCACCAAAGUUGCUUGAAAAAUCACAUGUGCGUCCUUGGGUGAAUUUCUAGGUCCCAUGCAAGAGAUGGGAGUGAAAUUCAAACAUCUGGGCGUCGUGGCUCGGCCGGAAAUAUUGAGAAACUUGGUUUUUUAAUUCCUGUAAUUCCAAAACACGCCUGAAAAUCAUGAAACUUGGCAUGGUGUCAUGACAUGGCACCAACAUGCUGCAGUAAUAUUUUUGGCCGAAUUGGGACAAGCUUUGGUGUAAGCUUCUUGCAAAGCAGAGCUUCCCUCAAGAUGGCUCGUGGUUCCGAGAGGGAACGUGUCACCUCCGUGUGCGAAACGACAUACGUACACUGCCUUCUCCCGCCUUAUUUUUUUACGCAGCCAGAUUAGACCAAAUAGAAGGACCGUGCUAAAUUUUGGAAUUAUUCCGGGUUCGUUUGGCCUUUUUUAUACAUUAAUUGAGUUUCUGGGCAUUUAAUGUGCAUAAUUCAAAUUUAAACUACAAGCACAUGCUCGAGUGCACCAAAGUUGUUUGAAAAAUCACAUGUGUGUCCUUGGGUGAAUUUCUAGGUCCCAUGCAAGAGAUGGGAUUGAAAUUCAAACAUCUAGGCGUCGUGGCUCGACCGGAAAGAUUGAGAAACUUGGUUUUUUAAUUCCUGUAAUUCCAAAAUACGCCUAAAAAUCAUGAAACUUGGCAUGGUCUCAUGACAUGGCACCAACAUGUUGUCGUAACUUUUCUGUCUGAUUUGCGAAGGCCCACACAUUAACAAUCAAUAAAGUUAUUUUGGAACAAGUGCUGUCACGUUACAAAUCGGAAACACAAGUAUUAUUGAAACCGUGGGCGUUCGACUUACCAAUUACGUGCGGCCACGCGUCCCCUUUUUUAUUGGCUAGGAGGUGUCGUGCGGGGUAGCUAUUUGAGUACGGGAGGCGUGCGAUCAGACCCCUGCGCGUGCUCAUCGGGAGGAGAGCCCUUUGACCGCUACCCGCCGUGCACCUCCCUCCCAACAUCUCCACUAAUGGCGCCCGAGCACCUGUUCUACGGCGUGGCUAUAUGUCUCACUGGACUGAGAUUUAAGAGAGAAAAAUGAAAAUCUGAAAAGAAUGUUUUGCACGAAUCUUGAUGUAAGAUCCAACGGACCUAUAUAGCAUCGUCUGCAACUUAUAGCAAGCAUGAUGAAUAUAAGGAUGAUGAAAGUGGAUAAUAAUUGUCUUACAUAUUUAGGAACAUAAUUAAAAAAAGCCACAUGCGGCAACGCCCGAAAUACACAAGGGCAAAAGAAGAAGGAAGACAACGAUCUGGCUCGCUGAUCUCUACUUUCUUGAUGCGUUGCUGCAGGCCGCGAGAACUAGUCUCCGCGGUGAGCGGCGACGAGCUCUUUCUUGUCCUCAAGAUGCUGCUUGAGAGCAUCCACGGAUUCCUCCACCAGCCUUCUGCGCUUGCUGCGCAGCUUGUUAUUCUCGUCCAUAAGUUUGUCGAUGAUGACCCGGUCCUCUUCAACAAGGCAGUGGUCUGCUCCUGCUACUCUGCACUUCCGACGAUCUUCGCCCUCAGUAGGUCGCGCUACGCCCGGAGCUUCGCAUUGCUCUCAUUUAGUUGCCAGAUGACGUCAGUAGACUGUUCAAACAAGGUUUGCAGGUCAUCCUGCAACCUCGCCCACCUGGAGAUCUGAUCCAUCUGCCUAUGGACGAGGGCAUGCAUGCGCCUGUAAGAGUCCUCGCCUGCCCGCGAGGCAUUUUACCAGGCUGCCGCAGCAUUCGCGGUGCGGCGGGACAUCUCUUCUGCUUCCGCGGCGCGGCUGGACCAGUCUGCUGCAUCGACGGCGUGGCGGGUCCUUCAUGCUGCUUCGGCGGCGCGGCGGGACCUCUCUGCUGCUACGGCCAUGCGGCGGGACAUGUUGGCUGCUAUCGCGGCGAGGCAGGACAUCUCUCGUGCUCCUGCUUCCAGGCUCGCCUCUCCUUGAUCGCAAUCUCUCGACCCAGAACUCACGCUGGCCAUGGCGGACGCAAGGGAACAAUGAUGAAUGACUUGUUUGUUUUUGAGUUUUUGUGGAUGAGGAGUUGAGGAGGAAUGUGCAGCCAUCUUGGAGUAGUAGUAUUUAUAACCGCAUAGUAAUACGCUCCUAAGUGGGAAACCGUUUAGGUUUUGAUCGGUGUGAACAGGUUUGCAAUUUGGAAUGUGACGGGACACAUGCUCAAAAUUUACUGACGGUUAUAAGUGCGGCACUAUUCCUGGAAGGCGUAACGUGGGCACGUACGCCUUCUCGGCCGCGUACGUGGCGUUUGCACCAUAGGGUGCACCGCAAUAGGCAAUGUCAGCACACUCUUUUAAUUAGAAUGGGUGUGCCCGUCUAGCGCACACACGUUGAUCUAUCUAACUGUUUCAGUUUGUUGCGGCUAAUCGCAAACAGUUCAUCCAUGUGAAGUGUAUGCCAUCAAUCGCUGACACUUUGAUCUGGCUUACCCAUUUCUGUUCUGUUGCCUAAUCGCAAACAGUUAAUCCUUCUGAAGCGUAUGCCCUCAAUCACACACACCUUGAUCUGGCUGACCAUUUCUUUUGUGUUGCCUAAUCACAGACAGUUCAUCCAAGUGAACUGUAUGCUGUAUAUCGCACACACCUUCAUCUGGCUGCCCAUUUCUUUUGUGUUGCCUAAUCACAAACAGUUCAUCGGAGUGAACCGUAUGCUCUAUAUUGCACAUGCCUUCAUCAGGCUACCCGUUUCUUUUGUUCUGCCUCAUCGCAAACAGUUCAAUGGACUAAACCGUAUGCCCUGGAUCGCACACGCAACUACCGAACCGUGUUUGAUGCAUCCUCCAUCGCAAACGUUUUCACCUUUUUGACGGUUUUCAUACAGCACCGUUUGCGAUUAUGGCAUCAUAACAGUUUCUCAAAGGGUCUCUGAUCGUAGUGUCGCGUUAGCAGCAUCCUGCAGUAGUGCCUUGAUCUCCAUCGUAGCAUCGUUGUCGUCUCGCCAACUAUUGCUUCUACGACUAUCGCUACCACUUAGUGAUAAAGUAAAGCAAUUACAUGGCGAUUGCAUUUCAUACAAUAAAGCGACAACCAUAUGGCUCCUGCCAGUUGCCGAUAACUGUUACAAAACAUGAUCAUCUCAUACAACAAUUUAUAUAUCAUCACGUCUUAACCAUAUCACCUCACAACAAGCCCUGCAAAAACAAGUUAGACGUCCUCUACUUUGUUGUUGCAAGUUUUACGUGGCUGCUACGGGCUUCUAGCAAGAACCGUUCUUACCUACGCAUCAAAACCACAACGAUUUUUCAUCAAGUGUGUUGUUUUAACCUUCAACAAGGACCAGGCGUAGUCAAACUCGAUUCAACUAAAGCUGGAGAAACAGACACCCACUAGCCACCUGUGUGCGAAGCACGUCGGUAGAACAAGUCUCAUGAACGCGGUCAUGUAAUGUCGGUCUGGGCUGCUUCAUCCAACAAUACCGUCGAAUCAAAGUAAGACAUGGUGGUAAGCAGUAUGACUAUUAUCACCCACAACUCAUUGUGUUCUACUCGUGCAUAUAACAUCUACGCAUAGUCCUGGCUCUGAUGCCACUGUUGGGGAACGUAGUAUUACAAAAAAAUUCUUACGACCACGCAAGAUCUAUCUAGGAAAAGCAUAGCAACGAGCGGGGAGAGUGUGUCCACAUACCCUCGUAGACCGAAAGCGGAAGCGUUUAGUAACGCGGUUGAUGUAGUCGAACGUCUUCGCGAUCCUACCGAUCCAAGUACCGAACGUAUGGCACCUCCGCGAUCUGCACACGUUCAGCUCGGUGACGUCCCUCAAACUCUUGAUCCAGUUGAGGCCGAGGGAGAGUUCUGUCAGCACGACGGCGUGGUGAUGGUGAUGAUGAAGUUACCGGCGUAGGGCUUUGCCUAAGCACUACGACGAUAUGAUUGAGGUGUGUAACUGUGGAGGGGGCACCGCACACGGCUAAGAGAAACUUUGGUGUGUCUUUGGGGUGCCCCCUCCCACGUAUAUAAAGGGGGGAGGAGAGGAGGCCGGCCCUAGGAGGGGGCGCGCCAUGGGGGGAGUCCUACUUGGACUCCUAGUCCAAGUAGGAUUCGGUCCCCCCCUUUCCUAGUCCAAGUAGGAGAAGAAGGGAAAGAUGAGCAUUACCGAGAGGGCCCAGAGAUACCUCUCCAACACUCGGAGUGACAAAUCCUAAUCUAGAUCUAUGCUAACUCAGCAAACACCAUUGGAAAAAACUGUAGAGCAUCUUUAUAAUCACCCAGUUAUGUUGUGACGUUUGAUAGCACACUAAGUGUUCCUCCGGUAUUCGGGAGUUGCAUAAUCUCAUAGUCAUAGGAACAUGUAUAAGUCAUGAAGAAAGCAAUAGCAAUAAACUAAUGAUCAUAGUGCUAAGCUAAUGGAUGGGUCUUUUCUAUCACAUCAUUCUCUAAUGAUGUGAUCCCGUUCAUCAAAUGACAACACAUGUCUAUGGCUAGGAAACUUAACCAUCUUUGAUUAACGGGCUAGUCUAGUAGAGGCAUACUAGGGACACUCUGUUUGUCUAUGUAUUCAUACAUGUACUAAGUUUCCGGUUAAUACAAUUCUAGCAUGAAUAAUAAACAUUUAUCAUGAUAUAAGGAAAUAUAAAUAAGAACUUUGUUAUUGCCUCUAGGGCAUAUUUCCUUCAGCGGUUUGAAGGAAAAAGAGGCCGGGGUCGAGGACUAUUUAUAUGUGGGCUUUCGUGCAGGAGGGGCAAGGCGAGGGGGUGGAGUCCGGGUAAGACUCGGCGGUGGCCGGCGAUGGCGUGCGGGAGGCGGACUUUCGAUGGCGUGGGGAUGAAGAAGCUGACAGGUGGGGUCCACCUGUCAGUUGCUGGCGGGGCGGCGUGCGAACGAGGAAAGGAGUGGGCGAGCGAGGCGGAGGCGGUUCGGCGAGGUGCAGGCCGCUACUGGGCUGGGCCGGGUGGCCUGGCCUGGCGCGGUCGGUGGGCUCUCUCUCUCCUUUUUUUUGAAUAAGUCAGAGAGUAAAAGUUACAAAAGAGAAAUAAAGAUAAAUUUUUUUCCUGGACAAGAAAUAUAUCAAAAUUCUUAGAAUAAAACGAACAAAAAUAUGAACUAUUUUUCAGAGGCAAAUAAAUUACUUUAACAGAACAUUGUUUUUAAUAUCCUCAAAUUGGAUUCGAAUUUGAUUUUUCAAAUCUUUUACAAAUAUUUUGUUUUUGUUUUCUUCUUCCAAAUUGUUUUCAAAUCUUCUCUGAAUUUUGAAGGGUCAUGUUUCCUUCACUCAAGUAUUUUAUAUUCAGAGAAUUUGAGAUAAUUUGAAAUUCCAACAGAAGAGAGAAAAAUUUCCAAUAAAUUUUGAAAGCGGUACUCAUCACUCUCCACUCUAUUUCAUCAAUUUGAAGAAGUAUUGUUAUCUUCUCUCAUUCAAAAUCCUUGAGUGCAAUAAGGUUUCUGAGUUGAAUUAUUUCAAAUGGAAUUCCAUGGAAACCAAAUGCAAGAAUGAAAGUUUGGGAAAGUCCUUUUAUUCCCUCUCAUUUAACUUUCAAAAAGUUUCAAAUUUCACUCAAUUUCACACAACAAAUCACACAAGCAAUCAUUAUUACUUAAUUAAUAUAACAUUCCAAAAUUUAGAAUUUUGGGAUGUUACAAACCUACCACCCUUGAAAUGAAUCUCGCCCUCGAGAUUCGGAGAGGCUAGCAAGAAAUAGGUUAGGUUCGAGGGUCUCCGCAAAAUCCAUCGAUUGUCACUAAGGUUUGGGGUGCUACCACCCUUUGAAACAUGGUUACGGUUCCAUCAAAACUCAUAUACUCCAUCCAUAUUGUUGACAGGGUCGGUUUUCUCAAAUCUUCAGGGUAAUUUUUGCUCUGGGGCUCUUCAAGUAGUGGCAUAACCUUUUCCUCCAUUAUUGUGUCCUUUCAUCUUGGUAAGGUUCUUCCGAGACUGGGUCUUCUUAGCUUCUAGGUCUAGCAACAAUACUAAACAACUAUCAAUCUCUCAUGGUGGUCAUCAAUUUAUGGUUUCUCCUGCAGGAAAUGGGUCUGGGCUUCAUUCUCACCGUAUGAACUACGAUUGGCAACAACUACCUUGUACAAGAGAAAAUAGUCAUACGAUUCUAAGGUUCAAUCAAGGUUUUGAUAUCGUCGUCUCUCUACUAUGGGUAAGUCACUCAGAUUUACCAUCCCAUAUAGCAGAGGCGAAUAAUAAUAGUAAGUCGGCAUGGUGUUCAAUCCAUUCCGCACCCAAAUCAUUACCUUGUAUAUGGUUUAGUGAAUCUCGGAUUCUAAAACUCGGUCAUCCUCACCAGCAUUGCAGACUUUCUCUUGUCGAUGACCUAAGUUCGGAUAACUCCAUUGAUUCUGCAAGCCAAACAAACAUCAAUCGUUUCUUUCAUCUCUUAGGUUUUGCGUAACUCCUAUAAGAUCAUCUGUUGAUAAAGUCGUAACUUCUUAUAGGGUUUUUUCCUUCAGCAAGGAUGUGCUUGCUUCUUGUCAGGUCAUGGAGCAUGUGGGUUAUGGCCCAUCUCAUCACUUGUAAACCUUACUCAUCAUCAGGUUGCAACUGAUCAUUAUUCCAACAUCCAGCUUCCUAGCAUUCUUAAAUUGAUCCAAUUGUAUUGUCCUCCUUCCUUCUAUUGGUACAAAACUAAGAUGUAGUUACUCAGACUCAUCAUUGAGUGGUCCAUUACAAUGUCUAACGUAGCUAACCACUAGCUCUUGUAUUUGGUAACGGCAUUGGGUUCUACCACCCAUAAAAUUAAUAAACACUAGUUUCUUCAAAAUCUUAUUCCACAUAUCAUGAUUUCACUCAUUGCCUAUAUUGUAACAACUCAUAAAAUCCAAAUCAAUACCAAUGAUGAUGCUAACUUUAUUGAUUCUCAAACUAUUACAAUCUCCUGCAUUUCCAUUACAUGCCUCAACUUAACACCUCAAUAUAAGAGUGUUCCCACUACCUAGUGCAUUUUUUUACAAACUCAACUAUUUAGCCCAAGUCUCCUUCUCAUUGGGACAAUCUCUAGCAAAGUGCCCUGCUUCUUUACAGUGGAAACAUAUUACUUCUGACAAGUCUCGAGGUUUCCUUGUGAUUACAUGGUCUCCUAGGAUCCUCGGCUCCUUUUUGGGCAACCGCUGAAGUAGUGCCCUAGAUCUUUGCACCUGAAACAUGUGAUAUGACCCAGGUCCUUCUUUGUAGAAAUUGGGUUGUUCUGGGGAUAUAUUCUGUUUCUCUUCCUGGACUAUUCCGUACCAAUUAGGGCUUCUAUCUCCUGUGGGUCAUACUCUCUGUCGGGAAUUGAUACGUCCAUUUUGCAUCAUGUUUUUUACUACUAUUUAUAAUGUUUUUAUCCAUAAUAAUGCUUUUUGGAGUAAUUCUAAUGCCUUUUCUCUCAUAAUUUGCAAGGUACAGACCAAGAGGGAGAAUUCCGGCAGCUGGAAAUCUGGACCUGAAAAAGCUACGUCAGGCUACCUAUUCUGCACAACUCCAAACAAGUUGGAACUUGAUACGUCCAUUUUGCAUCAUGAUUUUAUAUCGAUAUUUAUUACAUUAUGGGCUGUUAUUACACAUUAUGUCACAAUACUUUUGCCUAUUCUCUCUUAUUUUACAAGGUUUACAUGAAGAGGGAGCAUGCCGGCAGCUGGAAUUCUGGGCUGGAAAAGGAGCAAAUAUUAGAGACCUAUUCUGCACAACUCCAAAAGUCCUGAAAAUUCACGGAGGCGCAUUUUGGAAUAUAUAAAAAAUACUGGCGAAAGAAUCAACCAGAGGGGGCCCACACCCUGGCCACGAGGGUGGGGGCGCGCCCUACCCCCUGGGCGCGCCCCCUGUCUCGUGGGCCCCCUGGCAGGCCUCCGGUGCCCAUCUUCUGCUAUAUGAAGUCUUUCGUCCUAGAAAAAAUAAGGAGGAAGCUUUCGGGACGAAGCACCGCCGCCACGAGGCGGAACCUGGCGAAAUCAAUCUAGGGCUCCGGCGUAGCUGUUCUGCCGCGGAAACAUCCCUUCGGGAGGGGGAAAUCAUCACCAUCGUCAUCACCAUCGAUCCUCUCAGCGGGAGGGGGUCAAUCUCCAUCAACAUCUUCACCAGCAACAUCUCCUCUCAAACCCUAGUUCAUCUUUUGUAUCCAAUCUUUGUCUCAAAACCUCAGAUUGGUACCUGUGGGUUGCUAGUAGUGUUGAUAACUCCUUGUAGUUGAUGCUAGUUGGUUUAUUUGGUGGAAUAUCGUAUGUUCAGAUCCUUCAUGCAUAUUAAUACCCCUCUGAUUAUGAACAUGAAUAUGAUUUGUGAGUAGUUACGUUUGUUCCUGUGGACAUGGGAGAAGUCUUGCUAUAAGUAGUCAUGUGUAUUUUGUAUUCGUUUGAUAUUUUGAUGAGAUGUAUGUUGUCUUUCCUCUAGUGGUGUUAUGUGAACGUCGACUACAUGACACUUCACCAUUGUUUGGGCCUAGAGGAAGGUAUUGGGAAGUAAUAAGUAGAUGAUGGGUUGCUAGAGUGACAAAAGCUUAAACCCUAGUUUAUGUGUUGCUUCAUAAGGGGCUGAUUUGGAUCCACAUGUUUCAUGCUAUGGUUAGGUUUACCUUAAUACUUCUUUCGUAGUUGCGGAUGCUUACAAUAGGGGUUAAUCAUAAGUGGGAUGCUUGUACAAGGAAGGGCAGCACCCAAGCACCGGUCCACCCACAUAUCAAAUUAUCAAAGUAACGAACGUGAAUCAUAUGAGCGUGAUGAAAACUAGCUUGACGAUAAUUCCCAUGUGUCCUCGGGAGCAUUUUCCUUUAUAUAAGAGUUUGUCCAGGCUUGUCCUUUGCUACAAAAAGGAUUGGGCCACCUUGCUGCACCCUGUUUACCUUUGUUACUUGUUACCCGUUAUGAAUACCUUAUCACAAAACUAUAUGUUACCGAUAAUUUCAAAGCUUGCAGACAAUACCUUACUGAAAACCGCUUGUCAUUUCCUUCUGCUCCUCGUUGGGUUCAACACUCUUACUUAUCGAAAGGACUACGAUAGAUCCCCUAUACCUGUGGGUCAUCAAAACUUCACGGGGAUUUUUUAUGGAAUAAAUAAGAAUUACUCGAACAAAUAAACACCAGAGGGGGGCCACCAGGUGGGCACAACCCACCAGGGCGCACCAGGCCCCCCUGGUGCGCCCUGGGGGUUGUGGCCUCCUCGGCCCACCACCGGUGCCCAUCGUUGGGUAUAUAAGUCAUUUUGACCUAGAAAAAAUAAGAGGAGGACUUUCGGGACGAAGCACCGCCGCCUCGAGGCGGAACUUGGGGAGGAGCACUUUUGCCCUCCGGCAGAGCGAUUCCGCCGGGGGAACUUCCCUCCCGGAGGGGGAAAUCAUCAUCAUCAUCAUCACCAACAACUCUUCCAUCUUGGGGAGGGCAAUAUCCAUCAACAUCUUCAACAGCACCAUCUCAUCUCAAACCCUAGUUCAUCUCUUGUGUUCAAUCUUGUUACCGGAACUAUAGAUUGGUGCUUGUGGGUGACUAGUAGUGUUGAUUACAUCUUGUAGUUGAUUACUAUAUGGUUUAUUUGGUGGAAGAUUAUAUGUUCAGAUCCAAUAUGCUAUUUAAUAAUCCUUUGAUCAUGAGCAUGUUUAUUAUUUGUGAGUAGUCACUUUUGUUCUUGAGGUCACGGGGGAAAUCAUGUUGCAAGUAAUCAUGUGAACUUGAUACGUGUUCGAUAUUUUGAUAGUAUGUAUGUUGUGAUUCCCUUAGUGGUGCCAUGUGAACGUCGACUACAUGACACUUCACCAUAUUUGGGCCUAAGGGAAUGCAUUUGGAGUAGCAAUUAGAUGGUGGGUUGCGAAAGUGACAGAAACCUAAACCCUAGUUUAUGCGCUACUCCGUAAGGGACCGAUUGGACCCUAGAGUUUAAUGCUAUGGUUAGAAUUUAUUCUUAAUACAUUUCUCGUACUUGCGGAUGCUUGCGGGAGGGUUAAUCAUAAGUAGGAGGUUUGUUCAAGUAAGAACAGCACCUAAGCACCGGUCCACCCACAUAUCAAAUUAUCAAAGUAUCAAACACAAAUCGGACCAACAUGAUGAAAGUGACUAGAUGAAAUUCCUGUGUACCCUCAAGAACGCUUUGCUUAUCAUAAGAGACCAUUUUGGCAUGUCCUUUGCCUCAAAAGGAUUGGGCUAUCUUGCUGCACUUUUUUUACUACUAUCGUUACUUGCUCGUUACAAAUUAUCUUGCUAUCAAACUACUCUGCUACUUACAAUUUCAGCACUUGCAAACACUACCUUACUGAAAACUACUUGUCAUUUCCUUCUGCUCCUCGUUGGUUUUGACACUCUUACUUAUCAAAAAGAGCUACAAUUGAUUCCCUAUACUUGUGGGUCAUCAAGGCUAUUUUCUGGAACCGUUGUCGGGGAGUGAAGCGCCUUUGGUAAGUGGAAUUUGGUAAGGAAACAUUUAUAUAGUGUGCUGAAAUUUAUUGUCACAUGUUACUAUGGAAAACAAUCCUUUGAGGGGUUUGUUCAGGGUAUCUUCACCUCGUCCGGAACCACAAUUAAUUACCCUCAACCUACUGCACCUACUGAAAAUAUUGAAUAUGAAAUUCCUUCGGGUAUGAUAGAACAACUGCUAGCUAAUCCUUAUGUAGGAGAUGGAACCGAACAAACUGAUAUGCACUUGAUAUAUGUGGAACAAAUUUGUGGAUUGUUUAAGCUUGUAGGUUUACCCAGGGAUCAAGUUAUGAAAAAGGUUUUCCAUUUAUCUUUGAAGGGAAAAGCAUUGGCAUGGUAUAGGCUAUGCGAUGAUAUUGGAUCAUGGAAUUAGAAUCGUUUGAAAUUGCAGUUCCACCAAAAAAUUUAUCCUAUGCAUCUAGUUCAUCAUGAUCGGAAUUAUAUAUAUAAUUUUUGGCCUCGUGAAGGAGAAAGUAUCGCUCUAGCUUGGGGGAGGCUUAAGUCAAUGUUAUAUUCAUGCCCCAAUCAUGAGCUCUUGAGAGAAAUUAUUAUCCAGAAUUUUUAUGCUCGGCUUUCUCGUAAUGAUCAAACCAUGCUUGAUACUUCUUGUGCUGGUUCUUUUAUGAAGAAGACUAUUGAAUUCCGGUGGGAUCUUUUGGAAAGAAUUAAACGCAACUAUGAAGAUUGGGAACUCGACGAAGGUAAAGAGUCAGGUAUUAAAAUUAAAUAUGAUUGUGUUUAAUCUUUUAUGGAUACCGAUGCUUUUAAAAUGUUUAGCACUAAAUAUGGACAUGACUCUCAGAUAGUAGCCUCCUUUUGUGAAUCAUUUGCUACUCAUGUUGAACUCCCUAAAGAGAAGUGGUUUAAAUAUCACCCACCUAUUAAAGAAGAAAUUAAAGAACCGUACCAGUUAAAGAAGAAACUAUACUUUAUAAUGUUGAUCCAGUUGUUCCUUCUGUUUAUAUUGAGAAACCACCUUUCCCUGUUAGGAUAAAGGAACAUGCUAAAAUUUCAACUGUGCUUAACAAAAGCUAUAUUAGAACACCUAAACCUAAUGAACAAAUUAAAGUAGAACCUAGCAUUUCUAUGGUUAAAAGAUCUCUUAGAAGAAGAUAUAGAUGGGCGUGUUAUUUACUUCUGUGAUGAAGCUGCUAGAAUUGCCAAACCUGAUAAAAAGGAUAAACAUAGACCUGUUGUUGGCAUGCCUGUCAUCUCAGUUAAAAUAGGAGAUCAGUGUUAUCAUGGCUUAUGUGACAUGGGUGCUAGUGUGAGUGAUAUUCCUUACACUUUAUAUCAAGAAAUUAUGAAAGACAUAGCACCUGCAGAGUUAGAAGACAUAGAUGUUACUAUUAAACUUGCUAAUAGAGACACCAUAUCACCCUUUGGGAUUGUUAGAGAUGUUGAAGUCUUGUGUGGGAAAAUAAAAUACACUACUGAUUUUCUUGUUCUUGGUUCCCCACAAGAUGACUUUUGUCCCAUUAUCUUUGGUAGACCUUUCUUGAAUACAGUUUAUGCUAAGGUAGAUUGUAAGAAACAAACUGUUGGUGUUAGCUUUGGUGAUGAGUCUCAUGAGUUUAAUUUUUGCAAGUUUAGUAGAAAUCUUCAUGAAAAAGAAUUGCCUAGUAAAAAUGAAUUAAUUGGUCUUGCUUCUAUUGCUGUUCCACCUACUGAUCCUUUAGAACAAUAUCUGCUAGACCAUGAAAAUGAUUUACAUAUGCAUGAAAGAAAUGAAAUAGAUAAAAUUCUCUUUGAACAACGUCCUCUACUUAAACACAAUUUGCCUAUUGAAACUCUAGGAGGUCCUCCUCCACCUAAAGGUGAUCCUGUGUUUGAAUUAAAACAAUUUCCAGACACUUUGAAAUAUGCUUAUCUUGAUGAAAAGAAGAUAUAUCCUGUUAUUAUUAGCGCAAACCUUUGAGAACAUGAAGAAGAAAGAUUAUUGAAAGUUCUAAGGAAGCACCAGGCUGCUAUUGGAUAUACUCUUGAUGGUUUAAAGGGCAUUAGUCCCACUCUAUGUCAGCACAAAAAUUAAUAUGGAACCUGAUGCUAAACCCAUUGUUGAUCACCAACGUCGGUUAAAUCCAAAAAUGAAGGAAGUGGUAAGAACGAAAAUCUUAAAACUUCUGGAGGCAGGUAUAAUAUAUCCCAUAGUUGAUAGUAGAUGGGUAAGUCUUGUUCAUUGUGUUCCUAAGAAAGGAGGUAUUACUGUUGUUCCUAAUGAUAAGAAGGAACUUAUUCCACAAAGAAUUAUCACAGGCUAUAGAAUAGUAAUUGAUUUUAGAAAAUUAAAUAAAGCAACUAGAAAAUAUCAUUACCCUUUGCCUUUUAUUGAUCAAAUGCUUGAAAGAUUAUCUAAGCACACACACUUUUGCUUCCUUGAUGGAUAUUCUGGGUUUUCACAAAUACAUGUUUCUCAACCUGAUCAAGAAAAGAACACUUUUACUUGUCCAUUUGGAACCUAUGCUUAUAGACGUAUGCCUUUUGGUUUAUGUAAUGCACCUGCUACCUUAUAAAGAUGUAUGACUGCUAUAUUCUCUGACUUUUGUGAAAAGAUUGUUGAGGUUUUCAUGAAUGACUUUUCUGUUUAUGGGUAGUCUUUUGAUGAUUGUUUAAGCAAUCUUGAGCGAGUUUUGCAGAGAUGUGAAGAAACAAAUCUUGUCUUGAAUUGGGAGAAGUGCCACUUUAUGGUUAAUGAAGGCAUUGUCUUGGGUCAUAAAAUUUCUGAAAGAGGUGUUGAACUGGACCAAGCUAAGGUUGGUGCAAUUGAGAAAAUGCCAUGUCCUAAAGAUAUAAAAGGUAUUCAUAGUUUCCUAGGCCACGAUGGUUUCUAUAGGAGAUUUAUCAAAGACUUUCCUAAAAUUUCUAACCCUCUUACUAGUCUCUUGCAGAAGGAUAUUCCUUUUGUUUUUUAUGAUGAUUGUUUAGAAGCCUUUGAAACACUCAAGAAAGCCUUAAUUUCUGCACCUAUUGUUCAACCACCUGAUUGGAACUUGCCUUUUGAAAUUAUGUGUGAUGCUAGUAAUUAUGUUGUUGGUGUUGUUCUAGGACAAAGAGUUGAUAAGAAAUUGAAUGUUAUUCAUUAUGCUAGUAAAACUCUAGACAGUGCUCAAGGAAAUUAUGCUACUACUGAAAAAGAAUUUUUAGUAGUGGGUUUUGCUUGUGAUAAAUUUAGACCUUAUAUUGUUGAUUCAAAAGUAACUGUUCACACAGACUGUCGGUGUACAAAAGUAGGGGCUCUCCUUUUUACCCCUCUACUUGUACACGGGCAGUCAGAGCCACACCUGCGGCCGCACUUAGCAGGGCAAAGGGAGGGAGAAAAAGCACAAGACAGGCAAAACAACGCCAAGACCAGAGACACAAAGAGCAAGAGGGGGAGGUGGACUCCCCCGGCAAGACCCUUGCUGGGGCGGCCUCCAUGGCCCCGGCAAGAACCUUUCCGGGGCAACUUGCCCAACGCCAGCAGAGCGCGCCACCCUUGAGCCCAAGGGUUCCAACACCAUCAACCACUUUGGAACCAGGGCUCGGGAGGCACCUUCGUGGUGGCAUGCAGAUCUUUGUGAAGAUCAUAAGCACACAAGAUCAGAUGAGGACCAGAAGACGACGAUCCUCGCGAGAUCCUCGCCGAGGAAAUCCACGAGACCUCCGGCAAGAUCCUUGCUAGGGACAACCGCGAUGCCACGGCAAGACCCUUGCCGAGGCCUCGACAAGGCCCUUGCCGAGGACACCUGCAGGGCCACAGCCAGGCCUACGUCUGCCAAGACUCCACCGCCGUUCCCAUACUGCUGCCAGCCCAACCAGCUGGGCAGGCACCUGCGUGGCAACGUGCGGCCUCCAGGCCAACUCAGCAAGCACCUGCAUGGUGGCAUGCAGAUCUUCGUGAAGACCCUACCACCACGCCAUCUCAGCAGCCUGCCAGCCUACAUGGCGCUGCAUGCCUCGUUGGCCUGGACGCGUGUCGGAGCGAGGCGGAGCGGCGACGGACGGGACGGGCCUCACUGCCGUCCCCAAUAAAGCAAUGGGACACCUAAGGAGCGCAUUUAAUGCGCCUUGUCCCGUAAUGACAGGCGAUAAGCUUGUACACUGUAUACCUUUCCACCUCCUGUGUGCCACUGUGGCGACACCUUUUUGACUAUAAAAGGAGGCCUGAGGCGUACUGGAGGGGGAUUCAGAUCUUUUGGACUACGCACGCACCACAGCUAGUUCGAGAGCUCAAGAACGCUCAAAUAUACACCAAAGCAGGACUGGGGUAUUACGCAUCCUCGCAGCCCGAACCUGGGUAAACGAUCCUUGUGCUGACUACCAGACCCGCUCUUUGCACAACCCCGCGCCCGCCAACCGUAGAAGGGAUCCCAGUGAUUCCAUAGGUGUCGUUUCCACCGACAUCUUUGGCGCGCCAGGUAGGGGGCGUAGUUGUGGAAAUCUGGUCUAGUUGGAGUAGCAGCUUCAUCGUGGUCGUCACUCCAAGGAAGAAGACGGCCAAACGAGCGGCAGCAUUGGCGGAUGCAGCGAACGCUCACGUAGCGGCAGAAAAGCUAAGUCAUGCAAAACUUUGAACAAUUCCUUUUUAUAUAUAAGGUUAUCGUCCUCGAAGAUCUUGCCCUGUGUAUGGAAAACCUGCAUGCAAUGGGACCUUGCCACUAUUGGCAAUGCCCUUGCUCUGUUUCGAGUCCGCUCGACAGUUCGAGUGUCUGCGUCAAGAACGGCAGGGUGACCUUAUGCAAUUGGCAACACUCCCGUUCUGUCUCGAGUCCGCUCGACAGUUCGAGCGGCUGCGUUAAGGGCAGUGAGGUGGUUUCCCUGGCAGCAGGCACACCCGGCAGGCUAUUGGGGAUCCGUCCUCAAGGCGCCGCGGCCUGGGUUUACGCACCGGCAAGCCUACCUGAUUAACGUAGGGUGAACAUACAAAGGGAGAUCAUACGGGAAAAUAACAUGCAUCGUUUCAUAGUACUGCAGAGUUAUAUUACAUCAAUUGUUGCUGCGGUUCUAACUAAAGAUAAAAAUUGUCUUGGUCAUGAACCUGCAGCGGUGAUGAGAAACGGGGUGCCUAAUCCCGGCGCUGGCCCUCUACCCUCCGAACUCUGUUCACGCGGCUGAUGAUGGGCUCGAUACGCUCCUCGAGCGACGUGAGGUCCGCAUCCUCCGGCAAGCACUCCAGCGCGGCGUCGAAGUUGAGGUUGGGGUUCUAGUACGCCACCUUGGUGAGGACCUUGGUCAUGACACCCCGACAAAGCUUCCGGGCCUCGUCGGCCAGAGAGGCCGCCCUGUUAGAACGAGACUGCUCCAGGGCCCCGAGAACACCCUCGAAGAACAGGGUCAGCUUGGCGUUGGGACUCACGUUCGGCUCCGGGGCGUUCCUCACGUUUGGCAUCCCCAUGGUCGCCAGCUUCAUGGUGGUCCUGCCGGCAACGUCGGCGAGGCGGCUGAUCCAGAGGUUUUCGCCCUUCACGAAAUCCGCAUGGUUGGCGGCGUUGUUCUUCCGCAGCUGCCUUUCCUUCUCCAGAUCCUUGGUCAGGGUCUCCUCCCGGGCCCUGACCUCCAAAAGCGUCCCCUCAAGACCCUCCAGCUUUAGCUUCAGGUCUUUGACGGAGUCGUUGGCCUUGGAGAGCUGCUCAGCCCUGCCGAGGACCGCGGCCUGCGCCUCGACCAGAGCACCGUUGAGCGUGUCCUUCUCCUUUGCCAGCUUCAGGGCCUGUUCCUUCAGCCGGUCCCGCUCCACCUCCAGCUCUUUCACCUUGAUGGCUUGGACCUGGGCCUGAGCAUUGAGUGCCUCCUCGUGCCUCUGCUCCAGUUCCUGGGUCCGCUGCACGACAAGCUUCUCCACCUCCUCAUCCUUGCCACGGAGUGUUGCGGCGAGCUUCUCCUCACGAGCGGCAAGUUCCUCCUCCUCGGAGUUUAGCUCAUCCUGGUGCUGGUGCCGAGUAGCCUCGUCUUUGGCGGCCUGCUCCUUCGCCAGCUCCUGGGCCUUCUCGAUGUCAGCCUGCUUCAUGACAAGCUCCAGCUUGCGCUCAGCCAGCACAUCCUGGGCGGCCUUCAGUUCUUUCUGGGCCUGGCGGAACCAAGCCUGCGUCUCGCAGACGCACUCCUCGAGGUCCGCCUCCGCCUUGUCGACCGCCGCCAUCCUGGACUUGGCCUUGUCCAGGCGGGCGCGGUGAAGCGCCUGGAGCUUCUGGAAGUUGGCGCUCAUGACCUGGAGGAGCCGCUCUUCCUGGGAACCGCCGCCACCGGCGCUUGGAUCGUCAACAACCUCGAGCCCGGCGGCGGCGAGCACCUCGUCAUCAAACACCUCCCCCUCGGUGGGCGCCCUGGUGCUCGCCGUCCCUGGGAGGUGGACGAACAAGUCGUCACUCACCUUCAGGUACUUGCCCGAGCCAGAGGCAGCAGAGGAGGAAGGUUGGUCGUCAACCGCCCCCUCCUAUGCAGCGGCCUUGCCGGCCUCCCUGGCAGGCCCCUUGCCGGCCUCCUCAGCAGCGGCCUUGCCGCUCUCCCCGGCCGGCUCCUUUGCGGCAUCCUCAGCAUCCCUGCCGACCUCCUCGAAGAUAGUAUCAAUGUUCUCCUGGUCCGCUGAGGGAGCGCCUAGAUGCCAAGAAGGAGGAUGAGGCAGAGCCGAAUCAAAGUUCAAAAAAAGUAAAACGAACAAGGAAGGAAGGCAAAUAACUCACCCGUGCCAGGCGGGGAAGAAGUGGCCCCCUCCCCACCAACAUUUGGUGCCAGGACGGAGCCGCCGGCGCCCGGGUUUGCCUCCUCCUCCUCCGUGCGCAUGGGCUCGGUGCUUGGCGCCCUUGCCGAGGACGCCCCUCGGGGCGGCGUGGUUGAUGGGGCGGCGUGUUGGGGGUGGCCGUCAGUGGCUCCUCCUGCUGCUGUCCUCCUCCUGCAACCACGGCAAGGCCAGCGCCAAGUGAUCGUACCCCAACACACGUUGAUAGGGAGCAAGUGAUGAACGCACGCUGGGGGCUACGCCGGGGGCUGCUGUCCGGGCUGCUCUCCACCACCAGCGGCGUACUCGAGGUGACCGCCGGGGGCUGGCCGCCCGUCGAGGCCCUGGCUCUCUUCGCCACCCUCUGGGCCAGCGUCUCCACAUCCCUGCAAAGAUGAAGACAAGUCAAUAAAAGCGGCACGGUCUGAGGGGACGGAGAUGACAAAAGACAAGCUACUUACUCAUCCUCCGCCUCCUCUUCCGCUGCCUUCCUCUUCCUCCUCGGGCUGAGAGACCCAAGAUCGAAGAUGACCUCCGUGUCGACAUCCGCGGGAGGAGGGGAAGCGGGUGGAGUCCGAGGACGCUUGGACGAAGAAGAGGCGGUGAUGUCUACUACGCAACCUUCUUCUUGUAGACGUUGUUGGGCCUCCAAGUGUAGAGGUUUGUAGGACAGUAGCAAAUUUCCCUCAAGUGGAUGACCUAAGGUUUAUCAAUCCGUGGGAGGCAUAAGUUGAAGAUGGUCUCUCUCAAACAACCCUGCAACCAAAUAACAAAGAGUCUCUUGUGUCCCCAACACACCCAAUACAAUGGUAAAUUGUAUAGGUGCACUAGUUCGGCGAAGAGAUGGUGAUACAAGUGCAAUAUGGAUGGUAGAUAUAGGUUUUUGUAAUCUGAAAAUAUAAAAACAGCAAGGUAACUAAUGAUAAAAGUGAGCACAAACGGUAUUGCAAUGCGUUGAAACAAGGCCUAGGGUUCAUACUUUCACUAGUGCAAGUUCUCUCAACAAUAAUAACAUAAUUGGAUCAUAUAACUAUCCCUCAACAUGCAACAAAGAGUCACUCCAAAGUCACUAAUAGUGGAGAACAAACGAAGAGAUUAUGGUAGGGUACGAACCCACCUCAAAGUUAUUCUUUCUGAUCGAUCUAUUCAAGAGUUAGUAGUAAAAUAACACGAAGCUAUUCUUUCCGUUCGAUCUAUCAUAGAGUUCGUACUAGAGUAACACCUUAAGAAACAAAUCAACCAAAACCAAAUGUCACCUAGAUACUCCAAUGUCACCUCAAGUAUCCGUGGGUAUGAUUAUAUGAUAUGCAUCACACAAUCUCAGAUUCAUCUAUUCAACCAACACAAAGAACUUCAAAGAGUGCCCCAAAGUUUCUACCCGAGAGUCAAGACGAAAACGUGUGCCAACCCCUAUGCAUAAGUUCACGAGGUUACGGAACUCGCAAGUUGAUCACCAAAACAUUCAUAAAGUGGAUCACGUGAUAUCCCAUUGUCACCACAGAUAAGCACAUGCAAGACAUACAUCAAGUGUUCUCAAAUCCUUAAAGACUCAAUUCGAUAAGAUAACUUCAAAGGGAAAACUCAAUCCAUUACACGAGAGUAGAGGGGGAGAAACAUCAUAAGAUCCAACUAUAAUAGCAAAGCUCGCGAUACAUCCAGAUCGUACCACCUCAAGAACACGAGAGAGAGAGAGAGAGAGAGAGAGAUCAAACACAUAGCUACUGGUACAUACCCUCAGCCCCGAGGGUGAACUACUCCCUCCUCGUCAUGGAGAGCGCCGGGAUGAUGAAGAUGGCCACCGGUGAGGGAUCCCCCCUCCAGCAGGGUGCCGGAACAGGGUCACGAUUGGUUUUCGGUGGCUACAGAGGCUUGCGGCGGCGGAACUCCCGAUCUAUUCUCCUCCCCGAUGUUUUUAGGGUAUAUGGAUAUAUAUAGGCGAAAGAUGUCGGUCAGGGGAGCCACGAGGGGCCCACAAGGGUGGGGGCGUGCCUAGGGGGGCAGGCGCGCCUCGAUGCUUCCCUGACGUCUACUCCAAGUCUCCUUUAUUGCUUCCGUUCCAAAAAUAACUCUCCCGAAGGUUUCAUUCCGUUUGGACUCCGUUUGAUAUUCCUUUUCUUCGAAACACUGAAAUAGGCAAGAAAACAACAAGUUGGGCUGGGCCUCCGGUUAAUAGGUUAGUCCCAAAAAUAAUAUAAAAGUGUAUAAUAAAGCCCAUAAACAUCCAAAACAGAUAAUAUAAUAGCAUGGAACAAUAAAAAAUUAUAGAUACGUUGGAGACGUAUCAGCAUCCCCAAGCUUAAUUCCUGCUCGUCCUCGAGUAGGUAAAUGAUAAAAACGGAAUUUUUGAUGUGGAAUGCUACCUAACAUAUUUAUCCAUGUAAUUCUCUUUAUUGUGGUAAGAAUAUUCAGAUCCAUAAGAUUCAAGACAAAAGUUUAAUAUUGACAUAAAAAUAAUAAUACUUCAAGCAUACUAACAAAGUAAUCAUGUCUUCUCAAAAUAACAUGGCCAAAGAAAGUUAUCCCUACAAAAUCAUAUAGUUUGGCUAUGCUCUAUCUUCAUCACACAAAGUAUUUAAUCAUGCACAACCCUGAUGACAAGCCAAGCAAUUGUUUCAUACUUUUGAUGUUCUCAAACUUUUUCAAUCUUCAUGCAAUACAUGAGUGUGAGCCAUGGACAUAGCACUAUAGGUGGAAUAGAAUGGUGGUUGUGGAGAAGACAAAAAGGAGAAGAUAGUCUCACAUCAACUAGGCAUAUCAACAGGCUAUGGAGAUGCCCAUUAAUAGAUAUCAAUGUGAGUGAGUAGGGAUUGCCAUGCAACGGAUGCACUAGAGCUAUAAGUAUAUGAAAGCUCAAAAAGAAACUAAGUGGGUGUGCAUCCAACUCGCUUGCUCACGAAGACCUAGGGCAAUUUGAGGAAGCCCAUCAUUGGAAUAUACAAGCCAAGUUAUAUAAUGAAAAAUUCCCACUAGUAUAUGAAAGUGAUAUUAUAGGAGACUCUCUAUCAUGAAGAUCAUGGUGCUACUUUGAAGCACAAGUGUGGUAAAAGGAUAGUAACAUUGUCCCUUCUCUCUUUUUCUCUCAUUUUUUUGGGCCUUCUCUUUUUUUGGCCUCUUUUUCUCUUUUUUUCGUCCCGAGUCUCAUCCCGACUUGUGGGGGAAUCAUAGUCUCCAUCAUCCUUUCCUCACUGGUACAAUGCUCUAAUAAUGAUGAUCAUCACACUUUUAUUUACUUACAACUCAAGAAUUACAACUCGAUACUUAGAACAAAAUAUGACUCUAUAUGAAUGCCUCCGGCGGUGUACCGGGAUGCGCAAUGACUCAUGAGUGACAUGUAUGAAAGAAUCAUGAACGGUGGCUUCGCCACAAAUACGAUGUCAACUACAUGAUCACGCAAAGAAAUUAUGACAAUGAUGAAGCGUGUCAUAUUAAACGAAACGGUGGUAAGUUGCCUGGCAAUAUAUCUCGGAAUGGCUAUGGAAAUGCCAUGAUAGGUAGGUAUGGUGGCUGUUUUGAGGAAGGUAUAUGGUGGGUGUAUGAUACCGGCGAAAAGUGUGCAGUAUUUAGAGAGGCUAGCAAUGGUGGAAGGAUGAGAGUGUGUGUAAUCCAUGGACUCAACAUUAGUCAUGAAGAACUCAUAUACUUGUUGCAAAAAUCUACAAGUUAUCAAAGCAAAGUAUUACGCGCAUGCUCCUAGGGGGAUAGAUUGGUAGGAAAAGACCAUCGCUCGUCCCCGACCGCCACUCAUAAGGAAGACAAUCAAUAAAUAAAUCAUGCUCCGACUUCAUCACAUAACGGUUCACCAUACGUGCAUGCUACGGGAAUCACAAACUUUAACACAAGUAUCUCUCAAAUUUACAAUUACUCCACUAGCAUGACUCUAAUAUCACCAUCUUCAUAUCUCAAAACAAUCAUAAAGAAUCAAACUUCUCAUAGUAUUCAAUGCACUUUAUAUGAAAGUUUUUAUUAUAUCCCUCCUGGAUGCCUAUCAUAUUAGGACUAAUUUAAUAACCAAAGCAAAUUACCAUGCUGUUCUAAAGACUCUCAAAAUAAUAUAAGUGAAGCAUGUGAGUACAUCUAUUUCUUAAAAAUAAAACUACCAUUGUGCUCAAAAAGAUAUAAGUGAAGCACUAGAGCAGACGACAAACUACUCCAAAAGAUAUAAGUGAAGAUCAAUGAGUAGUCGAAUAAUUAUGCAACUAUGUAAAGACUCUCUAACAUUUAAGAGAGAUCAAACACAUAGCUACUGGUACAUACCCUCAGCCCCGAGGGUGAACUACUCCCUCCUCGUCAUGGAGAGCGCCGGGAUGAUGAAGAUGGCCACGGGUGAGGGAUCCCCCCUCCGGCAGGGUGCCGGAACAGGGUCCCGAUUGGUUUUCGGUGGCUACAGAGGCUUGCGGCGGCGGAACUCCCGAUCUAUUCUGCUCCCCGAUGUUUUUAGGGUAUCCGGAUAUAUAUAGGCGAAAGAAGUCGGUCAGGGGAGCCACGAGGGGCCCACGAGGGUGGGACGCGCGCCGAGGGGGCAGGCGCGCCUCCCUGCCUCGUGGCCACCUCGAUGCUUCCCUGACGUCUACUCCAAGUCUCCUGGAUUGCUUCCAUUCCAAAAAUAACGCUCCCGAAGGUUUCAUUCCGUUUGGACUCCGUUUGAUAUUCCUUUUCUUCGAAACACUGAAAUAGGCAAGAAAACAACAAUUUGGGCUGGGCCUCCGGUUAAUAGGUUAGUCCCAAAAAUAAUAUAAAAGUGUAUAAUAAAGCCCAUAAACAUCCAAAACAGAUAAUAUAAUAGCAUGGAACAAUCAAAAAUUAUAGAUACGUUGGAGACGUAUCAGGCGGUCGCUUUCCUCUUCGCCACCGCGGCCAUCACCACCUUCUUUCCUGUUGCGGCCCUCGUCAGGCGCACGGACUCCCCUGGAUCUCUUGCCGCUGCUCGGUCCUGCCGGGCCGGACCGGCUCGCCAGAGGUGGCCCGCCGCAGGACACGCCUUUUUUCCAAGGCCGGAGGGUCGUCGGCCUCGGCCUCUUCCUCGGUCAACUCGUCGACCACAUCUUCGAUGAGAGGGGCUCGGGUGUCGGCGCUGCUGGCCUCCCCAGCACACUCCGCCCAUCUGACACGCUCCUUCUCCUUCGCGGCAGCCUCGGCCUCAUUCUCCAAGUGGCCAGCGCUGCCAGCCUCCUUGGCGAGCUCCGCCUCCCCCACCCUGGCGGCGAUGUAGUCCAGCUCCGCCUGGGUGGUGUCCUGGAUGAGCAAUGGCUCGGCAUGCAUGUACUGAUUUGACAGCUUGUCGAAGAACUCCUACACCUGAUCCGCCCCCGGCUCGGCCCAAUUUGGGUCAAGGUCGUGCGCGUUGAAGUCCAGCAUCAUGGCGAUGAUGUAGGUUUGGCGAGAAUUGUUGCUCAGUGGGACCAUCCCCCGCCGGCAACCCAAACAAGGGCCCCUUGACGACCUUGCCGGCCUUCGCAGCCUUGCCGGACCUCUCGGCCCUACUGUCGCGGUACACGUCGAGCUGAAAAAGAAUCUGGCAAAAGUGGGCGUGCCCCAUCACCGUGAAGUUGUGGUUCAAGCCAGGGCGAAGCCUCAUGAUGUCGGCCGCGUUCCUGAAAAGCCAGGCCGGCCUCCCCUUGUUAUGCAGUGGAGCGAUUCGGCGACGGAUGAAAUCUGCCCCAAUCAUCUCAAGGGUGAGCCCGGCCACGGUGAGGCGAUGGAUCCUGGUGGUGGCGAUCGUGAGCUUCUCAUCCUUGGCGUCGACUUCGCCCCAAUCAUCUCUACGAACCGGCGGCGCCUCGCGGACCCGGCAAAAUUCCUGCGGGUCCUCCUCCAUAAUCCAGCACCGCCGGCUCCGCCACUCCUCCCACCUCUCCUUCUGAGCGCCCUCCGGAUAUGUCCCCUUCUCUUGGCUCCUUGGGAUCCAGGUGACACAACCGGAAAUAGCGCCUCCCUUUUGGAUACGAGGGUAGAAGUAGUGGCAGAAAAGCGCCGUGCUGGGAUACCCUCUGGCAAAGCCCUCGCAGAGAUGGGCGAAAAGGGCCAUGCACGCCACGACAUUCAGAGUGAAAUCCAGAAGGUGGAAGCCAUAGGUGUGCAUGACGUCAUUGAAGAAAUCGGAGAAAGGGGGGCAGAGCCCGCAGGAAAAGUAAUCAACGAAGAAGGGGUACCGAUUCGGGCCGGCCUCGGCGAAACCGGCAGGGAUGAUGCGCGUGGCAGGGUGCCCCUUCGUCUUGCACCCCCACAGGGGCUUGAAGUAGUCCCGGAGGUGGACCGCAUCGACCAUCGAAGGAAAGUAGGCGAGCUGCGUUCGCCACGCCGCCAACUCGCUAUCCGGCGCCUCCUUCCCCCCAGCGUCCUUGGCCGUUCCCUUGCCUUUGCUGGUUUUGGGUGCCAUGGCGGCUGAGGGAGAUGAGGGAUGAGGGACAGCAAUGGCACAGCGGCGGCGGUGAGCGAAAGCAAGAACUUGAGAAGAGAGAAGGGAGGGGAAGCGGUUCCGAGAUUGGAGAAGGCAUAGAGGGUAAAUGGGUGUCGCGCCUGCGGGUUCUCCUUUUUCAUGGGGAAGGCGCGGGCUGCUUCAUUACCAUUUACCGCGAUGUGACGCAUGAGGGCAGCAGCCGCCCCACGCACGACCCCCACGUCACGCACGGCCCGCCACGUCACGCAUUCAACGCGGGUCGUGGGGAAGUGCAGCGAGCGAAGGAGUUACUGCGGUAAAAAUCCGCCCCGCCUGCACGCGCACCGUUCUGGGCCUAGCCCAACAACGCGUUGCGCUUAUGUGUGGCCCAUGCCCGGGGGCUCCUAUCGGUGUACAAAAGUAGGGGCUCUCCUUUUUACCCCUCUACUUGUACACGGGCAGUCAGAGCCGCCCCUGCGGCCACACUUAGCAGGGCAAAGGGAGGGAGCAAAAGCACAAGACAGGCAAAACAACGCCAAGACCAGAGACACAAAGAGCAAGAGGGGGAGGUGGACUCCCCCGGCAAGACCCUUGCUGGGGCGGCCUCCAUGGCCCCGGCAAGAACCUUUCCGGGGCAACUUGCCCAACGCCAGCAGAGCGCGCCACCCUUGAGCCCAAGGGUUCCAACACCAUCAACCACUUUGGAACCAGGGCUCGGGAGGCACCUUCGUGGUGGCAUGCAGAUCUUUGUGAAGAUCAUAAGCACACAAGAUCAGAUGAGGACCAGAAGACGACGAUCCUCGCGAGAUCCUCGCCAAGGAAAUCCACGAGACCUCCGGCAAGAUCCUUGCUAGGGACAACCGCGAUGCCACGGCAAGACCCUUGCCGAGGCCUCGACAAGGCCCUUGCCGAGGACACCUCCGGGGCCACAGCCAGGCCUAUGUCUGCCAAGACUCCACCACCGUUCCCAUACUGCUGCCAGCCCAACCAGCUGGGCAGGCACCUGCGUGGCAACGUGCGGCCUCCAGGCCAACUCAGCAAGCACCUGCGUGGUGGCAUGCAGAUCUUCGUGAAGACCCUACCACCACACCAUCUCAGCAGCCAGUCAGCCUACGUGGCACUGCAUGCCUCGUUGUCCUGGACGCGUGUCGGAGCGAGGCGGAGUGGCGACGGAUGGGACGGGCCUCGCUGCCGUCCCCAAUAAACAACUGGACACCUAAGGAGCGCAUUUAAUGCGCCUUGUCCCGUAAUGACAGGCGAUAAGCUUGUACACUGUAUACCUUUCCACCUCCUGUGUGCCACUGUGGCGACCCCUUUUUGACUAUAAAAGGAGGCCCGAGGCGUACUGGAGGGGGAUUCGGAUCUUUUGGACUACGCACGCACCACUGUUAGUUCGAGAGCUCAAGAAUGCUCAAAUAUACACCAAAGCAGGACUAGGGUAUUACGCAUCCUCGCGACCCGAACCUGGGUAAACGAUCCUUGUGCUGACUACCAGACCCGCUCUUUGCACAACCCCGCGCCCGCCAACCGUAGAAGGGAUCCCAGUGAUUCCAUAGGUGUCGUUUCCAUCGACACAGACCAUGUUGCUAUUAAAUAUCUUAUGGAAAAGAAAGAUGCUAAACCUAGACUUAUUCGAUGGGUUCUCUUGUUGCAAGAAUUUGAUUUACAUAUCAUUGAUAGAAAAGGAGCUGAUAACCCAGUAGCUGAUAACUUGUAUAGGCUUGAAAAUGUGCUUGAUGACCCACUACCUAUUGAUGAUAGUUUUCCUGAUGAGCAGUUAGCUACAAUAAAUCUUUCUCAUAGUACUCCUUGGUAUGCUGAUUAUGCUAAUUACAUUGUUGCUAAAUAUUUACCACCUAACUUUACAUACCAACAAAAGAAAAAAAUUCUUCUAUGAUUUAAGACAUUACUUUUGGAAUGACCCACAUCUUUAUAAAGAAGGAGUAGAUGGUAUUAUUAGACGUUGUGUACCUAAGCAAGAACAGGGACAAAUCCAAAGGAAAUGUCACUCCAAGGCUUAUGGAGGGAAUCAUGCUGGAGAUAGAACUGUUCACAAGGUAUUACAGUCUGGAUUUUAUUGGCCUACUCUAUUCAAGGAUGCCCGUAAGUUUGUCUCAUCUUGUGAUGAAUGUCAAAGAAUAAGCAACAUCGGUAAGCGUCAAGAAAUGCCUAUGAAUUAUUCUCUUGCUGUUGAACCAUUUGAUGUUUGGGGAUUUGAUUACAUGGGACCUUUUCCUUCCUCUAAUGGGUAUACACAUAUUUUGGUUGCUGUUGAUUAUGUUACUAAAUGGGCAGAAGCUAUUCCAACUAGUAGUGCUCAUCACAACACCUUUAUUAAAAUGCUUAAGGAAGUUAUUUUCCCAAGGUUUGGAGUCCCUAGAUAUUUAAUGACUGAUGUUGGUUCACACUUUAUUCAUGGUGCUUUCCAUAAGAUGCUUGACAAGUAUGAUGUUAACCAUAGAAUUGCAUCACCCUAUCAUCCUCAGUCUAGUGGUCAAGUUGAACAUAGCAAUAGAGAAAUAAAAUUAGUUUUGCAAAAGACUGUCAAUAGGUCAAGGAAGAAUUGGUUUAAGAAAUUAGAUGAUGCACUUUGGGCUUAUAGAACAGCAUAUAAAAAUCCUAUGGGCAUGUCUCCUCUUGAGUUAGAACAUAAAGCAUAUUGGGCAGUUAAAGAGCUCAAUUAUGAUUUCAAACUUGCUGGUGAAAAGAGGUUAUUUGAUAUUAGCUCUCUAGAUGAAUGGAGAACCCAAGCUUAUGAAAAUGCAAAAUUAUUUAAAGGAAAAGUUAAAAGGUGGCAUGACAAAAGAAUUCAAAAGCGUGAGUUUAAUGUUGGAGAAUAUGUUCUUUUGUACAACUCUCAUUUCAGAUUCUUUGCAGGAAAACCCCUAUCAAAAUGGAAGGCGCAUAUGUCAUUGAGGAGGUUUACCGGUCUGGAGCCAUCAAAAUAAAUAUUUCCUAAGGUACUAACCCGAAGGUUGUCAAUGGGCAACGAAGAAAUCAUUACAUCUCAGGUACACCUAUUAAUGUUGAAAGUAAUAUUAUCCAAACUUUGACACCGGAAGAGCACAUAAAAGAGUCCUUCUGGAACACUCCAGAAUCGUGAAAAUAAGGAGGUACGUGAUACGGUAAGUAAACUAACUCCGAAAAAUCCGCUAAAAUGUUUUUUCUCAGUUUUGGAAUAUUUAAGAAUUUUAGGAAUAAAGAAACUUUCAGGAAGCGUACCCCGGUGGGCACAAUACGCUAGGGUGCACCAGGCUUGCCUCGCGCGCCCAGGUGGGUUGCGCCCACCUGGGACACCUUCCGUACUCCGUUUUUUUCUACCCUAUACUUGUCCUCCAAGAUAAAAAAAUCUAUAUAUACUUCCCGAACCUGUUGACCACCGUGUCGCGGAGCAAUCCUCUGUUCUCUUUUUCCUUGUUGUUUUCUAUCAGAUCCCAUCUACCGUGGCCUCUUCAAGCACCUCCAAGGACAAGUUCUUCAAGAACGUCAUCAACCCUUAUCUGCGGGAGGUGGUGCGGCACCCUCAAACCAUCCAGAUGCAUGAGGGGGUGUUGUACAUCCCCGACGAGCAAGGUCCCAAGGGCACGGGAACCGUGGAGGCCAGGCUUGAAGCCAUGGAGCAGGAAGUCUUCUAGUGCAAGGGGAUGGUGGAGCGUGGGCUCCAUGCUAAUCACCUUAUGAUCGCGGACCUUUCCCGUGAUCUCAAGGUGGAUGGCAAGCCCAUGAAGGACAUCGUCUUCACCAUCAACGAGCAAAUCAACUUCCUCCAAAGCUAGAUCUAUGACCUCCAAAACCAAGUCUUUGAAUAUGAGGCGGGGUUCAAAGGUAUGAGUUUGGCUGCUAGUUGCAGGAUCAGUGAGACUCACUCCUCUUAUGAUUGUGGACCACUACCAUGGAAAUCCGAGGACAAGAUCUCUCCUUCAUCACCAUCAUCUUCUUCACCACCAAAGGAGAAUUGAGUAUCAGGUAUGGGCACUCCCCUUGGCUUCCACCAAGCUUGGGGGAGGUGCCCCGGUAUCGUAUCAUCCCACUAUCUUAUUACUUUUACUUAUUUUAGUUUGAUCUUUUGCAUUUGAUGAAUAAAAGUUUAGUUCGAUCCUUUCUUCUUUGAGAGUUUACUUAGUGAUCUAUCCUUGUAAUCGUGUGCAAGUUAUAUAAUAAAGUUUAGUUUGAGUUUUUGCUUUCUUUACUUUCUUGUUGCAAAUAAAAGAAAAGAAAUAAAUAAAGAGAAAGAGAAAGGAAAUAGAAAAAGAAAGGAAAGAAAUAAAUCAAUAAGAUUAUAUACUAAUCCUAUGGUAGGUGAUGGCACCACAUAAGGAAAAGUAUAAGUAGAAAAUUUUAUUACAGGUUGACAAACAUGGUAUUAGUCAAUGAUGCAAGUCAUGAAAGAAAAUCUUUUGUGAUUGUGAGCCCUCAUCCAAAUAUUAUAUGCCAAAAUUGUUGAUGUUGGAAAAGGAAGACAACUUAAUGGUUUAUGUUUGUUUAUAUUCACAUAGAAGUCAUAUUGUCAUAGAUCCUUCAAAAUGUGGUGCUUGCCCCCUAUCUUUGCUAGCCAAAAAUUCCGCACUAAGUAGAGCUACUACUUGUGCAUCCAAAAACCCUUAAUCCCAAAUCUUACUUUCAAGUGUCCACCAUACCAACCUAGGGAUUGAGCAAGAUCCCUCAAGUAAGUUGUCAUCGGUCCAAAAAGGCAAUAAAAAUUGCUUCUAAAAGUUUGAGAUCAUUUAGUGUAAGAGAAAAUUGAGCAUUGUACGAACUUGGAUGACAAAGAAUAAAAGCUACAGACUUCAUAAUAAAGGUUGUCAUCUUAAGGGGCAAUACAACGUGACGUUCUUUUGCACUAAGGGAUUGAGCAUACAAACAAAUAAGCGCACAACAACCUCUGCUUCCCUCUGCGAAGGGCCUAUCUUUUACUUUUAUGUAUUUACUUUCAUGCAAAGAGUCAAAGUUUUCCUUCUAUUCCUUUUAUUUUUCUCCUUUGGCAAGCAUCAUGUGGUGAGGAAAAAUCUAGGAACAUAUGUCCAGUUGAAUAUAGAUAGCAUGAGUUAUUAUUGUUGACAUCACCCUUGAGGUGAGUUUGUUGGGAGGCGAAACUAUAAGCCCUUAUCUUUCAAUGUGUCCGAUUGAAACGUUUUGCUCAUGGGUACGAGGUGACUGUUAGCAAUCAUAGAAGACUAUAUGAUGGUUGAGUAUGUGGACUUGCCUAAAGGCUCCGAUACGUGACCCUUCCUAAAGAGAUGAUGAAUUGCAGUUGCAAAGUUGACUGAGAACAUAGUUUGUUGGUUUCUAAUUGAGUUUUUGCUUUAUACUUUGAUUGUGUGAUGAACUAUUACUUAUUCAUGAGAAGUAUAUGAUAAAAGUUCUAUGAUAAAAGUCCUAUGUUUAGUUUUGUUGCUGUUAUAAUAAUCAACAUGAUGCUUCUAUGUCCGUAUUUUGUUUUUAUCGACACCUCUCUCUCAAAGCAUGUGGACAUUUUUUCGAUUUCGGUUUUCGCUUGAGAACAAGCUAGGUCUAAGCUUGGGGGAGUUGAUACGUCCAUUUUGCAUCAUGUUUUCUUACUAUUAUUUAUAAUGUUUUUAUCCAUAAUAAUGUUUUUUGGAGUAAUUCUAAUGCCUUUUCUCUCAUAAUUUGCAAGGUACACACCAAGAGGGAGAAUUCCGGCAGCUGGAAAUCUGGACCUGAAAAAGCUACGUCCGGCUACCUAUUAUGCACAACUGCAAACAAGCUGAAACUUCACGGGGAUUUUUUAUGGAAUAAAUAAGAAUUACUGGAAGAAAUAAACACCAGAGGGGUGCCACCAGAUAGGCACAACCCACCUGGGCGCGCCAAGGGCCUGGCGCGCCCUGGGGGGUUGUGGUCUCCUCGGCCCACCUCCGGUGCCCAUCUUCUGGUAUAUAAGUCAUUUUGACCUAGAAAAAAUAUGAUGAGGACUUUCGGGACGAAGCGCCGGAGCCUCGAGGCGAAACUUGGGCAGGAGCACUUUUGCCCUCUGGCGGAGCGAUUCCGUCGGGGGAACUUCCCUCCCGAAGGGGGAAAUCAUCGUCAUCAUCUUCACCAACAACUCUCCCAUCAUGGGGAGAGCAAUAUCCAUCAACAUCUUCAACAGCACCAUCUCAUCUCAAACCCUAGUUCAUCUCUUGUGUUCAAUCUUGUUACCGGAACUAUAGAUUGGUGCUUGUGGGUGACUAGUAGUGUUGAUUACAUCUUGUAGUUGAUUACUAUAUGGUUUAUUUGGUGGAAGAUUAUAUGUUUAGAUCCAAUAUGCUAUUUAAUACUCCUCUGAUCAUGAGCAUGUUUAUUAUUUGUGAGUAGUCACUUAUGUUCUUGAGGUCACGGGAGAAAUGAUGUUGCAAGUAAUCAUGUGAACUUGAUACGUGUUCAAAAUUUUGAUAGUAUGUAUGUUGUGAUUCCCUUAGUGGUGUCAUGUGAACGUCGACUACAUGACACUUCACCAUAUUUGGGCCUAAUGGAAUGCAUUGUGGAGUAGCAAUUAGAUGGUGGGUUGCGAGAGUGACAGAAACUUAAACCCCAGUUUAUGCGCUAUUCCGUAAGGGACCGAUUGGACCCCAAAGUUUAAUGUUAUGGUUAGAAUUUAUUCUUAAUACUUUUCUCGUAGUUGCGGAUGCUUGCGGGUGGGUUAAUCAUAAGUAGGAGGUUUGUUCAAGUAAGAACAGAACCUAAGCACCGGUCCACCCACAUAUCAAAUUAUCAAAGUAGCGAACACAAAUCGAACCAACAUGAUGAAAGUGACUGGAUGAAAUCCCCGCGUACCCUCAAUAACGCUUUGCUUAUCAUAAGAGACCAUUUUGGCCUGUCCUUUACCUCAAAAGGAUUGGGCUAUCUUGCUGCACUUUUUUUACUACUAUCUUUACUUGCUCGUUACAAAUUAUCUUGCUAUCAAACUACUCCGCUACUUACAAUUUCAGCACUUGCAGACACUACCAUACUGAAAACUACUUGUCAUUUCCUUCUGCUCCUCGUUGGGUUCGAUACUCUUAUUUAUCAAAAAGAGCGAAAAUUGAUCCCCCUAUACUUCUGGGUCAUCAGGAAUUCUACUAGAUCCUCCUUCGGACAAUUCUGGGAGAUGUGUCCUUCUUCUCCACAUGAAUAGCAUGACUUGGUGCAGGGUUUAAUUAGCUCUUCUUCGGGUGUGUCCUCAAAAACUUCCUUCAUCGUGGUUUUUUUUAAGUUUCCCUGAGGGCUUCUUUCUUUCGCUGAAUGACUUGAUGUACCUUGGGGUAGAUGCGACACUGAGCAGGGUAGUGGGUAGGCCCUUCACACAAGAAACAAGUAAUCUGCGUAGUUGGGCAUUCUUCAGUUGGGUGACUUUCUUCGCAGUGAGGGCAUCCAUCCUUGUGUUCUUUAUGGUUGUGUCCUAUUUCUCCACAAAGCUUGCAUGCAAGGUUUCUUUAUUUCAUUUCCACAAGGCUUCAAGUUUUUGGGGCACAAGACGAGACCUGAGGAGAGUCAACUUAAAUUCUUCCCAAGUGAUUUCUCCUUUCCAUCCAUUUAUAGCUUGAUACAUACUCAACAAAGUAGCGGCACUUUUUUAAAAGUACUGAAGAACAAGCUGGGCCAUAUCCUUUCCGGCUAUAGUGUUAUUCCUCAUGUGAUCUUCCAUGUUCUGAAUCCAUUUGUCCAUCUCCAAUUGAGUCAUUGAUCCAGAAAAUGUGAGUUCAUCUCCAUUCGUCAUCUAUUGGGUCCAAGGAUUUUGGGUAAGGUCAAGAUAAGAUUGGAGAGAGAGGGGGAAAAGGUACCCAUACCAACAAAAGACACAACAGCUAAAAUAUAGAGUAACUCCACACAUUCAUUCAGUUCAAUCAAUCCUAUAGUACUACCACCCACAUAUGUUGGUAUGGUCAGAUACUCUAAUCACAAAACGUUUAUCUUUAUUCGCUCAUCAUGGGCUAUAGCUAGACUAGCUUCUUCAUGUCCUGGUUCAUGUCUUCGCUGGCUUCUUCCGAUUGUGCUUGAUCUUCUCAAGUUCUUCUGCCAGAUCAUCUCUAUUGAUGCAAAGUCUCUUGUGACGUCCUUAGUGCGUUCGAAGCUUCUGGAUUUCAACAUCCUUGGCAUGAACCAUGGUCCUACUGUCCUUCAAUUCCUGGCGAAUCUUCGGUAUCUUGAGGUUUUGCUCCUCCAGCUUGGCUACAUGCAGCUUUUGGGUUCUGAGCUCUUUACAGAAUACUUCCUUGUCGAAUAAGGCUUCCAGAAGGUCCAUCCAAAAAUUCUUGAUGUAAUACUCCAGAUCCUGGUGAUACACCGGCUGACGUGAAAACUUCAUCUUUUGCUCGUUCGUCAAGGCGAUAGGUGCUCCAUUAGCCUUCUGCCAUCCAAUCCUUCCGAUGAAAUGCAUGCUUAACUCAGCACUGUGACGAUAGCACAAGCGAGCAAUAGCAUCAUGGAUAGCCGUGUUUAUGCCCAUGUCUCUGCCAUGAGCUAUCAUUCCAUAGUUGAUAUCUCCUGUCUUGAGGUUUUCUUGACGACCAAAAAUUUGAGUUUUGACGCUCCAUGGUCUGGUCUUCCUCUGACACACCUUGAUCUUAGCUAUCGGCCGCUUCAAUAGUAUCACAAGUUCCAUAAGGGCUGGACCACAUGGAAUGUCUUCGUAGUGUUGUCUUUGGUUCAGGUUGAAGCUCUUCAUCUAAAAUAUGGAAGCCAGGGGUUUCUUUAGUAAGGAAUUUCAGAAGAGUACGAGAAUAACUUAAGUGGAUCCUAUCAUAGCCUUCCAAGUCACUUUACUCUAGGAAUUCUUCAGUGCUUUCAAAUUCUUAGAGUCAUUGGAGUCUUCAACCGUUGUAGUUGUCGGCGUUCUGAGAACGGGGGUCCCCAGACUUGCCUGCCUGCGGCCCACGGCGUGGCUCUGCUAGCAGGCCCGUACGGCCCAUCUUCAUCAACAAGGCAUUCAAGACCCUCGCGAGGGGCCAAGCCUCGUGAGGCGGACGAGCAAGACCUCCUCAGGAGCGGCCUCCCCAGGAUAGCUCGCGAGGGGCAGAGAGAUCAAGGCGAGGCAAACCUCGUGUGGUUCUCGUGACGUGAGCCAUGACGAUCGAGACCAGGCGGGCGCCAGCGUGCGAAGUGUCCUUGUUUCCUCUUUGGUGCUAAAGAGGCAAGCGCGGGCGUGGAGUACCAAGGCGUCAAGCAAAGGUUUCCAUAUCAGUGCAAAGAGACCAAGACCAGCAGGAUGGCAAGACGGAGGUCACCAUGGAGCCCAUGGCGGCGUCACCACCAGAGCCUUUUGCAGGCGAAGAUUGCUUUUGUCAGGAUAAGCUGUACUAGAUGUCCCCUUUUAACUUGGUCGUUGUUGGCUCCCUUCCCGCUCAAUAUUUGGGGAGAGGACCAGGGCCACUAUAAAUAGGACUAGCCACCACAGCAGGAGGCAUCGAAUCCUCACCCGCACAAGUUCACCAAACACAAGAACACCUCAACCUCAGGAGGUUGUUCUUCCUCUUUGUACUGUUCAUCCUCAGCCCAAGAGGCAAUCCACCACCACCACACUAGAGAAGGGUAUUACACCACAACAGUGGCCCGAACCAGUAUAAAUCUUGUGUCCCUUGUGUUGUGAGUUCGUCGAGUUAGUCCGUGAGAUCUUAGCAAAGCUAGGACGUGGAUCGGUAGUGGGAAACCCUCGUGCGCACCCCAGUGUUCAAACCUUGAGGGUUUUGCCGGAACCCGUGAUCCGACAUUUGGCGCGCCAGGUAGGGGUGCGCCGAAGCUUCCCUUCCGUCGCUCCGCGUCCCAUUGCUUCAUCGUCUCCAUGGCCGACGCACGCCGCGCUCGCGCUGAGCGCCGGGCUGCCCUCGCCUCCCGCGUUGCUCAGACGGCUCCCGUCGGCGGGCCACCUUGUAACGCCCGGAUAAUUAAGCUACAGUAAUCAUAUGCUAAUGAUGCCAUGUCAUCACGAUUACUGUUGUUAAACUUGCAUUGGUUUGAAUCCGGUCCAAAUUCAAAUUUCAAAUGAAGUCAAAAGUAAAAGUUUUCAAAUGUCAAAACUAAAAUGUGCGAACUAUGGAAAAUAAUUCAUAAAUAUUAUUGAUGAAGAAGCCACAUUUUUAUAAAAGGUUUAUUUGCACUAAAGUAAAUAAAACAUUGCCAAAAUAGCAAUAUGUAUCCCAUUUAUAAUUAAUACAAAAUCCAAAUGAAAUCAUCUUGCCAUCAAACUUUUUCUGGCAGUGCUGAAUAUUGCAUGUAAUUUAUUGAGCCAAGUCUCAUAUUUUACAAAUGUGAAUGGGUGGUCUAACAAUUUACGAGUCUGAGAAGAAAUAAAAGAAACAUAAAAGGGAAUAUAAAAGAAGACCUAAAACUAUUGGUCCACUUGGCCCCUUUUGCCAACAAGGCGAACCCCAGGACAGCCCAGCAUCACCACUCCCACCUCGGUCGUCUCUACUGUACGACCGACCGACCUCCUGCUCCGGCCGGUCGCCACCGGAGUGCCUCAUCGGCGUCGAGGCCGAGGGGAUAAGGACCCCCCCUCGUCCCCUCGAUUCACUCUCCCCCUCUCAUCCGAUUCCCUCCCGUUCCCCAUCACACCCUCUCCUCCUCGGCUCGGAAAUGAGCUCGGAGCUCGUGCGGUGACCGCGCUCGCCGUCGUCAUUGUCGCGGCCACCGUCGUCCUCGCACCAAGCUAGUGUGUUCCCCGACUUCCCCAUUGUCUUCCAUGUCGUCUACAAGGUCCAGAUCGAGCCGAGACACCGCCGAACGACGGGAUCGAGAUCGUCUUCCUCCUUUUGCCGUCGUCGAUUUCUGCCUCGAUCUACCAUCUCGCUGCGCUACAAAGCCAUCACCGGGCCUUCUUGUGCUUCUCGGUGAGCUCCUCCCUCGGAUCCCCUUUUUCCCCUUUGAUUUGGACGCUGUAGGUUGUCUUCACCAUCGUGCCCGAUCUUGGACGUACACGUAUGCGUACGUGCGUGCUUGCUGCAGCCGCCCUCUGUCUAUGCUAGUGACUACUCCUCCCUGCUGCUCCUCGUUGCUGCUUUGCAGCUGCUCUACUGCUAGCCGUUGCUGCACUUGCGUCGCUACUCCUCUGCUCCUACCUGCGUCCGGCGCCGACCGCCCGCUGCCGUGCUGCCCAUGCCUUGCCGCAUCUGCUGCUGUGUUGCUUCUGCGUGCGGCCACGGCUACCUCCUGCCGCACUCGACGUCGCCUCCUCUGCCGCGCCACCGCGGCCCCUCCAGCCUUCGGCCGCCGCAGGCCCCGCCUCGUCGCGCCAUGCUCACCAGCGGCACGCCUUGGCCGCGGCCACGCCUCGGGCGUGUGUGCGCGAGCCCUGGCGGGUCCGUCCCGCCCCACCGCCCUCCCACGGCCCGCGCCCGCCUCGACCCUGCCUACCCUCGACCGUGCCCGCCCACGCGCUGCUGCAUCUCUGCUCGCGCCCCCCCACGGCCGCACGGCCCGCGGUCCCGCGCCGUCCGCUCGCGCUGCCCGUCGGCCUGUGUGCCUCUCCCAGCCCCNNNNNNNNNNNNNNNNNNNNNNNNNNNNNNNNNNNNNNNNNNNNNNNNNNNNNNNNNNNNNNNNNNNNNNNNNNNNNNNNNNNNNNNNNNNNNNNNNNNNNNNNNNNNNNNNNNNNNNNNNNNNNNNNNNNNNNNNNNNNNNNNNNNNNNNNNNNNNNNNNNNNNNNNNNNNNNNNNNNNNNNNNNNNNNNNNNNNNNNNNNNNNNNNNNNNNNNNNNNNNNNNNNNNNNNNNNNNNNNNNNNNNNNNNNNNNNNNNNNNNNNNNNNNNNNNNNNNNNNNNNNNNNNNNNNNNNNNNNNNNNNNNNNNNNNNNNNNNNNNNNNNNNNNNNNNNNNNNNNNNNNNNNNNNNNNNNNNNNNNNNNNNNNNNNNNNNNNNNNNNNNNNNNNNNNNNNNNNNNNNNNNNNNNNNNNNNNNNNNNNNNNNNNNNNNNNNNNNNNNNNNNNNNNNNNNNNNNNNNNNNNNNNNNNNNNNNNNNNNNNNNNNNNNNNNNNNNNNNNNNNNNNNNNNNNNNNNNNNNNNNNNNNNNNNNNNNNNNNNNNNNNNNNNNNNNNNNNNNNNNNNNNNNNNNNNNNNNNNNNNNNNNNNNNNNNNNNNNNNNNNNNNUAAAAAUAUAUAUAUAAUAUUUAUUAAUUAGGUAAUUAAUUAACUUAACUAACCUUGCUUCAUUAACCUAAUUACAUAAUUAGUCUUAACUAAACUGUUAGGUUAGCUGAGGGGUCAAUGACAGAUGGGCCCCACUGCCCCCAUUGACCAGUCAACCUAGUCAGAGUUGAAUGUUGACUCUGCUGACAUCAGAAUGACGCCAUGCUGGCGCAACAAGUCCAUUUUUGAGUUAAAGAUAAUCCCAGAAAUUGUUUAAAUCUUUGAAAAAUCAUAGAAAAUCAUCUGUAACUCGGAUGAAAAAGUUUUAUACAUGAAAGUUGCUCAGAAAAAUAUGACGAAUCCGAAUAUGCGGUCUAUUCGUCUACCACACAUCCCAAGAAUAGAGAACAUGCAACUUUCCACCUCCGUUUCAUCUGCCCAAAAAAGCCUAACUCCGGGCAAACUUUCCGGAUGUUUCCCCCCUUCGCCGGUAUCAUGUAGCACCGCGAUAGAACACCCCUAGCCAUGCGUGUUACUGCCGUCAUGCAUCUGUGUUGCAUUUGUUUGCAUUAUAUUUACUAUUUCUUCCCCCUCUUCUCUCCGGUUGACCCCGAGAUCGCUGCUGAUGCCCCUGUGAUCGACUACGUCGACGACGACCCCUCCUUGCCAGAGCAACCAGGCAAGCCCCCCCCUUUGAUCAUCCCGAUAUCGCCCAUUCCAUUCUCUCAUGCUUGCAUUAGAUUUUGCUACUGUAUUUGAUUGCUCCUAUUCUGAUGCAUAGCCUGCUUUUGUAACCUGCUUAUUGUUACCUACCUGCUUAUCCUAAACUGCUUAGUAUAGGUUGUUUAGUGAUCCAUCAGUGACCCCCACCUUGUCCUUGUUGCCCCUGCUUCAUCAUCGACGACUCGAUCAACAUGAUCGACGACCAGAGCCUGACACCUCACAUCACAUCACGCCCCUUUAGUUGCUCGACUCUGCAGAGCUACUAUCGAGUGCCGAGGGUGAUCCCUCUUAACGCACUCCUGAUGAUAAUUCUAUAGUGUAGCUAUUCGGUGUGGUCAUCGAGGGUGGUUCCUCUUUCACCAUUGCCGAUACGGCUCUGUCGUGCAACACCUCAAGUGUGAACCUCGAGGGUGGUCCCUCUUACGUUCACCUUGAUGAUUACAUUGGGUGGAAUCCAUCGGGGGUGAUUCCUCGGGUUUUCCCCUUGAUGUCUGGACACACGGUUACCUUGACUUUACUUGAGACUGUUGUGAAAGCCGGGCGGGCCCGGAGAGCACCCGUGCGAUGUGACAAUGGCGGCUGGCUGUUUAGCGGUAUCACCCAGGAGGGGUGAUAGGUCCGGACUUGUCCCGACAGCCGUCACUACCUUAAUUGUUAAUGCACUAACAGGUUUGGGUAUUUGUUCUGAAUUGGCCUCUGGCCUUUACGCACUAACCACCAUGCGAGAAUAGUUAUGGGCCUCGACGUCGUGGUAUCAGCCGAAGCUUUGUCAGACGUCCAGUUCAGCAUUGCGGCACGGCCUGGUCGGCGCCCCAGUGGAGGUGGCCUGUAGCGCCCUGCGCGCAACGAUCCAGAGUGCAACAGGCGAUGGGCCCAGACCCCGGAGUGCUUAGGAUGUAGACCGGUAGGGACCUCCCUGCUGAGCCUAGGUAGGGCUGCGACGUGUUGAUCUUCCGAAGCCGGGCAUUGACCCAGAAAGGUGUGUCCGGCCAGAGUGAUCGAGCGUGCUGGAAAACAUGGUGCACCCCUGCAGGGAAGAUGUAUAUUCGAAUACCGUGUCCACGGUAAUGGACGUUCAGACUUGUAUCCGGAUCUUAUAUAACUAGAAAUGGAUACUUGAGAUAUGUGAUGGAUAUGUGGCUCCGAGAUUGCUUUCUCGCAGGGAGUCGAGAAAGGAUCUCUGGGCCUUAAUGUUACAACAUGCUUGUUAAUUAAACUGCUAUUCUUUACUCUUCUACAUGCUGCAAGAUGCUUGGAGCUGCUUGAAGAUGCUAGUCUUCGAUAGGCUAGGCCUUCCCCUCUAUUCUGGCAUUCUGCAGUUCAGUCCACAGAUACAGCCCUUCCAUUUGAUACCGUUGCAUACUUAGUUUAGAUCUGAUGCUUGCGAGUACUUUGGAUGAGUACUCACGAUUGCUUUGCUCCCCUUUUCCCCCUUCCUUCUCCUUUCCGGUUGAUGCAACCAGAUGGUGGCCCCCAGGAAUCAGAUGCCACCCCCACCGAAUACGACUACUACCCCGAGGGUGCCUACUACUAUGUGGAGCCCGCCGACAACCAGGAGUAGUUAGGAGGUCCCAGGCAGGAGGCCUUGCCUCUUCGAUCAUUGAUGUUCGUGCUAGCCUUCUUAAGGCAAAACUUGUUUAACUUAUGUCUGUACUCAGAAUUGUUGCUUCCGCUGACGCUUGUGUAUCGAGCUUGUAUUCGAGCCCUCGAGGCCCCUGCCGCACCUUCACCCCCGAGCUGCGUAGCGUCGCUUGGCCUGGCAAGUUCAAGCCGGAUCUACCUCCUCGCUACGACGGCACCCCCGACCCCGCGGAGUUCAUGCAGCUCUACGAGCUGAGCAUCGAGGCGGUCAACGGCGACGAGAAAGUCAUGGCGAACUGGUUCCCCAUGGCUCUCAAGGAUGGCGCCCGCUCCUGGCUCCUGAACCUGCCUACAGGCUCGAUCCCCUCCUGGGACGAGAUGCGCGACCGUUUCGUUGCCAACUUCCAGGGCACUUGCGACCGCCCGCCGGCCGCGGGUGACCUGCGCCGCGUCAAACAACAACCAGGAGAGACCCUCCAGAAAUACAUCCAGCGCUUCAACAACGUUCGCCUCAAGAUUCCCAAGGUGACGGAUGAGGCCAUCAUCUCCGCGUUCUCUGAUGGCAUCCGUGACGUCAAGAUGAAGGAGGAGCUCGUCAUCCACGAGGAGUUGUGCACGUCUCUGGAGCUGUUCAACCUGGCGACCAAGUGCGCAAGAGCUGAGGAGGGGCGCCUCUCCCUCCUCGAGCUCCCGGCUACGGACCCGGAGGAGAAGAAAGCCAAGGCCAAGGACGUGAAGUGCAAGGGAGCAGCCGUGCUCGUGGCAGAGCCGGACAUGAAGCGCGGCAGGGACCAGCCCGAGUCAUCCAACAGCAGCCGACCGUUCUGCACCUUCCAUAACCUGCAUAGCCACAACACCUGUGACUGUCAGGAGCUCGCAGCCAUUCGAGAGGGACGCUUCGGUCGACGCCCCGAGCGCAACGACCGGGGCUACGGCCGAGGAGGAGGACGUGGUGGCGGACGCUGGGAUGACCGUGGCCCGCGCCAGGAGUGGCGCGACCGGCCUCGUGAGGACCGCUGGCAGGAUCACCCUCGCGAGGGCGCCUGGAGGGAUCAGCCGCGUGAGGAUCGUCCUUAGGGCAACGCCGGUCUUCCUCCACUAACGCCACCACCAAGAAGGAAUGACGACCACCAUCAUGAAGAGGGGGCUGGUGGAUUUCAGGAGCCACGUGCUAUCGCCUGCAUCUUGGGCGGAGCUCAAGCCCCAGCCUCACAGCGUAUCUUCAAGCAGUUUGCUCGCGAGGUGAAUGCAGUCCUCCCCAAGCUCGAGGCCACGCGCCCGCUCAGAUGGUCCAAGUGCCCCAUCACGUUCAGUUCAGCAGAUCAGCUCAAGUGCGCAGCUACCGCUGGCGCCCUCCCAAUGCUUUGUUCACCAGUCAUCAGCAACGUGCAAGUUACCAAGACCCUCACCGACAGUGGCAUAGGGCUCAACGUCCUGUCCGUCGACACGUUCGACAACCUCCAAGUGCCCUACGACCAGCUUCAGCCUACCAAGCCUUUCUCAGGAGUGACCGACGGUUCCACCACACUGAUAGGGCAGGUCCGCCUCCCUGUCACCUUCGUAGAACGCAAGAACUACCGCACCGAGCUCAUCGACUUCGACGUCGCCUACAUCCGCCUGCCAUAUAAAGCGAUCCUCGGGUACCCAGCCCUAGCCAAGUUCAUGGUGGUGACCCAUCACGGCUACAAUGUCCUCAAGAUGCCGGGAAGCGGCGGAAUCAUCAUAGUCCCAUGUGAAGAAAGAGAUGCGGUGUGCUCCCUCGAGCGCGUCUUCCAAGCUGCAGCAAUCGACGACCCCGACAGCAAGGGCGAGCGCCCUCCUGAGACCACCCCCAAGAAGAAGAAGCAGCUGCACCGUGCAGGGCCUCAGGCAAGCGGCGCCUCGUCAGGAUCGGCGCCCGCACCUGGGGCGCCUCCCUCCAUCGCAUAGGAAAGCGCGCCCAGCGCCCCUCUCGGGUAGAGCUCGGGGGCUCUCUUCUGGAGGGCCUCGGACUUUGCCAACAUCACGAGGGAGGCGCUUGGGCACCACUUGGAAGCAUGCUUCACGGCAUGUUUCCCUCAGGAGGACACAGGGCGAGGAGCGCCCAACGCUCAGGAUUUCAUCACCAAGACCACUCGGGAACUGCAAGACGCAAGAGCCAUGCGCGGCGGCCGCCGCGCACCAGGCGCAGCUACCCAUCCAGGCGAGGAUGCCGGGCUGCGCGUCUGCAUCGACGUCCUAGGGCUAAACAGGGCAGCGUCUUAGGAGCUUUUCUGGCCUUCGCGCGUGGGAUGCUGCGAGGGCCCACCUCACAGCUACGUUCGCAUGCCUUUUGGCCUGCCAAGCGUGGCGUCCGCCUAUCAGCGCAACCUGCGGCGUGCCCUGGCGACUCAGGAGGCCAGGCAUCACGCCGUCCUGACGGAGAUGGAGACGGUCCUCAAGGAACCACCAGGACCCCCAGAGCCUCCCGAGGCUCAGGGCCCCGGUGGCUCGUGAGGAGCAACCCCUUCGCCGCGUACCUUCAGGUGCCGCAGCUCUCCUUCAUCAACAAAAUUAGGUGACAUUUUCCAAGUUUAUUUAGCUGGGAGUGCCCUCAGGGCUGCAUCAUUCCCAUGCCGCAUGGGUCCAUCCCCGUGGCAUGUAUCCCUUUUAUGUCUUUAGCUUACCUUGCUGGGAGCACCCCUCGGGCUGCAUCAUUGCCAAGCCGCACGGGCCUGACCCAGUGGCAUGUAUCUUCCCUGCAUUUACUUAAGCUUGUCGCUUCCAUGCUUAAUCUAUCUAUGACUAUCACCUGUUUGACUCUCACCUCCCACCACUACUAGGGAAAAGCCUAGCAGCAGCGCGGGUUUUAGGUACAUUAGUAGCACGGGGACCGGCGCUACUAAUAAGGCGCUACAGAUAACACUUAGCAGCAGCGCGUGGGCGCCCGCGCUGCUGGUAUACAAGUGUAGCAGCAGCGUGCUUCGUGCAAGCUCGCUACUGCUAAUAGCUCUAGCGUGCUUGGGCAGGACGCGCUACUGCUACUGUCACACUGCUGCUAACUUUCUAAUUUUAGUAGUUUUUGUUUUUUUCUGCAUAUUUGUUUUGUAUUUGAACAGGCUUUAUACAAGAAUCUUUAGCAGAUACAAAUGUCAUGAUGAUACACAUACAAAUGGCUGCGAGGCCACAAAUGUAAUCAUGGCAUAUACAUACAAAUAGUCUCAUCAUAAUCAUCAUCCAACACAAAGUGGUAUCUCGUCAUCAUCUCGAAAAUAGGGAUACAAGUCUCGAUUACUUGCAACUACAUCGACAUCCAUCUAAACAAUGAUAUACGCGAGAAGAGCUAUCACUUUGAGUGAGAGUGGAACUAUGCAGUACAUGAGUUCGUAUCCCUUUCUCGCAUUAGCGUGAACCUAAACUAACUACUGUCUGUCACUCGGAAACCGGAAACAGGUACACCUGGGCCUGACACUCCGGCCACUCGUCGUAUAUAUACUCCUGGCGUAGCACUUCUUCGCCAUCGAUGAUCUAUGCACCUGCAUCGUCACAUGAGUCGAUGAUAUGCAACAUAUAUAGUUGAGCAACAGAAAGAGACAGACUUGGCAAAAAUAGAAGCAACAUAUCAUAAGCAUAAAUAACAAAGUUGAUCGUACCCAAAAUGCCCUAACUAGAGUGAUCAUCGCUAGUCGAGGAGGAUGGUUUAAUUACAUCACAAAUAAAGUUUCAUCGUGCAUAACUCAAAGUUUUGUCAUACAGAAAGUGUGGACUAAACGGACACAUUGUCAUAUAUCGACAAUCACUCCAACAUGUCGUGUCAUCCAUCCAAGUCAGGGAGAUAGUCCCCGAGCCUAGUGAAAGGCUUCAGGUCGAGACGCUGAGAGGCUACCCGUGUUCGGACGUCUUCCCGCGACAUUUGUCCUUCUUCGUAGAACAUCCCUGUUUUUCCGACGACCUCCUUCAUGAUGAUUUGGGCAAGUUCGCGCUGGAUGUGAUAGAACUCAGCUCGAAGUCGAUGAUCCUCGAUAUCUCCUAAGUUCUUUGCCCAUUGCAGAAUAUGGGCAUCGCCGGAUUUAGCUGACAUGCGAAGGUUCUGGUGAUCCCGUCUGUACUCCAGCAUGUGGUGUAGGACAUAGAAUCCAUCAUUAAGAGAAUCACUCGGUUGUUGGAUGCAGCAGAAGUCAGUCUUAUGGCCGAAGGCGGGCCUGCCGUCCCUUCUCUUCUUGUCCUUGACCUCUCCACCCCGUGCGCCGUAGUGAUAGAUAGCAUUGUCGAGAGCAUCCUUGAUGUGGGUGUAAUCCUUUUUGUUAAUGUUCUUCGACGAGUCCAAGUAAAGAGCAUGGGAGUAUUGGGGGUAGAGGAUGAUGAGGACGGCGCGCCCGCUGCUGUGCAAAAUAAGUGCACCUCAAAUUAAUUAGCCUCCACCGUGCAAAUGAAUGAUUGAAAUCGAAGGAAGGAUAUCUGCGCGGAUGACUUACAGGGGAUGAUAAGGCACGAGAAUCGCCUCCUUGUCCUUAUUGGCGAGCAUGAAAUUGACUAUGUAGUCCCUCGCGUAUUCACGGUGCUUUGCGCAGACUCCCAAGAAGCUCUCGUGCAUGAAGUACGGGUCAGCAACACAGAUAUAAGGUAUCUGCUCAACCCCGAUGAUGUAGUUCAUGUGCAAGGCAUAAAAGCAGACAAACGUAAAAUCCAGCUUCUUCACGUGAAACAUGUCGAAUAUGUAAUCGAAUCGAAGGAAGAACUUAUCCGCGGGGAAGAAGUCGAUGUACGACAAUUGCUGCGGAACGUUAACCACGUAGAGUGGGUAUCCAGGAUCUUUCGAGGCGAUGAGGCCUUUCUCUAUCCGCAGCAUAUCGUCAUGAAGACUCCUUAGAUCGCCGAAUCUGGCCUUUAGCGCUGCUGCAGGUAGGAUUGGUUGACCGGGGAUAUGCAAUUUAUCCGCAGCGGUGAUAUCUAUACGGUCUUGAACCCGAGGCUGCUGAGGCGGCUGGAUCAUAGAAUCAGCUUUCUUGCCUUUCCUCGCUCUCUUCCUAGGCUUCUUUGCCGGAAGGUCGUCUAUAAUACGUUGAGCCUCCGGAGGCGGCAAUUCAGGCACUGACUCAUGACGCUCAAACCCUGAGUAGGCGCUAGUAUAGACAUACCGUUGAGUGCCAUCGUCAUCCUCAUCCUCAUCCAUGGCGACGCCAUUAGCGACUAAUGGAGCCUCUUCCUUACCCCGUCCGCUAUCACCCAACCCGACACCCGACACUAAUUGGGUAGGUGGGGUGUUGAUGCUCAUACCUUGCUGAGGCUGCGUGCUCGUGGGUGUGCUCCCGGCCGCCUCCAGACGAAGCAGACUCUUUGGCCACAACAGGACCCACCCAUUGCAACAAUCACCAAGCCACCGCGAGGUCUCGUCGUCAUCCCCCCUAGUACCAGAGGAGGCAAAUUCUCGUGGCCCGGUUUGACACUGGCCACGGAAACCUUGAAAACGUUCGGGGGAUCGGCCGGCUGUGGAACAAUGGUUCCUUCGGCUUCAUUAUCGUCGCCUUCCCCACGUCCACCUUCUAGUCGCCGAUGGUGUAUAAUAUGGUGCACGGGGUUUCGUCGGCCUGCAAAGAAAAGUCUGCGACGUGAGACAUCCGAAAGGCAACGAAAACGGGAGAUUAUACAUUUAUUGAAGGGGCCGGUGUGACAGAUACCGUGAGGGCGUCGAGCUCAGCCAAAGAUGAAGCACCGCCGAGCACAUCCGGUGCGGGAGCAGGUGCUGGAGCCGGUGCGGGAGCAGGUGCAGCUGCAGGUGCUGGUGCAGCUGCAGGUGCUGGUGCAACGCUAGUCGAGCUACUCCCCAAGAAGUCAGCAAGGGGAAAGUCCGCUGCAUUUUUUUCUGGAUUUUGCCUGGCCCAAUUGAAAACGGCUGGAACCAAGGAAGUGGACAUAUCUACAACCAUCUGUUUUGCGGUAGCUACCGCUGUUGCGACUGUCUGAGAUGAUAUCUUCUCAAACGCAAUCUCAACCUUCUUGUCGAUGUUUUCUUCGGUUAACCUCCGUCUUUCCUUUCUCUCCUCCUUGGUCUCACUGUAGUACUUCUUCCACGUGGCGCCGUCUCCGACACUGUGCACGCGUCCAUACGAUGGUCGAGUAUCCACCGGGAGUCGUUUCAAUAUGUUCAACGCCUGGUUGAAUGGAGUGUCCCACUUGGGCCUCGCCAACGCCUCAGACGGCGAGUCGCUUUCAGCCGCAAUCCUGUGCUGCUCUCUCUGCAAAAGGCACAAGGAUCGUUUACAAAUAUGACUAACGUGCAGUCGAAUUGAUCAAAAACUAAAAUUACCAGCAGUCUGAUGAACUCCGUCGUGACCGCGUUCGUCUCGAAAACCUUCUUCACUGGGUCCCAACGGUGCCGGGCCCUGAGGACGUCACGCUCCUGCGGGACAGUGAACUCCGCCAAGGGGUCUGGGAUGCCCAGACUCGCGGCUUCCGCGUCCUCCUUGGCCCAUUUGGACCUCUUCCCGCCGUAACCACGGCUUCCGAGGUGGUGGCUCCCAAUGUUCCUCUGUUGAAGCCCCUUCAUGUACUUAGACUUUUUUUUGGCAGCUUCGGCCUUGCAAGCCGCCUUGAAUAUUUGAAACUGCUCUUCCGUGAUUGUCGGAUUAUCCUUUACAAUCUCGGAGUAGGGUUCCUUCUUGUCGAUGAUCCUUGCUUUCACCCUUGUUUUCCAGGCGGCCAACGCGUCGCUAAACUUGGUCAUGGCGUGUUUGUUUAUCUUCUUCAUUGCCGGGUCCUUAUCUGGAUCUUUAUAAUCCUUUUCAUUCCGGCCCGGGAACAAGAAUAUCUGGUGAAACUUCUUUAGGAGGGAGGUCCUCAUAUUAUCUAUCUUCUGUAGUUUCUCAUCGUUGAUGGUGGCGGUUGUCCGUACGAUGCAGCCUAUUUGAUUGUCGUAGCACGCGCGUGCUUCUUGGGCCGCUUUUAGCUCAAAAUUGCCGUCGUCCACCUCUGUGACCACCAGUCUAGUAGUCCUGAGCUUGUUAGGAAGCCGUUGCCUCUUUACUUUCAGUUCUACACCGGCUCCGCUAGUCUCGGCGCCGGUCUCAGUCUGAGCGCCGGUCUCGAUGCCGGUCUCAGUCUCAGCGCCGGUCUCAGUCUCAGCGCCGGUCUCAGUCUCGUCGGCAAGGCUCAAAAAUUCGUCCGCUGGUAGAUGUCGUCGCAAUCACCAGAACCCUGUCCUUCAUCGUUGCUAGCAUGUUUCCUACGAUUAAAUCUAGUCAAUUAAUUAUAGACCUAAUAAAAUGAAUAAUGACAUAAAAAGGCCUAUUGUUUUGCAGGAACGUUGACUCCAUCUCGGUGCGGAAAAUCCCGGGCACUCGAUAUGUCCUAGUUUGUAGCACAAGUCAUGCCGAAAUUCACGGAAAAUUUCGGCAUGACCUUUGCUAAAAAGUGGACAAAUCGAGAACCUGAAUUUUGCCGGAACGGAAAUGCAUCAACAUUCCAGCAAAACAUAGGCCACUCGGCUUCAUUCCCUGGAAACAACAAAAGACCACUUGGGCAUAAUCGAACCACUUCAAUGUCGAUUAUGAUCAAUGAGCAAACACAAUUGAGGAUUUUUCAUAUAUCAUGACCACUUCAAAUUUGCAUCUCCUAGUGUUUGACACUUCAAGAAAAUCUACACAAAUCUCAUGCUCUCUGAAACUCAAUUCAAAAACCAAAUAUAGAUGGAGGCAGAUGUGGCGAGGGAGGCAGGGGCGUCUCUGUCAAAGCCCUAGUUAAGCAUAUACAAUUUUUUCCUACGGCGAGGGAGGCAGAUGUGGCGAGAGAGGCAGGGGCGUCUCUGUCAAAGCCCUAACUAAAUUCUUUUCCUAACUAAAUUAACCUAACUAAUUUAGAGAGAGAGAGAGAGGAGGGNNNNNNNNNNNNNNNNNNNNNNNNNNNNNNNNNNNNNNNNNNNNNNNNNNNNNNNNNNNNNNNNNNNNNNNNNNNNNNNNNNNNNNNNNNNNNNNNNNNNNNNNNNNNNNNNNNNNNNNNNNNNNNNNNNNNNNNNNNNNNNNNNNNNNNNNNNNNNNNNNNNNNNNNNNNNNNNNNNNNNNNNNNNNNNNNNNNGGGCUUACAGAGGAUGGCUCCGGUGGUGGCGCGGGAGGCAGUGGUGGCGAGGGAGGCAGGGGCGUCUCCAGUGACGGUGAGGGAGGCAGUUGUGGCGAGGGAGGAUCCGGUGGCGUCGACUGCGGCUCCGGUGGCGUUGAUGAGGCCGGGCGGCUCCGGUGGCGUCGACGGCGCGCGGCUCUGGUGGCUCCGGGGGCGUCGACGUCGGCAGGAGACGGCGGCGAAGUGGGGCGACGGUGAAUCGGGCAGAUGGCGGCGGCGUGGGUCGAGGGAUUUGGGGGAGAAGUGGUGGCCGGGGGGAAACGGUUUUUUGGUUAAGUCAAACUUAGCAGUAGCGCUUUCCGCGAAACGCGCUAUAGCUAAGUUAGCUAUAGCGAUUUUCACAAAACGUGCUACUGCUAUAGCUAUGUAAUUUCCUUCAUAUUUCUUAUUUCCUUUUCUGUUUCUACAACGGGGGUCUAGGAAACGCGCUGCAGCUACGUUAGCUAUAGCUCCUCUUACGAACAAACGCUACUGCUAUGCCUUUCUCCUUUUUUCGCUUUUUCAUUUAUUUUCCUCUACAUUUUAUUUUUUCCUUUCUCCUUUUUCCAUUUCUUUCUUUUUCAUUUACUUUUCCAUUUGUUUUUCAUUUUAUUUUAUUUCCAUUAGCAGUAGCGCUCUCCGCGCGAAACGCGCUACAACUUAUGUCCUAGCGGUAGCGCGCUUCUCUCAAGACAGCUACUGCUAUGCGUAGCCUAUCGUUUUAGCAAGGGGAAUAUUAGUGGUAGCGCUUUUUCAUGUGCACGCGCUACUGCUACUGUUGUAUCUGUAGCGCGGUUUUCGCACGCGCGCUACUGCUAUUUAGCACUACCGCCCAUUUUUGACACGCGCUACUGCUAAAUUUCUGUGUAUAAGGUUUUCCCUAGUAGUGCACGGGGGCUACCCACGAUGGCAUGGCACUUGUGCACGGGUCUGUCCCUGCAACGUCUACAGACCUGAGCGGUCGAGCUCUGGCUCGCGGCACGCCCCAUGCACGUCACCUCACCAGGACCUCAGUACCUUCAUUUCCUCACGGAGCAACCAGCGGCCGACUGGCAACCAUGAUGGCAAACUGUGUUUCUCCUUGUGCUGGCCUGCAGGAAUCUCGUGAGAAUGAAAGCAGGUGGCACUGCGAGCUCCCUCUUCGCCCAUGCAAUCCGCUUGCGCGUUAAAAGGGGGCUCCUGAGCAUCGUGACUCAGGAGCUCCUACUGGCUCUCCAGCCAUCACCCCCUGGCCUUGACCACGGCAUGCGACCUGGCAUACCAGCGGCGGCUGAGCUUGCUCGAGGGCCGGGACCUGAGGACGUAGAGCAUGAAGGAGAGCGUGGGAGAGGGGGAGGCUCAUACGGGCCAGACCUAGCUACACUGCGGAUGCCUACGCACGAACCUAUCGCACCACGAGGAAUCAACCCCGAAUUGUCAAGAUAAGUCCCGCGCUCAGACCGGCUAGUCGUUGGAGCCUGGGGGUCAUGCUCGCCGCAGUCCUGUUGCGGCAACGCUGCCUCCCUUUCUUACCUUACCAUGGCUGCUUGAGCGCCAAAGGGGACCUCCUGAGCAUCGCGCCUCAGGAGCUCUUACUAGACCUCGGGCCGCUCACCUCCUGGCCUUGACCACGCACGCGACCUGGCAUACCAGCGACGGCUGCAGCUUGCCUGGGGACCGGGACCUGUCAGCGUAGAGCAACAAGCCAUCGCGAGGUUGGAAAGGGGAGACCGAGCCUAAACAGGACAUGCGUUCACAAAUUUCCAUAAUAAGGAUAAUAUCAACAAAAGACAUUUCAGACGCUUUACAUGCCCCCACGGGGUACUUCACGAUUACUCGCAGGGAACAAAAGACGAGAACUUAGGGGAAUCCUAUCUACACGCCCCCACGGCCGCCGUCAUCGUCAACAGUGGGCCACGGGAGGCCGGUGCCAACCCCAUCCAGAUCAGCGACGGCGGCGGCUGGACGCCGCAGCCUUGCUCCGAGCACGGCGAGAACUUGGGGGCACGUAGCUGUCGUCGCUCGUCUCCAGAGUCUCGUAGAGCUCAGGAGAACCGCUGGACUCCCAAGAGUCGCUGCUGCUGGAGGGGCCGCAGGCGGGGCGCACAUCGUCCUGGUGCUCCCCACCAGGGCAGCACUCCAGGCGGCGGCCCUCUGCAUCGAAGACCUUGAACGACAGCGUGGAGGCGCCGUCAUAAUCCAAGUGGAUCGUGAGGGCGCCCUCAGUGCGGCAAACCCGCGCGACCUCACCCCAGCCACGGGUCAUGAAUAUCUUGCGGCACGAGACCGCUUCAACCUCUGCUCCAGUCGCCGGAGCGUCACAGUCAGCAUGCUGCAACCAGAGCUCGAGGGGUCCCCUCGGCGGCAUCAUGUCAGAGAAGAACCGUGGGAAGCAGAUCCAAGUGCUCGGGGGCAUCGCCUCCCAUAGCACAAGCCCGCGCGAGGAGUCCGUGGCGUGGACUCCAAGGGCGGCGACGCGCGUUACCGCGGCACGGCGACCAUGGUCGCGGCGAGCGCGCCGACGCUCGUCGCUCCUUCCUCCUGAGCCCCCGGCUGGGGCGUACAGGGGUAACGGAUACCCAGGAGGAGGCCGCUCGCACCAAGGCCUCGUCACCACCUGCAUCGCCAUUGCGUCGCGGCGGUGAACCGGCCUCUUCUUCGGCGGGAGUAGUACAGGCCCGUCGAGGGGAGUCUUUCCCUUCGCCGCAGCAGAAAACCUUUGGAUGGGCGCCAUCGGUGUCGGCGGUGGAGCAGAGGAGGAAGAAGCAAGCGGAAUGGGAAGAGAUGGGCGACGGGGGGCUCUGCCCCCCUCCUCAUUUAUAGCAGGAGAAGGCCAACCAGCACCCCCCACGAUCACAGGUAAUGAUGGUUUUCCUUGCAUGUCGCAGGGACUUGUCAAGUCGGGCAGUUGCCGAGGCAGCGUGGGGAAGCGGAGACGCCCACGUUCAAUCAACCGCCACACGUUGACCAAGGCCGCAGGCUAUUGGGGCCCGCGGCGCUCCGCACUUGACCUUUGGCUUCACCUCGAAGCCAAGCCCGAGCGCGCCUUGGGCCCGGGGGCUAUUGUCGGCGUUCUAGGAAUGGGGGUCCCCAGACUUGCCUGCCUGCGGCCCAUGGCGUGGCUCUGCUAGCAGGCCCAUAUGGCCCAUCUUCAUCAACAAGGCAUUCAAGACCCUCGCGAGGGGCCAAGCCUCGCAAGGCGGACGACGCAAGACCUCCUCAGGAGCGGCCUCACCAGGCUGGCUCGCGAGGGGCGGAGAGAUCAAGGCGAGGCAAACCUCGCAAGGUUCUCGUGACGUGAGCCAUGACGAUCGAGACCAGGCGGGCGCCAGGCGGGCGCCAGCGCGCGCAGUGUCCUUGUUUCCUCUUUGGUGCUAAGGAGGCAAGCGUAGGCGUGGAGUACCGAGGCGUCAAGCAAAGGUUUCCAUAUCAACGCAACGAGACCAAGACCAGCAGGACGGCAAGACGGAGGUCGCCAUGGAGCCCAUGGCGGCGUCACCACCAGAGCCUUUUGCAGGCGAAGACUGCUUUUGUCAGGAUAAGCUAUACUAGUUGUCCCCUUUCAAAUUGUCUGUUGUUGGCUCCCUUCCCGCUCAAUAUUUGGGGAGAGACCAGGGCCACUAUAAAUAGGACUAGCCACCACAGUAGGAGGCAUCGAAUCCUCACCCGCACAAGUUCGCCAAAGACAAGAACACCUCAACCUCAGGAGGUUGUUCUUCCCCUUUGUACUGUUCAUCCUCAGCCCAAGAGGCAAUCCACCACCACCACACUGGAGUAGAGUAUUAGACCACAACAGUGGCCCGAACCAGUAUAAAUCUUGUGUCCCUUGUGUUGUGAGUUCGUCGAGCUAGUCCGUGAGAUCUUAGCAAAGCUAGGACGUGGAUCGGUAGUGCGAAACCUUCGUGCGCACCCCAGUGUUUGAACCUUGGGGUUUUGCCGGAACCCGUGAUCUGACAGUAGUUUCAGUUAUUCUGAUGCACGGUAAAAUCCUCUUUAUUCUGAAAUGGUCUCAGUUGUCCAAUAUCUUGUCCUUCUUGGAGUGGUCUCAUCAGUCGAAUCUUCGUGUGGUCAAAAGGGGAAAGGGGUAUAGUCUAACUAUUUGAGAUGAGAGGAAAUAUUUGGAAAGGCUUAGAAAAGAUGAGAGUUAAGGGUUCUCUUUUGAAGAUAAAGUUUUAGAGAAGUCAUUUCCUAAGGGCUUGCCAGUUUCUAGGGGUCACGUCCUACAGUCAACAUGUGCUCUGAUACCAUCUUGUAGCGACCCGAACCAAAUGGAUCAAGUCUCUGUGCUUAAGUGUCAUCCCUGGAUCGGUAUGCUGACACACACCAUACUCGAGGAUUUAUAACAGAGUGCAAUCACAUGUAAAAAGUAACAUAAAUACUAUUACCUCAAUCCAUAUAGUGGAAGUAACAUCAAAAUUGUGGAGUCCCAACCACACCAACGGCAAAGUUGAGUGUAGACAUUGUAACCCUAACGUAUCACUUACUCGUCGUAAGAUUCCUGCAACAUGAGACGUUGCAUCCAUGUAGGUCAGUACGUUGAAUGUACUGGCAAUUUCACACCAUAGAAUAAUGAUGAAAAUGUCUAUCUCUAUAUGCAUAUUUGGCUGGUGGAGGCUCUAGGUUUAAUUUUGCAUAAAGCUAAUUUUUUUCCUACAACAAAGGAAUACAUUUUUAUUUUACUACGAAGUUUAUGCCAUUAUUGAGAAGGUUCCUCCAACUCAAUCCGAAAAUUCCCAAAUUAUUAAUAACCCAAUACAUUAAUUAAGUAACGUGAUGAGAUCAACCAAUAAUAAAUUCUAGAUACUCAAAGUUGUCCAUAACCGGGGACACGGCUAAUCAUGAUUAGUUUGUACACUCUGCAGAGGUUUGCGCACUUUUCCCCACAAGACUCGACCACCUCCGUGAUCGGAAGAUCAAGACAUAGCCUUUCUGAAGUAUUUACUCUUUACUCUGGGUAGACCGGUACACCUACUUUCCCCUAUAUUAGCUAGUCUACCACUGAAAGAGGUCACACAACUUACUCAACUAUGCCAGAGCCCAUAAUGGCUUGUGGCUGCACAGGGAAGUUUCUAGGCAUGAAAUAUCAUACGAUCCCUUUGAGCAUGGGUGGCGGACCUAGGGUAAUCACACGGGUACUCCGAGAUUCCCUUGGGAAAGCACUGGUUUCUCCAGGUGCCCCGAACAAUCCACCCAGAUGUGAUGUUAAUGUUGGCACUUUAAGUUACCCUUAAUUAUUAUCUCUCACAACUUGCAUGAAUCUCACAUACCAAUCCCCGUAUACGAGCAUGGCUAAACAAUUUAUGAGCAUAACGAAUAUUCCCGGGGCAAUCAAAGGUAAUAGGUUCCUACCACCUGAACUACAAAGCAAUAACCACAUGUUCCCAAUCCUACUCAUGCAAUCUUUGAGGGUGAAACUAACGCAUAAUAAAACUGGGUAUGAAAGAGUAUGAUCAAAGUGUAACUUGCCUUGUACUGUUGAUGAAGAUUCUUCGCACUCAUAAUUCUGGUAGUUCUACUCGUCACACUCCGAUCAAUCUAUCGUAAGCAAGCAAUUAUUUGCACACAUAAGCAAUCACUCAAAGAUCCAAAAGAACGAAGAAAAUACUUCGGAAAACUUCAAAACCAUCAAAUAAAGCUUUUGGACAAAAACAUAUUUUUAACAGUAGCAAAAUUAUGUCAUUUUGAUCGUAACAGAAAGUACAUGUCAAGAGAUUCGAUUUGCAAAAAGAAUCAAUUAAAUCGAAGUUAUAAACUCAAGUUAUAGCCAAAACAAGUUUACAUUUGAAUCUGAUCUAUUCAAAUUUAAAAUUUCAAAAACUUCAUUUUAUAUGUUCUCUGGAUAAUUGAGAUCGUGAUGAAGAAUUUGGCAUCGGUUUCACUGAAUUUGGACAAACGGUUAAAAAGUUAUGAACGUUUUAAAAAUAAGGGGCUAAUCUAAAAAAACUAAACUACAACUAGGUCCCUGGCCACGUGUAAAACUGCUGUUGGCUGAAAAUCGUUCGCUGCGAGGCUAAACUAGCGAAGAACCACUAAAUAGCGCAUAGUGGUUCGAAAGAAAAAAACAAUAGAGAUCUAAUCUCAGCGGUCUAUUCUAGAUCGGACGGACGAGAGGGAGCGACGGCUUACCGCGGUGGUGGGCAUCGACGUCGCCAGAGAAGGAGGUUGUGGCGGCUCGGGCGUGGUCGUGGCUCCUGCUCCGGUGGUCCUCCGGCGUGGGCGCGAGGUUGGGGAGAAGCAGUGCGAGGUGGCGAAGCCGAUGGCGGGGUCGGCGUCGGUCGAGGGCGGAGGUGGAGCGCGGAACGAGGCGGCAAAUCUCCGGUGGAGCUCGAACUCUGGCGAGGUUUGUGCGGGGCGUGGGGAGGCGAGGGCGGCUGCGGUUUGAGGGAAAAAGAGGCCGAGGUCGAGGGCUAUUUAUAUGCGGGCUUUCGUGUAGGAGGGGCAAGGCGAGGGGGUGGAGUCCGGGUAGGACUCGGCGGUGGCCGGCGAUGGCGUGCGGGAGGCGGACUCCCGAUGGCGUGGGGAGGAAGAAGCUGAUAGGUGGGGUCCACCUGUCGGUUGCUGGCGGGGCGGCGUGCGCGCGAGGAAAGGAGCGGGCGAGCGAGGUGGAGGUGGUUCGGCACAGUGCAGGCCGCUGCUGGGUUGGGCCGGGUGGCCUGGCCUGCCGCGGUCGGUGGGCUCUCUCUCUCCUUUUUUUGGAAUAAGUCAGAGAGUAAAAGUUAGAAAAGAGAAAUAAAGAUAAUUUUUUCCUAGACAAGAAAUAUAUCAAAAUUCUUAGAAUAAAACGAACAAAAAUAUGAACUAUUUUUCAGAGGCAACUAAUUUACUUUAACAAAACAUUGUUUUUAAUAUCCUCAAAUUGGAUUCGAAUUUGAUUUUUGAAAUCUUUACAAAUAUUUUUAUUUUGUUUUUUCUUCCAAAUUAUUUUCAAAUCUUCUCUGAAUUUUGAAGGGUCAUGUUUCCUUCACUCGAGUAUUUUAUAUUCAGAGAAUUUGAGAUGAUUUGAAAUUCCAACAGAAGAGACAAAAACUUCCAAUAAAUUUUUAAAGCGGUACUCAUCACUCCCUACUAUAUUUCAUCAAUUUGGAAGAUGUUAUGUUAUCUUCUCUCAUUGGAAAUCCUUGAGUGGCAUAAAGUUUCUGAGUGGAAUUAUUUCAAAUGGGAUUCCAUGGAAACCAAGUGCAAGAAUGAAAGUUUGGGAAAGUCCUUUUAUUCCCUCUCAUUUAACUUUCAAAAAGUUUCAAAUUUCACUCAAAUUCACAGAAGCAAUCAUUAUUACUUAAUUAAUAUAACAUUCCAAAAUUAAGAAUUUUGGGAUGUUACAAACCUACCACCCUUAAAAUGAAUCUUGCCCUCGAGAUUCGGAGAGGCUAGCAAGAAAUAGGUUAGGUUCGAGGGUCUCCUCAAAAUCCAUCGAUUGUCACGAAGGUUUGGGGUGCUACCACCAUUAGAAACAUGGUUACAGUUCCAUCAAAACUCAUAUACUCCAUCCAUAUUGUUGACAGGGUCGGUUUUCUCAAAUAUUCAGGAUAAUUUUUGCUCUGGGGCUCUUCCAGUAGUGGCAUAACCUUUUCCUCAAUUAUUGUGUCCUUUCAUCUUGGUAACUAUCUUCCGAGACUGGGUCUUCUUAGCUGCUAGGUCUAGCAACAAUACUAAACAACUAUCGAUCUCUCAUGGUGGUCAUCAAUUUAUGGUUUCUCCUGCAGGAAAUCGGUCUGGGCUUCAUUCUCACUGUAUGACCUACGAUUGGCAACAGCUGCCUUGUACAAGAGAAAAUAGUCAUACGAUUCUAAGGUUCGAUCAAGGUUUUGAUAUCGUCGUCUCUCUACUAUGGGUAAGUCACUCAGAUUUACCAUCCCAUAUAGCAUAGGCGAAUCAUAAGAGUAAGUCGGCAUGGUGAUCAACCCAUUCCGCACCCAAAUCAUUACCUUGUAUAUGGUUUAGUGAAUCUCGGAUUCUAACACUCGGUCAUCCUCACCAGCAUUGCAGAAUUUCUCUUGUCGACGAACUAAGUUCGGAUAACUCCAUUGAUUCUGCAAGCCAAACAAACAUCUAUUGUUUCAUUCAUCUCCCAGGUUUUGCGUAACUCCUAUAAGAUCGUCUGUUGAUAAAGUCGUAACUUCUUCCAGAGUUUUUUCCUUCAGCAAGAAUGUGCUUGCUUCUUGUCAGGUCAUGGAGCCUGUGGGUUAUGGCCCAUCUCAUCACUUGUAAACCAUGAACUCAUCAUCGGGUUGCAACUGAUCAUUAUUCUAACAUCAAGCUUCCUAGCAUUCUUGAAUCCAUCCAAUUGUAUUGUCCACCUUCCUUCUUUUGGUACAAAACUAAGAUGUAGUUACUCAGACUCAUCAUUGAGUGGUCCAUUCCAACGUCUGACGUAGCUAACCACUAGCUCUUGUAUUUGGUAACGGUGUUCGGUUCUACCACCCAUAAUAUUAAUAGACACUAGUGAUAAUCCCCAAGUGCAAGGAAUCAUCGUAGCAAUUUCCAAAGGUGGAAGUGAUAAGUAUGGAGUGUCGAACCCACAAGGAGCUGAAGGUAAGAUCAAUAUUCUCUCAAGCCCUAUCUGCCAUUGAUACGACUCUACGUACACCGAACGUUUGCUUCCAACUAGAAACGAGAAAUAAAACUUCGUUGUGGGUAUGAAGAGGAUAACUUUGCAUGGUAUCGGAGAGCUAAAAUAUAAAAGUAGGUGAUGUUGUCAUAAAGUUAGAAUAUAUUACUAAAUAUUAUAAAUAGCGAGUGUGGAAUAAUGGUGGAUCGGUGUGCGGAAUCGUCCUAGGCAAUUGUUAACAAGACCGGUAGUCGUCAUUGCAAUUUCAUAUCAGGGAGAGGCAUAUGCUAACAUAUUUUGUCUUCUUGGAUCAUAUGCACUUAUGAUUGGAACUCUAGCAAGCAUCCGCAACUACUAAAGAUCAUUAAGGUAAAACCCAACCAUAGCAUUAAAGCAUCAAGUCCCCUUUUAUCCCAUACGCAACAACUCCCUUACUCGGGUUUAAGCUUCUGUCACUCUAGAAACCCACUAUAAGCGAAUCAUGAACGUAUUGCAACACCCUACAGCGGGAAUCCCUCACGCUUGCGCGACACGGAGGGCACCAUAGGACAGCACCAAAAUAAAACAUACAACUCGUACCAAUCUAGAUCAUCAAUCAACCCAAGGACAAAAGAUAUCUACUCAAAACAUCAUAAGAUGGCAACACAUCAUUGGAUCAUAAUAUGUGGCAUAAAGCACCAUGUUCAAGUAGGGAUUACAGCGGGGUGCGGGAGAGUGGACCGCGUAAAAUAGAUGAGGAUGGUGAUGAUGAUGGUGAUGUUGAUGAAGACGAUCACCGCGGCGAUGAUUCCCCUCCCGAUGGCACUCCGGCACCACCAAGAGAGAGGAGGAGAGGUUCUCCCCCUUGUGCUUCCUCCUCCAUGGCCUCCCCCUAGAUGGGGAGAGGUUCUCCCUCUGGUCCUUGGCCUUCAUGGCGAUGAUGGCCCCUCCGAGAUCCUCCUCCAUGGCCUCCGGUGAUGAUGGCCCCCUCCGGCAGGGUGCGAGAGAGGGCCUAGAUUGAUUCUCGUAGCUACAGAGGCUUGCGGCGGCGGAACUUCCGAUCUAGGUUAUUUUCUGGGGGUUUCUGUAUUUAUAGGAAUUUUUGGCGUUGGUUUCACGUUAGGGGGGUCUCCGAGUCGUCCACGAGGCAGGGGCCCACGCCCAGGGGGUGGGCGCGCCCCCCACCCUCGUGGACAGCCCGGGACUCUUCUGGCCCAACUCUUUUGCUCCAGGGGCUUCUUUUGGUCCAUAAAAAAUCAACAAAAAUCGGCACGUCAAUUGGACUCCGUUUGGUAUUCCUUUUCUGUAAAACUCAAAAACAAGGAAAAAACAGAAACUGGCACUGGGCUCUAGGUUAAUAGGUUAGUCCCAAAAAUCAUAUAAAAUAGCAUAUAAAUGCAUAUAAAACGUCUAAGAUGGAUAAUAUAAUAGCAUGAAUACUUCAUAAAUUAUAGAUACGUUGGAGACGUAUCAGCAUCCCCAAGCUUAAUUCCUGCUCGUCCUCGAGUAGGUAAAUGAUAAAAGAAACAAUUUAUGAAGUGUGAAUGCUAGCAGGUGCACAAGUUUGAUCAAUGAUAAUUUCAAUUACCUUUUCUAGCAUCAUUAUAUGUCAUAACAGUAGCUCAUCUCAUAAAACUUUUCAUGAUCAAGUAACAAGCUAUUCACAUGUUAAAGUAUAGAUCAUAAACUUUCUUGAAAACUAACAAACAGUGCUCUUAGUCAUAAAACAAUUGCAAUUCAUCCUUUUUUCAGGAAGGUUCUAUGUCAGAGCUUUGAUUUAGCAAACUCCACAUACUCAACUAUCAUUUAAUCUUCCGCAAUUGCUAACACUCACGUGAUAUUUAUGGGUUCAAAGUUUUAAUCGGACACAGAGAAAGAUAGGGGCUUAUAGAUUCGCCUCCCAACCUUUUACCUCAAGGGUAAUGUUAACAAUAAUAGUUCAUGAUAACUUACAUCCAAUUGGAUAUAUAUAUCAGGAUCUUUCCAACACAAUGUGCUUGCCAAAGGAUAAAAUGUAAAAAGAAAAGGUGAAGAUCACCAUGACUAUUGCAUAAGGUAGAAGAUAAAAGUAAAAGAUAGGCCCUUCACAGAGGGAAGCAGAGGUUGUCAUGCGCUUUUAUGGUUGGAUGCACAAAAUCUUAAUGCAAAAGAACGUCACUUUAUAUGCCUCUUGUGAUAAAGACCAUUAUUAUGCAGUCCAUCGCUUUUAUUUCUUCCCUAUCACAGGUUCGUAUAAAGCUUAUUUUCUUCACACUAAUAGAUCAUACAUAUUUAGAGAGCAAUUUUUAUUGCAUGCACUGAUGAAAACUUACUUGAAGGAUCUUACUCAAUCCAUAGGUAGGUAUGGUGGACUCUCAUGGCAAAACUGGUUUAAGGGAUGUUCGGAAGCACAAGUAGUAUCUCUACUUGGUGCAAAGAAUUUGGCUAGCAUGAGAGGGAAAGGCAAGCUCACCAUGUUGGAUGAUCCAUGACAAUAUACUUUUUUCGGAUAUUAGAAAACAUAACCCAUUACGUUGUCUUCCUUGUCCAACAUCAUCCUUUUAGCAUGUCAUAUUUGAAUGAGUGCUCACAAUUACAAAAGAUGUCCAAGAUAGUAUAUUUAUAUGUGAAAUCUCUCUUCCUUCAAUAUUCUUUCAUGAAUUGUUCAAGUGACCAAUUCUGCGUUUGCUAACUUUCAAUAAGUUUACUACCUAUACUUAUUCUGUGUGAAGUCAUUACUCCCCAUGGUAUAAGCAUAUGAAACAUUUAUAAAUUCAUAUUUAUUAUAUUCAAUUCAUUCAACCAUUUACUCAUAAGAUAUACUUGAAGCACGUGAGUAAAUGACAAACUACCCCAGAAAGAUAUAAGUGAAGAACACUGAGUAGUCAAAUAAUUAACUAGCCAUGGGAGGAUUCUUUUUCAUUCAAGAUUUCAGAUCCAAUGAUUUUAUUCAAACAGCAAGUAGAAUUGAAAAUAUGCUCCAAGCAAAACACAUAUCAUGUGACGAAUAAAAAUAUAGCUCCGAGUAAGGUAUACUAAUAGUUUUGAAGACGAAAGAGGGGAUGCCUUCCGGGGCAUCCCCAAGCUUAGGCGCUUGAGCCUUCCUUGAAUAUUACCUUGGGGUGCCUUGGGCAUCCCCAAGCUUAGGGUCUUCCCACUCCUUAUUCUCCUCAUAUCGAUGUCUCACCCAAAGCUUGAAAACUUCAAUCACACAAAACUUAACGGAACUUCGUGAGAUAGGUUAGUAUGAUAAAGAGCAAACCAUUCACUUUGGUACUGUCAAAGACAAGGUUCAUAAUUGUUCUCACACAAUGCCUACUGUACCAUAUCAUUUCUACAAUUUAUAUUGAGAAAUAUAAGCCAUAGAAACUAGAAAACAAGCAAACUAUGCGAUCAAAACAGAAUCUGUCAGAAACAGAACAGUCUGUAAUGAUCUGAACAGCAACCAUACUUCUGCUACUCCAAAAAUUAUGAAAUAAAUUGGUGAACGUGAGGAAUUGGUCUAUUAAUCUUCUUCAAAAAGAAUCAACUCAAAAGCACUCUUCUCUAAAAAAAUGACAUCUAUUCUCGUGAGCGCAAAGUUUCUGUUUUUUACAGCAAGAUCACAUUAACUUUCACCCAAGUCUUCCCAAAGGUCUUACUUGGCACUUUAUUGAAACAAAAGCUAUAAAACAUGAUUACUACAGUAGCUUAAUCAUGUAAACACACGAAAACAGUAAGGGUAAAUAUUGGGUUGUCUCCCGACAAGCGCUUUUCUUUAAUGCCUUUUAGCUAGGCAUGAUGAUUUCAAUGAUGCUCACAUAAAAGAUAAGAAUUGAAACAUAAAGAGAGCAUCAUGUAGAAUAUGACUAGCACAUUUGAAUCUAACCCACAUCCUAUGCCUAGGGAUUUUGUGAACACAUAAUUUAUAGGAACAAGAAUCAACUAGCAUAGGAAGGCAAAACAAGUAUAACUUCAAAACUUUAAGCACAUAGAGAGGAAACAUGAUAUUAUUGCAACUCCUACAAGCAUAUAUUCCUCCCUCAUAAUAAUUUUCAGUAGCAUCAUGAAUGAAUUCAACAAUAUAACCAUCACAUAAAGCAUUCUUUUCAUGAUCUACAAGCAUAGAAAUUUUUCUACUCUCCACAUAAGCAAAAUUAUUCUUAUUCGGAAUAGUGGGAUCACUAAUUCCUAAAGUUGACACUUUUCCAAACCCGCUUUAGAUGAUAGUAUUAUUCAUACUCCAAAAGAUAUAAGUGAAGUUCACGGAGCAUUCUACAAUCAAUAUAGACUAACCAAUAUCCAAGCUCAAAAUGUGUAAGUGAAGCACACGAAGCAUUCUAUAAAACCAUACUCAAAAGAUUUACGUGAAGCACAAAGAGCAAUUCUAUAAGAUGAUACUUAAAAGUUAUAAGUGAAGCACAUGAAGUAUUUUAUAAAUCAAUGAAGGGCUAUCUCAUGCUAUCAUGGGUCUUAAAGGAAAAACAAAAACAAAAAGGACACAAAUCAUGUGAACAAAACAGAAACCGAGGUAUAUCGAUAUUUGUUGAAGAAGAAAGAUGGGAUGCCAACCGGGGCAUCCCCAAGCUUAGAUGCUUGAGUAUCCUUUGAAAUAUUUACUUGGGGUGCCUUGGGCAUCUCCAAGCUUUAACUCUUGCCUCUCUUCAUUCUACUCAUAUUGAUAGCUCCUCGAUCUUCGAACACUUCAUCCACACAAAACUUUAACAAAAACUUUGUGAGAUCCGUUAGUGUAAUAAAACAAACUACCACUUUAAGGUACUGUAAUGAAAUCAUUCUUUAUUUAUAUUGGUGUUAAACCUACUGUAUUCCAACUUCUCUAUGGUUCAUACCCCCCGAUAGUACCCAUAGAUUCAUCAAAAUAAGCGAACAACACAUAGAAAACAGAAUCUGUCAAAAACAAGACAGUCUAUAGUAAUCUGGAAGUUUAGUAAACUUAUGUAACUCCAAAAAUUAUGAAAUAAAUUUGAAAAUUUGAAAAAUUUGUACAGAAGUUAUGUGCAAAAAGUUUCAGACCCAUUUGACUUUCCAGUAAAAAUAUUAAAUUCACGCACUACAGCCAAAGUUUCUGUUUUUGUUCUGCACAUAGUAAACAAGCAAUCUAAUCAUCCUAAAACAAAAGCUUGGCACAUUAUUUUUAUAAUACAAUGGAUAUACACAAGGGGAUAAUUAUUUACAGAUAAACUUCCAUGAAAAGUUCUACAUUGUUUCCGUGAGCAUGAACGCAAGUGCUCAAGGUCGACCCUCACUUCUUCAAUGCAUAACUUUCCAAUCACUUCCCUUUUUGAAAAACUUUUUAGGCAUGAAAGGCAAGUAAUUUUUUUUGUAUUUUCAUUCUUUAAAAAAAAAUUGUAUUUUUCACCCACAACUAAACAGAAACAAAAAGGUAAAACAAAAUCUAUUUAGUGAAGAAAGCAAACAAGCACACACGAGAAUAUCAACCCCACGCUAUUGCUCCCCGGCAACGGCGCCAGAAAAGAGCUUGAUAAUCCCCAAGUGCAAGGAAUCAUCGUAGCAAUUUACAAAGGUGGAAGUGAUAAGUAUGGAGUGUCGAACCCACAAGGAGCUGAAGGUAAGAUCAAAAUUCUCUCAAGCCCUAUCUGCCACUGAUACGACUCUACGUACACCGAACGUUUGCUUCCAACUAGAAACGAGAAAUAAAACUACGUUGUGGGUAUGAAGAGGAUAACUUUGCAUGGUAUCGGAGAGCUAAAAUAUAAAAGUAGGUGUUGUUGUCAUAAAUUUAGAAUAUAUUACUAAAUAUUAUAAAUAGCGAGAGUGGAAUAAUGGUGGAUCGGUGUGCGGAAUCAUCCUAGGCAAUUGUUAACAAGACCGGUAGUCGUCAUUGCAAUUUCAUAUGAGGGAGAGGCAUAAGCUAACAUAUUUUCUCUUCUUGGAUCAUAUGCACUUAUUAUUGGAACUCUAGCAAGCAUCCGCAACUACUAAAUAUCAUUAAGGUAAAACCCAACCAUAGCAUUAAAGCAUCAAGUCCCCUUUUAUCCCAUACGCAACAACUCCCUUACUCGGGUUUAAGCUUCUGUCACUCUAGAAACCCACUAUAAGCGAAUCAUGAACGUAUUGCAACACCCUACAGCGGAAAUCCCUCACGCUUGCGCGACACGGAGGGCACCAUAGGACAGCACCAAAAUAAAACAUACAACUCGUACCAAUCUAGAUCAUCAAUCAACCCAAGGACAAAAGAUAUCUACUCAAAACAUCAUAAGAUGGAAACACAUCAUUGGAUCAUAAUAUGUGGCAUAAAGCACCAUGUUCAAGUAGGGAUUACAGCGGGGUGCGGGAGAGUGGACCGCGUAAAAUAGAUGAGGAUGGUGAUGGUGAUGUUGAUGAAGACGAUCAUCGCGGCGAUGAUUCCCCUCCCGAUGGCACUCCGGCGCCACCGAGAGAGAGGAGGAGAGGUUCUCCCCCUUGUGCUUCCUCCUCCAUGGCCUCCCCCCUAGAUGGGGAGAGGUUCUCCCUCUGGUCCUUGGCCUUCAUGGCGAUGAUGGCCCCUCCGGGAUCCUCCUCCAUGGCCUCCAGUGAUGAUGGCCCCCUCCGGCAGGGUGCCAGAGAGGGCCUAGAUUGAUUUCUCAUGGCUACAGAGGCUUGCGGCGGCAGAACUUCCGAUCUAGGUUAUUUUUGGGGGGUUUCUGUAUUUAUAGGAAUUUUUGGCGUUGGUUUCACGUCAGAGGGGUCUCCGAGUCGUCCACGAGGCAGGGGCCCACGCCCAGGGGGUGGGCGCGCCCCCCACCCUCGUGACAGCUCGGGACUCUUCUGGCCCAACUCUUUUGCUCCAGGGGCUUCUUUUGGUCCAUAAAAAAUCAACAAAAAUCGGCACGUCAAUUGGACUCCGUUUGGUAUUCCUUUUCUGUAAAACUCAAAAACAAGGAAAAAAACAGAAACUGGCACUGGGUUCUAGGUUAAUAUGUUAGUCCCAAAAAUCAUAUAAAAUAGCAUAUAAAUGCAUAUAAAACAUCUAAGAUGGAUAAUAUAAUAGCAUGAAUACUUCAUAAAUUAUAAAUACGUUGGAGACGUAUCAACUAGUUUCUUCAAAAUCUUAUUCCACGUAUCAUGAUUUCACUCAUUGCCUAUAUUGUAACAACUCAUAAAAUCCAAAUCAAUACCAAUGAUGAUUCUAACUUUAUUGAUUCUCAAACUAUUACAAUCUCCUACAAUUCCAUUACAUGCCUCAACUUAACACCUCAAAUAAGAGUGUUCCCACUACCUAGUGCAUUUUUUUACAAACUCAACUAUUUAGCACAAGUCUCCUUCUCAUUGGGACAAUCUCUGGCAAAGUGCCCUGCUUCUUUACAGUGGAAACAUAUUUCUUCUGACAAGUCUCGAGGUUUCCUUGUGAUUACAUAGCCUCCUUGGGUUCUCGGCUUCCUUUCUGGGCAACCGCUGAAGUAGUGCCCUAGAUCUUUGCACCUGAAACAUGUGAUAUGACUCAAGUCCUUCUUUGUAGAAAUUGGGUUGUUCUGGGGAUACAUUCUGUUUCUCUUCCUAGACUUUUCCGUACGAAUUAGGGCUUCUAUCUCCUGUGGGUCAUAAUCUACUUCCUCUGUCGGGAAUUCUACUAGAUCCUCCUUCGGACAAUUAUGGGAGAUGUGUCCUUCUUCUCCACAUGAAUAGCAUGACUUGGUGCAGGGUUUAAUUGGGUCUUCUUCGGGUGUGUCCUCAAAAUCUUCCUUCAUCGUGGGUUUUUCUAAAGUUUCCCUGAGGGCUUCUUUCUUCCGUUGAAUGACUUGAUGUACCUUGGGGUAGAUGUGACACUGAGCAGGGUAGUGGGUAGUCCCUUCACACAAGAAACAAGUAAUCUGCCUAGUUGGGCAUUCUUCAGUUGGGUGACUUUCUUCGCAGUGAGGGCAUCCAUCCUUGUGUUCUUUAUGGUUGUGUCCUAUUUCUCCACAAAGCUUGCAUGCAAGGUUUCUUCAUUUCAUUUCCACAAGGCUUCAGUUUUUGGGGCACUAGACGAGACCUUAGGAGAGUCAACUUAAAUUCUUCCCAAGUGAUUUCUCCUUGCCAUCCAUUGAUAGCUUGAUACAUACUCAACCAAGUAGCGGUAAUUUUUUGAAAGUACUGAAGAACAUGCUGGGCCAUCUCCUUUCCGGCUAUAGUGUUAUUCCUCAUGUGAUCUUCCAUGUUCUGAAUCCAUUUGUCCGUCUCCAAUUAAUUCAUUGAUCCAGAAAAUGUGAGUUCAUCUCCAUUCGUCAUCUAUUGGGUCCAAGGAUUUUGGGUAAGGCCAAGAUAAGAUUGGAGAGAGAGGGGAAAAGGUACCCAUACCAACAAAAGACACAGCAGCUAAAAUAUGGAGUAACUCCACACAUUCAUUCAGUUCAAUCAAUCCUGUAGUACUAGCACCCACAUACUUGGUAUGGUCAGAUACUCUAAUCACAAAAUGUUUAUCUUUAUUCGCUCAUGGUGGGCUAUAGCUAGACUAGCUUCUUCAUGUCCUGGUUCAUGUCUCCGCUGGCUUCUUCAGAUCAUGCUUGAUCUUCUCAAGUUCUUCUGCCAGAUCAUCUCUAUUGAUGUGAAGUCUCUUGUGACGUCCUUAGUGCGUUCGAAGCUUCUGGAUUUCAACAUCCUUGGCAUGAACCAUGGACCUACUAUCCUUCAGUUCCUGACGAAUAUUCGGUAUCUUGAGGUUUUGCUCCACAAGCUUGGCUACUUUCAGCUUUUGGGUUAUGAGCUCUUUAUGAAAUACUUCCUUGUCGAAUAAGGCUUCCAGAAGGUCCAUCCGAAAAUUCUUGAUGUAAUACUCCAGAUCCUGGUGAUACACCGGCUGACGUGAAAACUUCAUCUUUUGCUCGUUCGUCAAGGUGAUAGGUGCUCCAUUAGCCUUCUGCCAUCCAAUCCUUCCGAAGAAAUGCAUGCUUAACUCAGCACGGUGACGAUAGCACAAGCGAGCGAUAGCAUCAUGGAUAGCCGUGUUUAUGCCCAUGUCUUUGCCAUGAGCUAUCAUUCCAUAGUUGAUAUCUCCUAUCUUGAGGUUUUCCUGACGACCAAAAAUUUGAGUUUUGACGCUCCAUGUUCUGGUCUUCCUCUGACACACCUUGAUCUCAGCUAUCGGCCGCUUCAAUAGUCUCACAAGUUCCAUAAGGGCUGGACCAUAUGGAAAGUCUUCAUAGUGGUGUCUUUGGUUCAGUGUGAAGCUCUUCAUCUAAAAUAUGGAAGCCAGGGGUUUCUUUAGCGAGGAAUUUCAGAAGAGUACGAGAAUAACUUAAGUGGAUCCUAUCAUAGCCUUCCAAGUCACUUUACUCAAGGAAUUCUUCAGAGCCUUCAAAUUCUUCGAGUCUUUGGAGUCUUCAACCAUUGUAGUUUCAAUUAUUCUGAUGCACGGUAAAAUCCUCUUUAUUUUGAAAUGGUCUCAGUUGUCUGAUAUCUUGUCCUUCUUGGAGUGGUCUCAUCAGUCGAAUCUUCAUGUGGCAAAAGGAGAAAGGGGUAUAGUCUAACUAUUUGAGAUGAGAGGAAAUAUUUGGAAAGGCUUAGAAAAUAUGAGAGUUAAGGGCUCCCUUUUGAAGAUAAAGUUUUUAGAGAAGUCAUUUCUCAAGGGCUUGCCAGUUUCUAGGGGUCACGUCCUACAGUCAACAUGUGCUCUGAUACCAUCUUGUAGCGACCCGACCCAAAUGGAUCAAGUCUCUGUGCUUAAGUGUCAUCCCUGGAUCGGUAUGCUGACACACACCAUACUCGAGGAUUUAUAACAGAGUGCAAUCACAUGUAAAAAGUAACGUAAAUACUAUUACCUCAAUCCAUAUAGCGGAAGUAACAUCAAAAUUGUGGAGUCCCAACAACACCAACGGCAAAGUUGAGUGUAGACAUUGUAACCCUAACGUAUCACUUACUCGUCGUAAGAUUCCUGCAACAUGAGACGUUGCAGCCAUGUAGGUCAGUACGUUGAAUAUACUGGCAAUUUCACACCAUAGAAUAAUGAUGAAAAUGUCUAUAUCUAUAUACAUAUUUGGCUGGUGGAGGCUCUAGGUUUAAUUUUUGCAUAAAGCUAAUUUUUUCCUACAACAAAGGAAUAUAUUUUUAUUUUACUACCAAGUUUAUGCUACUAUUGAGAAGGUUCCUCCAACUCAAUGCCAAAAUUUCCAAAUUAUUAAUAACCCAAUACAUUAAUUAAGUAACGUGAUGAGAUCAACCAAUAAUCACUUCUAGAUACUCAAAGUUGUCCAUAACUAGGGGCACGGCUAAUCAUGAUUAGUUUGUACACUCUGCAGAGGUUUGCGCACUUUUCCCCACAAGAGUCGACCGCCUCCAUGAUCGGAAGAUCGAGACAUAGCCUUUCUGAAGUAUUUACUCUUUACUCUGGGUAGACCGAUACACCUACUUUCCCCUACAUCAGCUUGUCUACCAGUGAAAGAGGUCACACAACUUACUCAACUAUGCCAGAGCCCAUAAUGGCUUGUGGCUGCACACGGAAGUUUCUAGGAAUGAAAUAUCGUAUGAUCCCUUUGAGCCUGGGUGGCGGACCUAGGGUAAUCACAGGGUACUCCGGGAUUCCCUUGGGCAAGCACUGGUUUCUCCAGGUGCCCCGAACAAUCCACCCAGAUGUGAUGUUAAUGUUGCCACCUUAAGUUACCCUUAAUUAUUAUCUCUCACAACUUGCAUGAAUCUCACAUACCAGUCCCUGUCUACGAGCAUGGCUAAGCAAUUUAUGAGCAUAAUGUAUAUUCCCGGGGUGAUCAAAGGUAAUAGGUUCCUACCACAUGAACUACAAAGCAAUAACCACAUGUUCCCAAUCCUACUCAUGCAAUCUUUGAGGGUGAAACUAAUGCAUAAUAAAACAGGGUAUGAAAGAGUAUGAUCAAAGUGUAACUUGCCUUGUACUGUUGAUGAAGAUUCUUCGCACUCAUAAUUCUGGUAGUUCUACUCGUCACACUCCGAUCAAUCUAUCAUAAGCAAGCAAUUAUUUGCACACAUAAGCAAUCACUCAAAGAUCCAAAAGAACGAAGAAAAUACUUCAGAAAACUUCAAAACUAUCAAAUAAAGCUUCUGGACAAAAACAUAUUUUUAAUAGUAGUAAAAUUAUGUCAUUUUGAUCUUAACAGAAAGUACAUGUCAAGAGCUUCGAUUUGCAAAAAGAAUCAAUUAAAUCGAAGUUAUAAACUCAAGUUAUAGGCAAAACAAGUUUAAAUUUGAAUAUGAUCUAUUUCAAAUUUUAAAAUUUCAAAAACUUUAUUUUAUAUGUUCUCUGGAUAGUUGAGAUCAUGAUGAAGAAUUUGGUGUUCGUUUCACUGAAUUUGGACAAACGGUUAAAAAGUUGUGAAGGUUUUAAAAAUUAGGGGCUAAUCUGGAAAAAAAACUAAACUACAACUAGGUCCCUGGCCACGUGUCAAACUGCUGCUGGCUGAAAAUCGUCCGCUGCGAGGCUAAACUAGCGAACAGCCACUAAAUAGCGCAUAACGGUUCAAAAGAAAAAAACAAUCAAGAUCUAAUCUUAGCGGUCUAUUCUAGAUCAGUCGAACGAGAGGGAGCGACGGCUUACCGCGGUGGUGGGCACCGACGUCGCCGGAGAAGGAGGUCGUGGCGGCUCGGCCAUGGUCGUGGCGCUUGCUCUGGUGGACCUCUGGAGUGGGCGCGAGGUGGCGAAGCCGAUGGCGGGGUCGGUGUCGGUCGAGGGUGGAGGUGGAGUGCGGAACGAGGCGGCAAAUCUCCGGCGGAGCUCGAACUCCGUCGAGGUUUGUGCGGGGCAUCGGGAGGUGAGGGCGGUUGCGGUUUGAGGGAAAAAGAGGCCGGGGUCGAGGGCUAUUUAUAUGCGGGCUUUCGUGCAGGAGGGGCAAGGCGAGGGGGUGGAGUCCGGGUAGGACUCGGCGGUGACAGGCGGUGGCAUGCGGGAGGCGGACUCCUGAUGGCGUGGGAAGGAAGAAGCUGACAAGUGGGGUCCACCUGUCGGUUACUGGUGGGGCGGCGUGCGCGCGAGGAAAGGAGCGGGCGAGCGAGGCGGUUCGGCACGGUGCAGGCCGCUGCUGGGCAAAUAAAUUACUUUAACAAAACAUUGUUUUUAAUAUCCUCAAAUUGGAUUCGAAUUUUAUUUUUGAAAUCUUUUACAAAUAUUUUAUUUUUGUUUUGUUCUUCCAAAUUGUUUUCAAAUCUUCUCUGAAUUUUGAAGGGUCAUGUUUCCUUCACUCAAGUAUUUUAUACUCAGAGAAUUUGAGAUGAUUUGAAAUUCCAACAGAAGAGAGAAAAACUUCCAACAAACUUUGAAAGCGGUACUCAUCACUCCCCACUCUAUUUCAUCAAUUUGGAAGAAGUCAUGUUAUCUUAUCUCAUUGAAAAUCCUUGAGUGGCAUAAAGUUUCUGAGUUGAAUUAUUUCAAAUGGAAUUCCAUGGAAACCAAAUGCAAGAAUGGAAGUUUGGGAAAGUCCUUUUAUUCCCUCUCAUUUAACUUUCAAAAGUUUUAAAUUUCACUCAAUUUCACACAACAUAUCACACAAGCAAUCAUUAUUACUUAAUUAAUAUAACAUUCCAAAAUUUAGAAUUUUGGGAUGUUACAACGAGCCACCGAUGCGCCGCUGUCGCCGGUCCCAUACCGAAGCCGGCCUUACCUUGUCGAUGAUAGCCGGGAAGUCUGCAUGCAUGUCCCCCUAAAGACCAGCGCCCCGAAGCCACAGUCGUCGCCCUUGAAUCCUUGAAUAGACCUGAAGAACCUGACACCAAAUAUUGCCAUUGCGUACACGCUACGAGAAACGCUAAUCUCACUGCCCCGAGGAUUCAGAAAUACAAGUAUGUACUACACUGUAGAAGUAAAUAUUGGACUCUAGCAAGUGCCACACGUAAGAUACAAGCACAUGCCAACUUCGAACAUUUUUUAUGGUAAAUUUAGUUACGCGAGGAUGGCAAUUUUAGUUGGCAAGCAUGGCAACAUUGUGCUUCAGUUUAUUUUUUGACGGAAACUUAUCGUGUGUCACUGAAAUUUGUCAUCUUUGCGUGACUGGAAUUGCCAUCGAAUAAUGUCAGUGCCUGAGUGCCACGCACCUGACGUGUGCCACUUAUCAUUUAGGUAAAUAUUUGUUGAAAUGGAUUGAUACUUCAAUACACAUCAUAAUAAAUUGUCUCAUAAUUAUCUCAGAAAUAUAUACUAGACAUAUAAUCAGUGAAAUAUAUGCUGCAAAUGCCUUGGUUUAUAUUCAUAGUUUGCAUUAAUAUGAUACAUCAUACAUGUAUCCGACCUGGCUGUGCAUGGAUGUAUUCAUUAAAUAGCUGCAUUUGUUGAGAUGGGUCAGUACAACAAACAUAAGUGCUCACAGUUGACUAUAAGACAAACAGAAUGGACGGUUGAAAUUUCUUAGAAAACAUUAUAUUUUGGAACAUAUAUGCAACGCAACAAAUAAACAUAAGUGUAGACACGUGUCUACAUAGGAACGAAGUGUUGACACUUGUUAGUGCAACAAACGCAUGUGUGUACAUCUGUCUACAUGAGAAACAUACAUCGUGACACUUUUCAAUGAGCACCACCUACGACUUGAUUGAAGUAAUUAUUUUCCCUCGGGUGAAUUCAUUCCCAUCCAUGCGCCUAUAUAAGCCCAAGCAUCCAACAGAGGACAACCACACCAAAACAACACAACCCUAGAUUUAACAUCUAAGAGAGAGGUAGACAACCGAUUACUAGUAGUAGUAGUUAUGGCAAACCACUUUAGUUUGCUCUUGGUUCUUGCCUUUGUUCUUGUUGUGACGGCUGAAGAUUGUGUCGUCGACCUAAAAGGGAUAAUCCGAGAGUGCAAACCAUAUGUGAUGUUUCCCGCGAGCCCAAAGAUAACUCCGGCGAGUGCAUGUUGUAGUGUGGUUCAGAAGGUCAAUGCACCGUGCAUGUGCUCCAAGGUCACCAAGGAGAUUGAGAAGGUGGUAUGCAUGGAUAAGGUGGUGUAUGUCGCUGAUUACUGCAAGAAUCCACUCAAACCUGGCUCCGACUGUGGCAGUAAGUGUUAUAUUUUGAGCCAUGUAUUAUGUACCCCUAAUACUUGUCAUGAACUAUGCAUGACAUGCUUUUGUUUUGUAAUAUUUUCGCAGGUUACCAUGUCCCAUCUCAAGGCCAAUAGAUGGAUGUUUUGUAUCUGGUAAUCAAAGGAGAAAUGUUGAUUUAGUUCCUAGGCCUCUAUGUUGACUGGAUUCCGCUUUUAUGAUAUGUGAUAGGUUAAGUUUAUGUUGAGUAAUUCCUAGGGAAUGUGGUCGGUUGUGGGGUGGAAGAUCCAUCAAUGUAUGAGUAUUAAUAAAUAUUUCUCCUCAAAUUACAUGCUUCCACUAUUUUGUUUUUGUUUGGUUCUUUUCUGGUUUUGAUUCCUUUCAAUGUGAAUGGGGAUUGAAAACAAGAAAAAGAAAUCUUUGACAAAAGCUUUUUUUCUCUCACUAUACGAUGAUAAGUCCUUUGUGAUAUUGUACGGUAUGUAUAUGCUUG